AAAAAAAAACUAUUAUAUACUCCUUCCGUUUCAAAAUAAGUGUCGUGGUUUUAGUUCAAAUUUAAACUAAAACCACGAUGAAACAGAGGGACUACAAACAACUUACAUUUGACGGGAUUUCAGGACAAAAAAUAUCAUGAGCUCAGGGCCUGUUGUAUUGAGAAUGAACCUUGCAAAUAUAAAAUGUAGGUAACAUUUUCUGCCAAUAACAUCUAUUUAGCUUCCAGACCAAGAUUAACAAUACAAAAUAUAAGAGUACAUGUCUUAGGCAGGCUACACCAGCCAUGGAUUCAGGUUCAGCUGACAAAAUAACUACUAACGAAGCAGCAUUUGAAGUAUCGCAACCGUUACAACAAAAAAGUGUAACAAACAUUUUUCAAAAGGUUCCAACUAAAUGAAUAAAAACAGCACCGAUGUUUUUCAUGCAACUGCAACCAAGCAAAAGUUCCACAAAGGGUAUCAUGCUCCUUUGUUCUGAGGACCUGCAGCAUUUGUGCUCCUACUACCGAAUGAAACACAGGAGUACACAGGCGCAGAAUAGCUGUCACCUGUGCUAUCGUUUGGCACCAGUACAUGCUUCGCCCCAGGAGUGAGCUGGGCCUGAUCUCUUCUGCACAUACCGACCACUAGGUGAAGCAUUGGAAUUGCAAAGAACAGCGCUCCCCACUAUGUUAUCUGUAUUUCUGGCUGAAAGGGUUGCAUCUCUUAUGCUGUUGAAAGGUGUUUGAACUACCCGGUCUGGAUGGUUGAAUGUAAAACCACAGAAUUAAGACGACAAACUGACGAGCUUGCUGGAUGCACAACAUGUUGCUGAGGCAAAUUGGCAUGGAAACCUAAAGAUGCUGUACCAUGUUGUCUGGUUGUAGGCAAAGGUGGUGCUGUGGGUGGUUCUAUCCUAGGGAUAGGAUCAGAGUAAUAACGGCACGACGGGGAAUUCUGUUGGAAUGCUCCACUGCCACGAUUGGGAGGAGGUGAGCACCCCAAUAGAAAAGGCCGAUUGGUCCGCGAGUUUGAAAAAUCAAAAAACCUGUUUUCAUAUGGCAACUGAUCUCCAGAAAGUACAUUAGCUGCUGGAACAGGGUGGCCGUAAUCAUGUGUAGUCCAUGCCUGACUUGGGCUUGCAUGAUAUGUUGAAGCAUGAAGUAUCCUGGUAGAAUUUACUGUAUCAUUGGGAAAAUUCUGAGCUUGUAAAGAGAGAAAAGGCCGUCCUUUUUGUGGCAAGAACACAUUUGCGUUGAAAUAGUCAUUGGUGAAAGUACCUGUAUGCUUCUGCGCAGUCUCGGAAAUCGAUUCAGCUCUGGUCGUGCAAACUGGAAGAUCUUUACCCAUCAAACGAACUGUCAGUCCUGUGCAAGGUCCAUUCUCACGCGGAGUGUUCAACUCAGAACGAGAUUUUAACUCCUUACUGUGCGACACAUUAGAUUCAUGAGAUGGCCAGGAAGAAAACUUGCCGCUUGUGGAAGACCAACUCUGGUGCUGCCGAAAUGAAUCCUGAAAUGUAUGAUCUGGCAAUGCACAAGGAGACAUACUCAUAAUCAUAGUAUCUUUUACUGAAACAUUACUGCAACCACGAGGAGUCUCUGCAAGUUCAGUUAAGCUCAAUGGAGGACCAGCAGCAUCUACAUCAGAAACUUUUAUCGUCUCACCAUGCAAUAAUGUGCCUGCCGAACUUGAAUUCGUUAUUCUUUCCAAGUCAGCAGUAGAUUGUUUGCUUUCUAGCCUGUGUGAAUCAACAGGAAAAAUCAUCAGUUUUUCUCUGCCAUCAUGCAAUUGGACAUUUGAACUUAAAGUUUCCUCAUGUGUAUGCUCCAGAUUUGGAACCUCUGCAUAUGAUGAAUCAUACCUUUGGUCCAGUUCAGUAGAUUCCGGUAACGCCAUAUUCAGAUCAAUGAGAGGAGCUGACAUCUCUUUGUUACCAGCCUCAGGAGAAUCCUCAUGAUCUGAAUUCUUAUUUGCUUCUUUCGUCUUAGUGAAAGCUUCCAUGGGAAUAUGAGAAGUACCACUUUCUGCAGUUAUGCUUUUGUCAGGAGAAUCCUCAUGAUCUGAAUUCUUAUUUGCUUCUGACUUAGUGGAAGCUUCCAUGGGCAUAUGAGAACUACCACUUUCUGCAGUUAUGCAUUUGUCUCCUUCGGUAGACGUGAAUGAUGAUGAUGAUGACGAGGAUGACGAUGAAGAAGCCAUAGCAUCUGAAAACAUCUUGCAGAGACUUUGUCGUUCUGGUAGCUCAAGUAUAGCAUCUGCUUCUGAGAAUUUGACACGUCUCACUGAUUUGCGGCAGAGUUCUAUUACUUCCUGGCCUUCUGAAUUGCCACGUUUCUCCUUGACCAUUUUCACUGAUGUGUGCUUUGUGCACUUUAGAAUGCCAUGCCUAGGGAUAAAAUUUUCCAGAUCUCAUGGUUUCCCCACUUUGUCGGCUUUACUGUUGCCGAUGUGCUUUUGUGUGUUAGCCUUCUUCUUAUUUAUAUUAUUGAUCUUCCCAUGCUUCCUUCUCUCAGAUAUCUUUUCUCUCUCUUCUCUGUGAUGUUGUGAAGCCUCAGGUUUCUGUAAUGAGUUAGUAUCCAGUCCAUCAAACAGGUUUGGAUUUUCAAGUGCUUCCUGCAGAAUUGAAGAGCAUUAUUUGAAACCAUAAGAUACAUAUAGCUGUGAGUACAAAAAAUAAAGGAAAAACUGAACAGCACAAAUCAGAUCUACCAGAUAAUUACCAAUUUCAAACAAAUCAUCAGGACAGUGGGAUACCCUAGACGGGAAAGUUGCUGCAUAUAUAUAAAUUUGUUAUGUUCACUAAUUUUGGAUCAUUGAAAUUUCCGCACAAGUGUGUUAUACACAAAUGGCAUUGGUGUUGCAGGUAUGCAUAUAGGUGAUGAACCAUGCGUUUACACUUCACACCCACUUGUUAAUGCCAGUCAUGUAUAUCAUCACCAAUGUUUAAGAGAAAAAUAGUUUUAAGAUCAUACCAGCGUUACAGACCUACGUAGACAUGAUUAUGUUCUAUUGGUAUAUCAUCACCAAUAUAGGUGCUGAUGGAUGCAGGGUGGCUCUAACACUUCCUAUAGGAAUAAAUGCUCGAUGCAAACAUGGUUAUGUUCUUUUGGAGAAGUGUCAAGCUACAUGACCUGAACCACAUACUGACAUCUUAGGCACAUCUCGCAGGUGCCACACUGGAAAUGAUGUGGCAUUGAUGUGUAUGAGCUGUCCUAGACAAAAUCUAGGAACAAAUUGCUCAAAUGUAGAUACAAUGGACACAAUCCGCAACAUGAAGCGGCACGCAAAAUAUGUGGGCGUUCAGACUUGAUCCAGGACAACAUGCACUAAUUGAUGCCAUGUUAAACAUGGUGUCUCAAGUGGACCCAAGAUGCCAAAUGUCAUGUGGGUACCGGCAUAGGCGGAUAGCUACAACACCAACCGCUUCAGGAGUCCAGGCAGAUCGAGAUACGUAUUAUCUCUACUUAUCCCUAGUUAGCAUUAAUUUGGUAUGAGAGUUUGGAACUUUGGAUGUGGAACGGUUCGCCCUGAAAAAGCCAUCAACAGGUUUAAGCCAAAAUAUGUCACAUCUACAGACGUUUGAGUACAUGAGCAUGUGAAGACGGUGGAGCCGCACCUCCCAAAGCAGGCUGGUCGCAGCACGAAGAUGGUGUUCAUCGGAUGCGAGAGGACUUCUGGCACCAAUGCAUACCGCUUUUAUGACCCACACGACUACUACCUCAGAUCCAAUCCUCACCCCUCGUGGCCAUCAAGUACGUGACAACAGAACGCGAACGGCGAGGUAAAAGUAAUAACCAGAUGGAAUGCAAAACUCUAGGUAGAAUAAUCCAUCGCAGCACGAAGAUGGUGUUCAUCGGAUGCAAGAGGACUUCCGGCACCAAUGCAUACCGCUUUUAUGACCCACACGACUACUACCUCAGAUCAAAUCCUCACCCUCCUGACCAUCAAGUACGUGAUAGCAGAACGCAAACGGCGAGGUAAAUUAAUAACCAGGUGGAAUGCAAAACUCUAGGUAGAAUAAUCCACUAUUACGCACAGCUAUUUACAGCCAUUGUAGUUUAUACGGCUUAAAUCACAUGACUAGGUAAAAAUUGCACUAUACUCAGGAACAUAUGUGUAUUAACCACUUAUACCACAAGAUAUAAAAGAAAUAAAAAUAAUAUUUGGAUCAGACAGGAACCGGAUGUUGGUUAUGGCACAUUCAUAUCCAUAUUUUGAGUAAAAUACAUAUAUAAUUAUUCUACAAUCUAAAUUUGAAGUUGGUUAAGAGUAACACUACCGUGACUUCAUAUUUCCAUCCAAUUUAUUUCAUUUUCUCUUCUCCAGAUUGUACCCAAAUUUGUAGAACGGUUUUUUUAUAUGGUUAGGCCAGUCCUUACAUUAGAACAUUCUAUAGCGCUAGCUUAACAAUGAAAAAUCAAGUUAAACUACAAAACAAUGCAAUAUAUAUUUCCAAGUCCUCCAGAUGCAUAUGGAAUGAGUAUUUGUGUAAUGAACCUAUUUCUUGAACAUUUUUUUAAUCUAUCGAUGCUUCGAUUGAGACUAAAAGUUCUCAUGAUUUUCAAGAAAAAUAGUUGUGCACUCAUUAAGCUGUGUAGUUGAUUUUUUCGACAAAAAGGAUCACAUGGUUGUCACAAUGGUGUGUGCUUGUCCUCAGUGCACCAAUCAAAAACCAUUGUUUUGGCAAUUAUCUUAUAUACCUAAUGACAUCUAAUUGACAGAGCAACCAAUUAAUAUUGUUUGUUAAUGUAAUAAACGAAUAUCCAUGAUCAAUUCAGCCCUACAGUGUAUUUUAAAAGGGCACAACAGAUUUCGAUGAAGUACACAAUUUUUAUUGAACGUCUAUUAAUAAAGAUGCACGCAAUUAAUGAAAUAUAUGUAUGACAAAAUAUCUAAAUCGUUCAGCUAAGAACGAAACUAAAAGUAACAAUAUUAUGACCAUGAUCUCGAUAAGAAAAGUUUCGCGUAAUAUACAAGGUACGAGGGAAGGGGAGCCUUGGCGCAGCGGUAAAGCUGUUGCCCUGUGACCAUGAGGUCAUGAAUUCAGGUCCUGGAAACAACCUCUUGCAAAAAUGCAGGGAAAGAUUGCGUACAAAAGAUCCAAAGUGGUCGGACCCUUCCCUAGACCCUACACAAGAGGGAGCUACAUGCACAGGGCUGCCCUUUAUACAAGGUACGUAGGAAAUUCAAAAUGCUAUUUGCCAAUGUGAAGAGAAAAUAUCUAUGGGUAGAUUCGCCACAUCAGUACCCUAAAGAUGUUAUGUGGAUCAACCCAUCAAACGUGGAGUCUUAUCCCUUAAUUAGAGUCCUAAUUGAUUAAGCAUCUUUGCUAGGAAAGAGUCUAGUCAGUUUAGAGAUCGUAUUAGAGUUUGAACAGAUUUACCGGUUUCAUGGUCAAGUCUUGUCUACUAUAUAAAGGGGGCGAGCCCUUUCAAUAAAUCAGAGAAUAAUAUUGUUGUUUACUUUUAUCUACUUUUCAGUAAUUAGGGUUAUGUCAGUCGUAGAUUCUUCCAAUUUGGUUGAGCUCGAGGCUCUGGAGCACAUAAAGAUCAUCACGAAGCAAAUUGGUGGCCUUCACACGCUAACGAGCAGAGGACUAGACGCUCCUUGCCGAGCUGGUGCAACACUUGAGCAACAGAAGCUAGCCCUGCCCCCACCACCAGAUCCCACGACUACAGCAACCGUCCAUGACGCUACCUCCGCAUCCCAAGCCCUCCUCCCCAACGGCGGCGCGCCCCUGGUGCUUCCCCUUGCUAAUAGCACCUUUGGUGUCCCACCCACCCCGUAGAUUGCCCCNNNNNNNNNNNNNNNNNNNNNNNNNNNNNNNNNNNNNNNNNNNNNNNNNNNNNNNNNNNNNNNNNNNNNNNNNNNNNNNNNNNNNNNNNNNNNNNNNNNNNNNNNNNNNNNNNNNNNNNNNNNNNNNNNNNNNNNNNNNNNNNNNNNNNNNNNNNNNNNNNNNNNNNNNNNNNNNNNNNNNNNNNNNNNNNNNNNNNNNNNNNNNNNNNNNNNNNNNNNNNNNNNNNNNNNNNNNNNNNNNNNNNNNNNNNNNNNNNNNNNNNNNNNNNNNNNNNNNNNNNNNNNNNNNNNNNNNNNNNNNNNNNNNNNNNNNNNNNNNNNNNNNNNNNNNNNNNNNNNNNNNNNNNNNNNNNNNNNNNNNNNNNNNNNNNNNNNNNNNNNNNNNNNNNNNNNNNNNNNNNNNNNNNNNNNNNNNNNNNNNNNNNNNNNNNNNNNNNNNNNNNNNNNAACAAUGACCUCAUAUCAAGUUCUGGUUCAGGCGUGUUUCACUUCCACAAGCCUGUCAGGUUAGUGGCCGUAUUAGAGUUUGAAUAGAUUUCCCGGCUUGUUGGUCAAGUCUUGUCUAUGAUAUAAAUUGUCAUUUACUUCUAAAGGCAUGUUACGCAUCUGGCGGGUGAUGUUUAGAAAAGGUCUGUCGCAUGGUGAGCUUGGAAGCCCUCCAAUUUUCUCCCCGUCAGCUUGUGCCCACAAGACUCGUGUUGCGCUCGAUGCUUUGCAACACGAAUCUUGUUGCUCACCCGCCGAACCGUUGUUUCUUUGAAACAAGACCUAUGUUUCAGAAACAUAAUGAAAAAAGACCCCUGUUAUUAGAAAAAAAAUGCUAUCGCCCCCUUUGCAACAAACGUAGUGUUCCGCUCGGUCCUAUGCACCAAGAGGCUUGUUGUAAUCACCCCAAACCGUUUUUUUUUCAUUCUGAAACACAGCCUCCAUUGCAGAAACAAAAUCAAACACAGCUCCUAUUGCAGAAAACAAAAUCCCUUUCAAUGCAGUCGGCAGCCGCCGGCUAGAGCAGCGCAAGGAGUGUUUGGGUGCAUCGGGUGGGGAUCUUGGUGUGCGGACAUGGGGCGCUGGGCUACAUGGGAGGUCGUGCAAACCAGGGAAGGUCGGCCGAGCUUGGCCUCCAUGGCCAUGGCGGCCGUAGCCAAAAGCUUGGACUUCGAGCAGGGCGACGUCUCCAGAGCAGAGAUCAACUGGGGAAGAGGGGGGAACGAAGGAGGGCCUCGCCAUGAUCUCAUAGGCGUGGACGAGGUGGCCGGAGACAGACGAAAGGUGAUGAGACGGACGGAAGGCGGCAUAUUCAAUGCCGGACGACGGUGAACAGAGGUGGAACAAGAAGAUGAAGGAGUCAAGAACAAGACGGACGCUUCACCUGAUCAGACCGCAACAAACCCAUGUUGGGCUUCAGGUCUUUGCAACAUAGUCCAUGUUGCAAAACAUGUUGAGUCAGCGUGUGGGAGCGAGUUGCAUUGCGUGUCGUCGGAUCAAACUCGGAUCCAACGGCCGUGAGGCGGUCGAAACACGAUCAGUCAGGUGAGCGAGUAUCUACUUUUUAACAAUUAGGGUUAAGUUGAUAGUAGAUUCUUCCAAAAGAGUAUCCUAUUAAAUUUCUAUCGUAUUAGUCCAGUUUAUAAGUUAAUUACUGGAAUAUUAAUAGUCCCUAAAACAGUACAGAUAUAUGGAUCAUGACAAACAUAUGGUGAUAGUCUGAGUCUGAGUGUCUGACUGCAACAUGCAUACUGGGAACCACCACCCUCUUCGAAACACUGCCUGUAUGCAUGCUUAACGGAUGUAUUGAGAAUAGCUAUCAUGGGCAUACGUACAUCACGAAUUAUUGAACAAUAAGACAGGUGAUGUAGGCGAAUAAAAGUAACAGAUAAGUAAUGAUAAAGCCCGCUUAUCAAUGACGUAAAUGCCUGCUCCAUGUCCUCGUCCUAUGAUGAAGUCUCGUGUAUGGGUCCGGACCCGGACCCGACUGAAAUCUGAAGGAGCGACACCAACUAGGCACCUCUCAAAAAAAAAAAAAGACCUUGCAUGGUGUGUCAAAAGGCAACACGACGCACCUUGCAUGCACAGAUAAGGUACAUAUGUUGCAGUACCAGCUAGCCGGUCUAGAGUGCACUACCACUAGUGGUUUGAUUAUUGGUGGCCAUCAAAUAAUCUACCGGAUUCUUAUUGAUUAUAUUGGUCCUAAUUCACUGCAUGAACAGCUCAACGUCACAGUUCGCCCAAGAUUUGCACAAAUCGAAUGUCCCAUUCCCCGACUUGGACUGAUCUAUUAAAGUGCACAAAUUAAGCAUGAAAUAACAAUAUUUCCAUAUACAGGUAGUAAAGAAGUAGCAAAUGUACAAGAAAGAAAACACACUAAUCGUUCUAACGUUAGCGGUUAGCACAAGCCCCGUAAAGGUUUGGACAGUCCGAAAAUUGCCGUGCACCUGGCAGCAAUUAUCGACUAGCCACACAAUCUUCUAGACGAACUAGCUACGCCUGGUUUAGAUUAGAUUAGGAACUGGGAUCGGCACAUCUAACAUAAACUAUCCUGCGAGGUGAUGCAUCGGUCCGAUAUAGAACCAGUCACAGCUAAUUGCCCCCACAAUAUGUAUCCACAAAUAGCAAUCACAUUAGCUGCUAAUAUAUAGUACUAAUAACAUGGCAAUGAGACAACAAAAUCUAAUUAUAUGCAGCCAGCAAGCAUCUAACCAUCCUCAUACUGUCCAGCAAGUGAAUCAAGAGAUGAACCAAUCAUCCCAUCAAUUUUUAGGAGAUAUAUAAAAGUACAAAUACGUGGGAAUAAUAGCAGACGUGAUAUCAUUGCACUGGGCAGACAGGGAAGACUUGCCACUGCAAAAAAAAGACAGGGAAGACUUGGGUUGGGUUGGGCUGGGUUGGGCCGGACCACGUACCUUUCUUGCAGCGAAAUUCCCCUCGGGCUCUCGGCCUCGGCUGCUCUCCGGCGCGGCAUCCACUGCCGCCGUCUCCUCCUUCUGCCCCUCCUCUUCUUGCAGCUUUCUCUUUCGUUUCUUCUCCUCCUUGGCCCGCCUCGCGAUCGCGCACAGCGCCUCGUCGCCGUCCACCUCCGUUUGCUCUUUGCACCCGGUAUCACCGGCCGGGGGCACGGGCAAGGGGGGCGCCGCGGCGAAGAGGUCGGAGAUGGACCGCUUCUUCGGCGGCCUCGCCUUCCCUGGCGCCCUCCUCGCGGACGCCGCCGCAGCUGCGGCAGCCACGGUGGAGGCCAGCUCAUCCGCCCACCACCGGCACCUCGGCGCCCCGAGAGGCGGCAGAUCCUCGAUUCCCAAGAGACGCCGCCCCUCCGCCGCUGGCUUGCCCCUCACGCUCGCCGCGUACUCCCUUGGGACAGUUCACAGACCGAGAUCAGGAAAGGAUAAACGCAAACACGACCACCAUAUAUAACACCGACGAGACGGCGCGGCGCCUCCACACGAACCUGAUGGAGAACGCGGCGGCGGCGGCCAUCGACCCGUCGUCGACGCGCUCCCGCGGAGCAAAUCUGCCGAUUUCGCGACGGGUCGGUGAUUUGGGAGAGAGGAGGAGGAGGAGGAGUAGACUGGAAGGGAGGAGGAGGAAAGGGGAAUUACCGUAAGGAAUUAAUAAAUAAAUAAUAAUUAGAGGUGGGCUUUGAUGACAUCGAGGCGAAUAUUUUACCUUUUUCCCGCUCUUCCCACCGCUUAUUUUGGGUGGUAGUACAAUUCAUUGAUUUUUUUUCAGUAGUUAAUGUCUUGGCUGGCAUCGGUGUCCUUCCCCGGGGGUGCAUUAUCUCUGUUUACUGCCGCGGACAGCGACCGGUGAUGGACCGCGGCAAAUUUGUUAUGCUUUUUUUUUUUCUGUGUGGCUGGUAACGUUGAACUAUCACGGUCUUCGGUUCGCCGGGGGCGCCGGGCAUCAUCAUGUGAUAACGACCGCUGGGCGGUGGGGGCGCACAGCUCAGACUGUCCCAGGUUCUGUCUGCCUGUUGAGACACACGAAAUACCACAGGUAAGUUUUUUUUUUUCAAAGUAGUAUGCAAUAAAAACUGUUUUAUAGGGUUAUGGAUGUUUUUUUUGUGAUUUGUUGUUUGGGAAAUGAGGCAUAAAAUGGUGAUUCUAAAUUAAAACACGUAAAUAUGACGGUUUGGUAGAGGGGUCUGUUGGGUUUAUGACUACAGUUUAGUAUUUUGGGCUCAUGUAAACACACAUAAUAGUGAAUUGGGUAUAGUUUUAUGAUUUGUUUGAUUGAGAAAAGAUGAUUAAAAUGUAUUCCUAAGUUAAAAAAGAGAGUAAAUACGGACGGCUGGCUAGGUGCAUCCAUAGUGUUUACGACGACGGUACAAUUUUCAUAUAGGCCGGCAUGCACCACGCAUGCCAGCACAAGGGACUAAUAUUCAGCAUUAUUGCCGAUAUAAAUACAUAAAUAGGAUAGUUGGGGAGAUGCGCUGGCACUAACCAGGCCCGAAUCAAUGGGUGUCCAUUCCCGGUGACGAAACAGAGCCCCCGAUUUCCACCCCUCCCUCGGCUAUUGAGACACACGAAGAAUCACAUGUAAAUUUUGGUUUUUGUUUCAAAAUUAUAAAAUCUAAGUUGUUUUAUAGUGUUAUGCAUGGGUAUUGUUUUUGUGAUUUGUUUGUUUGGGAAAUGAAGUUUAAAAACAUGGUCCUAAAUUAAAACGCGUAAAUAUGACGGUUCGCUAGGUGGGUCGGUAUUGUUUAUGACUACGGUUUAGUAUGUAAAAACACAUAAUAGUAAAUUGUGUAGUUUUGUGAUUUGUUUGAUUCAGAAAAAGAUGCUUAAAAGUAGUCCUCGGUUUAAAAAAGAAAGUAAAUAGGAUAUAGUUGGGGAGAUGCGCUGGUACUAACCAGGCCUGGACCAACUGGCGUGCAUUCCGGGUAACGAAAUAGAGCUCCCAAUUUCUGCCCCACCUACCCCCCACCCAAUAAUUACUAGCACUUCGGGCCAUUAGGCCUGAUAAUCCUCGGCCCAAAAAAAUUGGUUGUCGAAUAGCCUUCAAUUGCCUCAAGUUCCCAAAGAUAUAUAGUACUUCUUUUGUUCCUCACGACAAGUUCCUAUGGUAUGGAAUAGGCAUGUUUCUUUUUUCCCUGCCGAACAAGCCCCACUAUCGAAUUUGGGCCCUUUCUCUUUGUCAGUUUGAGUUUGACAACCUCUUCCUUCAAGCCUAACUAUGUGAGCAAAGUCUUCGCCUUGGUCUGGCAGUACUACCGAGGCUACCUAUCUAAAUNNNNNNNNNNNNNNNNNNNNNNNNNNNNNNNNNNNNNNNNNNNNNNNNNNNNNNNNNNNNNNNNNNNNNNNNNNNNNNNNNNNNNNNNNNNNNNNNNNNNNNNNNNNNNNNNNNNNNNNNNNNNNNNNNNNNNNNNNNNNNNNNNNNNNNNNNNNNNNNNNNNNNNNNNNNNNNNNNNNNNNNNNNNNNGCGUGCCGCCGCCGGCGUCGUUAUGUCUGUCGCGAUUGUCAGUCUCCUCGUAUGCAACAGUGUACGAUUGCGGCAAAUUCAAUGAGAUGUAUUUUUCUACCAGGCUUUGCAGGUAAUGCAUGGUUGGAUUUCUCGAUGUUGGCCAUUAUUGGCGUGAGCAACGGUGGUGCAACAUCGACAAGUUUAGUUGUGGCUCUCGGAAGACUUUGGAGGUAUAUAGUCGUAGUCAUAAUCUCCCCUUUGUUACGGUAGUUUUCAUGUCAAUGACCGUCCAUCUGAUUGUAUCCAAUUCCAAAAAUAAGUUUGACUUCGACGCAUCAUGCCUUUGUCUCGGUACGAUCAUUCUCGGUGACAUGCCCGUGCGACUCGGCGUCUCGCCCUCGCCUGUCCCUUCACCCCUCGAUAGUCGCCCAAGAGUUUGACGUCCAUUGCUUAAGGCCAUGAGUUCCACGGACCGCACAGUAUGCCCUCUUUCUAGUUGCUCUAAUUACCAGGGUGUGUAUGGCAUCAUCUUGUAGUACUCAAACGCAAUGUAAUUUAUACUUAUUAAUCUACUAAACCGAAAAGGGGACGUAAAAAUUUAGAAGUAACAGGGAACAAGGCAAACCAAAUGGAAAGCUUAAAUCUUGCCUCAUUUUAGUUCUGAGCCGUUCUGAACUUGUGAUUGAUCCGGCGAAAGAUUAUCCAACCAAGAGUUGAAUAGUUCAAUAAGUAUGAUUCUAAAUAUAUUCCAAUUCUGUAUAAGACACUAUUGCAUACAUAAUAUUAUAGCUAUAUAUUCAAGAGAAGUAGGGCCCAUUUUUGAGUUAGGCACAGGGCCACGGUUUUUGUUGCCGCAUGGUAUUGCCCAUGCAUGCUAGCAGGCGAGACCAUGGUACAGCGUGGAGCUCAUGUAAAUGAAUACUCCCUCUGUUCCAAAAAUGUCUAUGUUUGCCCAAGUUUAUAGGGGGGGAAAUACCAGCAUCCACGAUGCAUAUGUGUAUCCAAUGUUCAUCAUAAAUUGUAUUUUGUAUUUUAUUUAUUUAGUAUUUUAGUUGUCGGUAGUUUAUUCUACAAACUUGGUCAAACAUAGACAUGUUUAACUUUUGAAAAAUAAAAUAUGCACUACAUUAUAAAACGGAUGGAGUAAAUGAGUUAGCUUUUUUUUUUUGAGGGAAAGUAAAUGAGUUAGCUAGGUGAUGAUCUUUGAGUGUAGAGGUUCGAGUUCCAAGGAUGAAAACUCCAGGUUCGACUUUCACUAGUUGAACCUACCAAUGGUGUUAUUUCACGCGGUGUUUCCUUGUUUAAGGCAUGCAUUGCAUGCAAUUUACUCAGACUCCUCCAGGAUAAAAACUCAUGAUCCGGUCUAAGUGGUUGGGUCCAAUGACGAUGGUGCUCUUGCAUAAAAAUCGUUCCCUUUCUAGAGGCGUCGUUGUUGGAUCACCUAUCAAGUUACCUAUGGAUUAUCAUUGAUGGUUGUUGUUUUUGUUUGUUGCAGUUGUUCUCUUGGUCACCUUUUCUUUUCUUUUGCAAUACUUUUACAGUGUGCAUCCUUGAUUUCUCGAGUAGCUCUUGAGAUCGUAUUGGUGCAGAGACUAGGUGUAUUUAAUAUCUUCUCGAUGUUGAUAUAUUGUAUUUUUUUAUUGAAAAAUAUACCGUGCAGAAGGAAAAACAUGAGAAUAUAUUUUUCGGAAAAGAUAUGUUCAGGCACGCUGGCAUUGUGCAUGCACGUCAUUAAUGAGACUAUAUGUCUCGACAAUGGUGCUCAUCACGUUCUAGUUUUGCAUGUGUCAAAACGUGUGGCUUUAUCUUGAAAGGAUGAACAGUAUGCGGAAAUAGUUUUUUUUCGAUACGCCUCCCAGCCGACAAAGUGGUGUAUAUAAUACUAAUGAACACAUGAUGUAAGAAAUUACAAUUCAUAAUAUUUUGUUUGUCAUUUGUUGGUCCGCUGGAAGUGUGCAAACCUAUGUUUGCCGCUGGUACUUAUGACUUCCUAGCUAUGCAAAAAAUGUUUACCCCAUCUAUCUUGGCCAUCACCCAUCUUAAUUAUGGAACUGUUUACCAGAAGGCACGAUGAUUUAAAAUCUACAAAUCAUAUAGACAGAAAAUUGAUAUGUAUAGAAUAUUCGAUAAAUUUAUACAAGCACAAUGGUUCAUGUUGUGUGUAAAGAUCAGGUAGCGAAUGACGCUAUACAUGUGAUUGUUUCCAAUAACGGAGACAGCAUAAGUUACAUAAAUAAAUGGUUAAUAUUUUGCCAGAUAAUGAUUUUAGAAAGAAAAAUUACUUUCAGUUUUAGGGAAGGAAAUUAGUCUCAUAGUUGAGGGUGGGCAUAGGGCUAGGGCUUAGGAUGGCUCUAACCCUAAUCCAGCCCCAGUUCUCAAAGGGGCAUACAUGCAUAACUUUGGACAAACCAUUGAAAUAUAGACAUCCCAACGGCCAGCACUUCUAGGCCCAAGGCAGUGUUUGGGCUCUAGGGAGAGUAUUUGCUCCCGGAUGAAUAGUAUAAUUAAAAAAAAUAGUAAAAGGGUCUAAAAAAUGAUUCUCUUUGUAGAUGUUCUGAUUGUAUCCCAAGUGUGCUUGGCAAUUUUUCAUGCGAAACGGAAUAGCAGUGUUUCACCAGUGAAAAAAAGUUCAGUGGACUAAAAAUGCCAAAAUACUGACCUUCCACUUGUUUUUNNNNNNNNNNNNNNNNNNNNNNNNNNNNNNNNNNNNNNNNNNNNNNNNNNNNNNNNNNNNNNNNNNNNNNNNNNNNNNNNNNNNNNNNNNNNNNNNNNNNNNNNNNNNNNNNNNNNNNNNNNNNNNNNNNNNNNNNNNNNNNNNNNNNNNNNNNNNNNNNNNNNNNNNNNNNNNNNNNNNNNNNNNNNNNNNNNNNNNNNNNNNNNNNNNNNNNNNNNNNNNNNNNNNNNNNNNNNNNNNNNNNNNNNNNNNNNNNNNNNNNNNNNNNNNNNNNNNNNNNNNNNNNNNNNNNNNNNNNNNNNNNNNNNNNNNNNNNNNNNNNNAAGAAUUGAAUAUGAACAUACUAUGUAUACAACUUGUCCCUUUUUUACAUUUGCAAGAAAAAGAGCCUAGGAGCAACUGCUCCCGGAAGUAGAAUUAAAUAUCCGAGGCUCUAACCCCCUUUUUUGCGAGAAAACUUCCAAUCUAUUUAUCGAUUGUCAUGGCAGUAUAAAGAACACUAGAAAUAAUAAAAAAUACAUCAUGGUCAAUUGACCAUGUAGCGACGACUACAAGCACCGGAGCAAGCCUUCUUUCUAUAUACUAGAUGACCCGUUGCGCCAAUGGCGCAAAGGGCGGAGAGCAAACCAAGCAUUCGAAGCAAGCUCGUCAGAAUAUUUAGUCACAAGGAAAUAUAUACUUAGGUACGAUGCUGAUACAUAGCGUUAUAAGAAGUUUUGAUAGCCAUUUACAAUGCUUUCAAAAAGCAAGCAACAUAGGCAGAGAUGCCUCAUGUAGAUAAGCAUACAUAGUUUGAGCAGAGAAGAUUUCUCAGGCCGAUUGUGGUCUUCUGAGGGUGUGCAUGCAUGAAUAAGCAGACUUGAUAUUGUCUUCUGAGGAUGUGGUCAUAUGAGGACUGUAGAAGGAGCAAUAUAUGUAUGAGAAAAAAGGAAGUCAAAGUUAGCAGAUAGAAAGAAUAUGAGGAAUGCAUCUAUCAUGCCUCAUGCAUGUAACUUCUCAUAGUAAACGAAAAGCUAGCAAGCAAACUUCAUCCAACAUAGCAAUGGGAGACCAGGCAAACAGGAAAAUGAGGAAUACUGUAACGACUACCAAUCCAUCAAACUGUGAAUUCCAGACCUUUGUUUCAAUAGGAAUAUCCAUGUCAUGGACCAAAAAGAGGGCACAGACGAUGAGUUAUAUUUAGGAAUGAAGCAAAUCACAUUAGAAAAGAAACCCUUCUGAGUUCAUUGCUCUUUGCGCACGCACCAAUGAAAUGGAAAACUGUUCUGCUUAUGCCCAUAAUCAAGCCUCUCGCACAUAAAGGCUACAAUGAGACCUGAAGGGAGGGAAGCUGGAGGAGGAGAAAGGAGAGAGAUGACCUGCGUCGCGAGGCUCCUGAUGUGCAAACAGUCGUCGUGGCGCGCUAUGGGCAGUGCUCAGAGUACUCUCAACUCCGGAGAGAAUUGCUUAGAGUAAUCCAAACUGGCACAAAACAAUACAUAAAUUGUUUGCGUCAGUAUAUGAUCCUUUCAGUUUGAGAAGUGUUCAAGACUAUCUUACGAAUUCUUGAAAGCCUUCCUACUCUACUGAUCAUGUAAAAUCUGAAAUUAUUACAAGAAUUUUAUUUUCUCUAGAAAUCUCCAAACUAAUGUUUCAAGAUGAGGAGUUGGAGACCAUGCUGAUGAAAUACAUUAUGGAAGAAAAGAAGCCCAUUCCACUAUGAAUAUCUACAUUGUGCAAUUCCCAUAAAGUAAAAUAGAAUUAUUUAAAUAACCGUCUAUCAGGCUAAAUUUGAGUUCUUGCAUUCCUUUUAUUUGACUCACACUUGCCUGCCCCUCUUAGCUAAAAUGAGAUUGCCUACUACUCUUAGCUAAAAGGAGGUGAUUCGAAUAUAAUCACUAUUUCUUCCAGCUAUACAAAUUAUUGUGGUCAUCAAGUUAAUUCAAGCACUCAACAUUCUACGACAUACACGAUCUAACUGUUGUCAGUACAGAUGCUAUCAUAGAGUUAUCUACAAAAGCUAAAUAGGAUUAAACACAAGACAAAAUAAAAGUUUGUCACACAAUAUCCCUGUCACCUAAUCUCUUUCUCACUUUUAACUUCAAACCAACAUCGAAAACGAUAAUAAUCUAAAGCAAAAAUAAAUCAGACUCAUUUGUUCAUCGACACAGAAGCAAAUAAUUCACCUAAUACUAAAUCUAACUAAAAGGACUAACUGUAAUUAAUUGGCUAGGCUGCUCAUCGAAAGAAAGCUCUGCAUAAGAAGCAGACCUUGCAAAAAUUUGGGAUUAAUCAGGUGGAUCUGAAACAAAACAUAUCCUCGCCUCCUCCCGCAGUCCUGCUCCAACCCCUCGUGUAUCUCGGCACCUCCUCACAUUAAGACUACGCAUUGCCUAAAUAAGCACCCGUGCCACAUACAGCUUGUGAUGGUAAUGGAUUUUUUUAGUAAAACCUGCAGUACAAAUUCAAUCCAAUGGAUUGGUCAGACAUAAAUGUGCAUCACAUGUAGAUACAGAAGGAGCACACUGGCACAUUUUAAAUCAGCUGGGCUCUUAGCGAGGGCCGGCAGACUAUGCAUUUAUUUUACUACUUCACCGGAGAAUAAAUAGCAUGCGGAACAGAAGUUCGAAGGUCCGGUUCCAAGCAGCAAAAAUGAUAUAUUGAAGAUUACACUAACAGAAACCAAACUUUUUCCUGCUAAUGCGGUUAGAAACUUGCAUACAGAUAACAAGCAUUGCCUCUUCAAGAAGUAUUACACAGUCCAUUUUGCAUUCCACAGAUGUUUUUGACAGUUAGAUGGACAUAGAUAACCAAACAUUGCAUAUGUUCCUAGUAGUAAAUUCCCUUCGGAGCCACAGAUCAUUGAAGCAUGCUCUGCUUAGUAAGAGAUUAAUUAAUUAAAAGGGGAGGAAGAAGCAGAGUGCAUCACACAGGCUUGCAUAUAUACAGAGUGGGGAAGUAGGUGAAGCUCACCUUGGUAUGUUGGCAUCAGAAGUGUCGCUUCACAGGACAACCAACAACAUUCCAACAAAAAGCCAAACAUAUACGAGGACACAUCAAGAUACUUAGGUGAACUCACUGUUGUAGCUUGAAAGAAAAAAAGAAAUCAAUUUGGAGGCAACACCAAGGAAAGAUAGGCAAAACCAGACCUACUGUCAAAUAUAUUGAAUAUUUCAAAAAAAGUACAAACUGAUGAACGUAAAAAUGAAGAAGACACACACCCAGACUAUUAGCUUGGAGCAGUGCUACGGGGACGAUAGAGUUUGGACGACUCGUGCACGAUGAUUAAAUCUAGCCGAGGAAUCUCGAGCCCAGCUCAGCAGCGGCCGCUGGAUCCCUUGGUCAUGCAGUUAUCGUCCCGACAUUGUCGUGUGUGGAGCACUUUGUCAGAAGCGACAAGUUAUCCAUAAUUAUUACAGUACGCUCAUUCCACACCAUAUUGGAAAUACAGAAAUAUAAUCUUCGAGUAAAUUUAGCAUUGAAAAACAAAAUGAAUUUAUUAGUUUUCCCUGGUAGAAAUUGACUUGCUACUCACAGCAGGGACUCUCCUCUUUUAGUUAUAUGUAGCAUUUUAUUGUAAGACUCUCUUGGACCCUUGGGUACUACAGAGACACACCAUAAUUUAGCAAGAUGUAUUGUAAGACUCUCCUCCUUUAUAUAGCAUUUUCCGAUGUUGUGCAUGAUGUAUCCCUAUCGUGUCGUGUGCAUUACCUUUUUUUAAGGAAAAAUGAACGUACACAAUAAGGGCAAUAAUGUGCGUUCCUGGCAACAAUGAUAGGCCAACUCGUGAUUAUUUCUGAAGGAUAGUAACUAUAACCUACAACUACAACUUUGAUGGUAACCGCACAGGAUGUAUUCUAGGUCCCUAACCUAUGUUUGAAGUAUAAGCACAUAACAAAAUAAGAAAGAGAUGGAAUAACAAAAUACAGUUACAUACUUCAGUUAUGUCAUAAGUCCAACAUGCACGCAUUUCUGCCCAUUGGAAGCUCCGCCGCUUGCUUGCCGAUGCAGGAAGCAGACGGCGCCCAGGUUCUUUGUGUCACUGUACUUCCGCCGGCCAGGAUUAUAUCUUGCAAUAAGGAUGAUGCCUUGUCCAUGAGUUCAAGUCCCUACAUGGAUGUCCAGAUGAACAAAAGAAAAUUGUAAGGAUGCUAUGAAAUUACAUCAAACAUUACCAUAAACCAAUGUGCUAUAUGAACACCAUCGAAUAAGUGAAAGUAAUACUUGAGACCGGCAAAGUCAUAUCUUGCAGAAAGUAGGUGUGACAUUCAAUAAAACAACAUGUGCACAACGGAAGUCGAAUUUGUUGGUUUGCCUGCAGUUACCUUAAGAACGUGUUUCUUUGACAGCAGAAAUGUAAAUGCAUAGGCUUUUCCAAAUAUGUGAAGCAUAGUAAGUCAUUACCAAAAACCACCAGUAAAAGAAGACUAAUUCAACUAUAUCAUUUGUGCUAACAACCUAAAGAGCAUGCUCUGCUCAGUAAGAGAUUAAUUAAUUAAAAGGGGAGGAAGAAGCAGAGUAAAUCACACAGGCUUGCAUAUAUACAGAGUGGGGAAGUAGGCGAUGCUCACCUUGGUAUGUUGGCAUCAGAUGUAUCGCUUCACAGGUGGGGCGCUUCCUAAGCCGUGUUGGCCACUUCUCCAGGCUGCUGCAUCGUGCAUUCCACUCACCACUGCCACACCAACUAAAGAGGGCCUUAACCACCUGCCUUGGGCAUGCAAGCCUCCAUUUUAAGCCACCUAUAGAGGGAAGAAUCACAGAAAUUAUGAGACGACCUUCUAAGAAUGCUGAGGGCCUAGUGGAUAGAGAAAAAUUAAGGCAAUUGGCAAAUACAAAAUGGUGGAUUAUAACAAAUGCUCUAAAGAAAUGAACUUUCACUCAGUUGAUGGCAAUUGGCAGAUACAAAAUGGCGGAUUAUAACAAAUGCUCUAAAGAAAUGAACUCUCACUCCGUUGAUGCUCUUUUGAAAUACUGAUCUAAAGGUUCAGAAGACAUCGAUAUUGCCCUAUAUCAAGUAUACUGUGAAUUCAUAACCGCGGGCUCAGUUGAAUUUGAGGAGUAUAUCAAGUAUACUGUGAAUUCAUAACCGCUGGCUCAGUUGAAUUCGAGGAGUCUAAGAAAGCUUAAUGCAGAAACAUUCAAACAAGCACCAAACUGAACGAGCAUUGAACGUAUAAAAUCAUUCUUGCAGACCUAGUUAUUUGCCUGGAACCAUUCAUUGAUUUUGAGAAAACAAGGGGCAUGUCUUGCAUUAGCCACAUGAUUUUCAGACACAACACACAAGGAUUCUUGGGAGUUGAAGUCGAGGAGGGUGCCGCACACGCCGCAAAACAGGAAGUGGCGUGCCUGCCAGAAAGCCAUCGCCGCCGGCUGCACCGCGCCGCCGUGUGGGAGAUACAGAGAGAGAGGGGGGGAGGCCAUGGUUAGUAGGGGAAUGGCCGGUUCGAGGACCAGGUAGACGACGGCGCACCCGUGCCGGUGCCGCUGUGUCGCUCCGCUCGAUCUAGGGCCUCCCCUCCCCUUCCCUUCCCAUCCCUUCCUUUGAAGAGUGAGGAAGGUGAGGGUCACGGAAGAGGGUAGAGCGGCGGCGCUGGAGGGAGAGGAGACCGCCGGAGUUGGGGUUGGGUGGCUGGGGGUCUCGGGGCAGAGGAGAGGUGUGGGAGGGGGCGACCGAGGUGGGUGGAGAGCGGGCAGGGAUGCGGCGGCUGCGCGGCGAGCGGAGAGCGGGAAGGGAUGUGGCUGCUGCGCGGGGUGUGGCGGCGCUAGGGUUCGUGAGAGGGGAGGGGAGCGGAGGAGAGGCGGCUGGAGCGGGGGAGCGGGGGAGCGGCGCCUGGUGUGCGAGCGGACAUGCGGGCUGACGGCUCGUGGUGGGGGUGGGGGGGAUGCGGGCCGCUCGCUCACGGACUAUUCAUAGCGACACGUGGAUAGCGUGACACCCCCUUCAUCCUUUGUACGUUCAAUUUGUGCCGGCCCUACCAAUAAAUAUAGACAAAGUAUGCAACACUGGAUACACUAGAACCUUCCUAACCGAGAUUCGCUUUGGAGCAUUCAAGAGCCUCAUAUAAAUAAAGAUUAAUUGUAUGGAUUUCCAGAACCAUCCACGCAAAUAAUUAUUACUAUAAAUUGAUUCACGUACUAUGUGCCCAUUUUUUAAUUAACAGUAAAUGAAAAUUUUGUAAUUCCAAAACUGGUAAAGGGUCCGUGGAAAUUGCAAAAAUAGGAAGGACGCCAUGAAUAACAGCGUCCAUGAUGGACUCUGUUGCUAACAGCGUCCAGGUCUAGACGGUAGUAUCGUCGGCAUCCAGUCAUGCCGUUCCAUUGGUGCUCUGAUGAGGCCCGAUUUUUUUAUUACUAGUAAUUAGUACAGCAGCAAUUAGAAAAUUGAUCAUGGUUGGGCCGAAAUUUGAAAAAUAGGAAGAAUGCUAUUGACAACGGCAUCCAGGCUGGACGUUAUUGCGAAUGAUGUCCAUGGCCAGACGCUGUUAUAAACAACGUCCAGUUAUGUGGUUCGGUCAGGUGCUCUUGUUUUAACUAUGUUGAGAGUAUUUCCUCUAAUAGAUUUAAUAUGUGAGCUUUGGUUUUUUUGUGAUGGUUGUGAGGCAUCGAUAACAAAUCACUGAAAUGCCCAUUUGUUCCAUUCUAGACCAGUUUGCUUUUGCCAAAUUAGAGGAGAAAUAGUCUUAACACACAUGAAUGUAUGUAUUUCUAAUUCAUUAGCUACUAAAACUGUCGCAAGAAAGUCUAAUUGUGCAUUCUACACCUAAGUCGUGAUUGCUUUUUGGGCUGCCUUGAGGGCGAAAGCUUCCAGCAAUUCAACCAUGGACAGUGUGCUCCGGUACACUCCUUGCUACUAAGAAAACAACUCGAGUGGUGAGCUAGUCAGGAGGCCUCCCCUCUUUCCCCUCUUCCUUCUGCGUCGCUCCCGUGAGCUAUGGAGGGUAACCCUAGCCACCGUCGUCGGGGUUCCCCCUCCCACUCUCCCUCCUCCCUAAUCGUUGAAAAAGGGCGUGGUCGGGCAAAGCCCGGUCGGCGUAGGCGGCGACGGGGAAGUUUUGUCUUCCAUGCACAGGAGGUCAGGCCUGGGCCAGAUCGAGCAGGCAUGGACACCGCCUUGGAAAACGGACAUGCUAGUGCGCCGAAGCGGUUACAGAUGGUGUUAUGGCGGCGGUGUGACGGGCGGCAUGGUGGCACGGGCAGCGCAGGCUGCGACCGGCACAUGUUGCUAGGUGUGGCGGCGUGGGUCAUGGGUGGAGCUGGCUACGAGCAGCUACCCCUGCCAUGGGCGUCCGGGCGGCAUGGUGUCCGGUGUUCAGCGACCAAUAGUGGUCUCGGAGACGGAGAGUGCGUGCGAUAGGGUAAUCCUUGUUUGGCUUGCACCAGGCCAAUGGCAGCGGCAACUGUAGACGUGGUUACCUUCGUGAAGGCGGCGUUGCGGCUACUCUCCUCCUUCGGUUUGCUCGUGAAACCCAUGAUUUUUUUGAAUUGGCGGUGGCGGUGCUCUGGUGUCGUGCCCUUCCUGAAGGCACCGUCUUGGAGUCCAUGAUUCAUCGGGUGCAACGUCGUCUCUUUGUGACACCUCUGUCAUGGUGGAGUACUCCGACCGCUUCUUGUAGGACACUCUUUGUAUUCUUGUUGUGAUCUUGGAGUGGGUUGUGGUGGUGUCGCUGUUAUUUUGCAUUGUUAUAUCCUGUCUCGGGUGUAUAUGGUGUGGUGUCGAGUUGUAUGAUCGUUGCGUUAUCUAUAAAGCAGGGUGUGAGCCUUUUUCGGUAGAAAACAACUCGAGUUCAUGCCAACAUGCACAGAUAUUCACGCACAAAUUCACAACGCAUCCACUCACAUGGUUAUGCAUGCCUAGUGUAGGAGAGCGAAAAUGAUGGGGAGAGGGCUCACGCUGACAUGUUAGUAGUUAGUGUUGCUAGAGAUGGCUCCGAGCGUAACAGGUAAGAGGUCGGGGCGGUCCUUGCUGAGGAGGAUAUGGCUGUCAGAGAUGGACAGCCAUGGCCCCGGCAGCAACGGGGGUUUAGCGGAUCACCAUUCGAGCGAGGCACGACGAUGGGAAUUGGCAAAGAGGGAUAACAAGGAGCAAAAUGAGGGUGGUGCGUUGCUAGAGUGCCAUUUUCGGUGGGCUGGAGGUGGCGGAGUCUAGCUUUGCUCCUGCGGAAGUUGCUGAGGGUACAAGUCGAAGACCGGAGAUAGCCGGACAGGGUCUGGUCGAACCAAACACAGUGGACGCUGUUUAUAAGAGUGUCCAGCUUUGGACGUUGUUGGUAUUGGCGUCCAGCCUUGGACGUUAUUAUUCCUAGCGUCCUUCCUAUUUUUCGAAUUUCUCAUUAGUGUUUCUUAGUUUCAAAAUUACUGGAAUAUUAAUUAUCAAUAAUAAAAAUUUCGGGAUUAGGCUCAAUUAAGCCGUUUUGCACUUAUAGAUAGAGGUUUCAUGACUUAUAAAACCUAAUACGCAUGUAGCCAUCGCUCCUUACCUCGCAGGGUUGUAAGCAAACUCUAGCGCGGGCAUCACUAAUCAUCACAGGAGCAGCAUCGUCUCACUGGCUACUCAUCAUUAGGAUCAUUCGCUCGUCAUUAGGAUCAUCCACUCGACCUAUGAAUGGCGCAUGUGAGUUGUUCCAAGUACUCGUUGAAUCUUCUUCGUUUGCUAUUCUGUAUAAUUUAUUCAGUGGUUACAAGGGUACAUUGUAUAGAUGACUUGGUUGUUACUCUUGGGUAAUAUAAUUGGUAAUUGCCUAGUUUAUGAGAAUAGAUAAGUCAACCUUGAGUUGGCGGCCGCGCUUUUGCUUCUACAUGCCGGUGCAUCGCUGCCAGUACUUCUAGGAGCAUGGCGUGCCGGCGCCGUAGCUCAAUGUGAACCUACCAUAAGGGUGCCAACUCAACCUCGAUAGGGUUCCGGUGCCGGCCCUGCUAGCCUCAGGCCACGCGUAGCUGAUCCACCACCACCCGUGCUCUACUACUGUUGACAUUCGCCGUGACCCAACGUACACGAUGGAUUCGCCAAAGGGGGAUGUGUGGUUCGCCACCGAGAACGGCCAGCGUUGUCGGUAGUGCUUCGAGUGUGCGUUCGAUGCACCGCGCGCACUCGCUGCUCCACCACCACUGCCGGUCGUGGCAGGCGGAGCAGCAGCUGGCAACCUUCCAAUAGGCGUUCCCGUGGAUGGUGGCGCCAAUCUACAUCAACCUGACCAAGGAGGAGGAGGACAACGACGACGCUGCCUAGAUCUACUGCCCGUAGCUGACUAUUUUCUAGUUUUCAUUUAUUUUUUAGAUUUAAUUAAUAUAAAUAAGACUUAUGUUGGCUGUUUUCUUUUUCAAAAUUUCCAAAAGCUAGCACAAAUGUGAUAUGCUUCCGACCGUGUUGGACGCACGUACGAACCGGCAGACAAAAACGAACACUGGCGUCCACCUGACCAACCUAAAUGAAUAAAGAACGAAGAAAAUCUGCGUCAAUUUGGGUCGCCUCGGAGUUUCCCUCGGACGGAGGCCAAGUUCAACACAUGGGACGCUGCUAACAAUAGCGUCCAGGUGUGGACGUGAUUCACAACAGCGACCAAGCCUGGACGCUACUAAUCGUUGCCUCCUUCCUAUUUUUCAAAAUUCCAACUUAUCAUUACUAGUUUCAGAAUUACAUAAUGACACUUAUCGUUUCAGGGAUGGCCUACUAUCCACUUUGUUGGAAAUAUGCCCUAGAGGCAAUAAUAAAUUGGUUAUUAUUAUAUUUCCUUGUUCAUGAUAAUCGUUUAUUAUCCAUGCUAGAAUUGUAUUGAUAGGAAACUCAGAUACAUGUGUGGAUACAUAGACAACACCAUGUCCCUAGUAAGCCUCUAGUUGACUAGCUCGUUGAUCAAUAGAUGGUUAUGGUUUCCUGACCAUGGACAUUGGAUGUCGUUGAUAACGGGAUCACAUCAUUAGGAAAAUGAUGUGAUGGACAAGACCCAAUCCUAAGCCUAGCACAAAGAUCGUGUAGUUCGUAUGCUAAAGCUUUUCUAAUGUCAAGUAUCAUUUCCUCAGACCAUGAGAUUGUGCAACUCCCGGAUACCGUAGGAGUGCUUUGGGUGUGCCAAACAUCACAACGUAACUGGGUGGCUAUAAUGGUUCACUACAGGUAUCUCCGAAAGUGUCUGUUGGGUUGGCACGAAUCGAGACUGGGAUUUGUCACUCCGUGUAAACGGAGAGGUGUCUCUGGGCCCACUCGGUAGGACAUCAUCAUAAUGUGCACAAUGUGAUCAAGGAGUUGAUCACGAGAUGAUGUGUUAUGGAACGAGUAAAGAGACUUGCCGGUAACGAGAUUGAACAAGGUAUCGGGAUACCGACGAUCGAAUCUCGGGCAAGUAUCGUACCGCUAGACAAAGGGAAUUGUAUACGGGAUUGAUUAAGUCCUUGACAUCGUGGUUCAUCCGAUGAGAUCAUCGUGGAACAUGUGGGAGCCAACAUGGGUAUCCAGAUCCCGCUGUUGGUUAUUGGCCGGAGAGGUGUGUCGGUCAUGUCUGCAUGGUUCGCGAACCCGUAGGGUCUACACACUUAAGGUUCGAUGACACUAGGGUUAUAGGGAAAGUAUGUACGCGGUUACCGAAUGUUGUUCGGAGUCCCGGAUGAGAUCCCGGACAUCACGAGGAGUUCCGGAAUGGUCCGGAGGUAAAGAUUUAUAUAUGGGAAGUCCUGUUUUGGUCACCGGAAAAGUUUCGGGUGCUAUCGGUAACGUACCGGGACCACCGGGAGGGUUCCGGGGGUCCACCAGGUGGGGCUACCUGCCCAGAGGGCUGCGUGGGCCAAGUGUGAGAGGGGACCAGCCCCAGGUGGGCUGGUGCGCCCCCCCCACCAGGGCCCAAGGCAAAGAGAGAGGGGAAAAGGGGGAAACCCUAGGCUCAGAUGGGCCUAAGGCCCACCUAGUGGUGCGCCCCCCCUCUCUUCCCCCUUGGCCGCCCCCUAGAUGGGAUCUAGGGCUGGCCGCCACCCCUAGGGGUGGAAACCUAGGUGGGGGCGCAGCCCCUCCCCUCCCCUAUAUAUACUUGAGGUUUUGGGCUGCCAGAGACACGAAAACAUCUCCUUCUUGGCGCAGCCCUACCCCUCUUCCUCCUUGUCUCUCGUAGUGCUUGGUGAAGCCCUGCUGGAGUCCCGCGCUCCUCCACCACCACCACACCAUCGUGCUGCUGAUGGAUGGAGUCUUCCCCAACCUCUCCUUCUCCCCUUGCUGGAUCAAGGCGUAGGAGACGUCACCGGGCUGUACGUGUGUUGAACACGGAGGUGCCGUCCGUUCGGCACUAGGAUCAUCGGUGAUUUGGAUCACGACGAGUACGACUCCAUCAACCCCGUUCACUUGAACGCUUCCGCUUAGCGAUCUACAAGGGUAUGUAGAUGCACUCUCCUUCCCCUCGUUGCUAGAUUACUACAUAGAUUGAUCUUGGUGAUGCGUAGAAAAUUUUGAUUUUCUGCUACUUCCCCAACAGUGGUAUCAUGAGCUAGGUCUAUGCGUAGUUUCUAUGCACGAGUAGAACACAAGUUGUUCUGGGCGUCGAUUUUGUCAAUUUGCUUGCCGUUACUAGUCUUAUCUUGAUUCGGCGGCAUCGUGGGAUGAAGCGGCCCGGGCCGACCUUACACGUACUCUUACGUGAGACUGGUUCCACCGACUGACAUGCACUAGUUGCAUAAGGUGGCUAGCGGGUGUCUGUCUCUCCCACUUUAGUCGGAUCGGAUUCGAUGAAAAGGGUCCUUAUGAAGGGUAAAUAGAAAUUGGCAUAUCACGUUGUGGUUUUUGCAUAGGUAAGAAACGUUCUUUCUAGAAACCUAUAGCAGCCACGUAAAAACUUGCAACAACAAUUAGGGGACGUCUAACUUGUUUUUGCAGCAUAUGCCUUGUGAUGUGAUAUGGCCAAAAGGAUGUGAUGAAUGAUAUAUGUGAUGUAUGAGAUUGAUCAUGUUCUUGUAAUAGGAAUCACGACUUGCAUGCCGAUGAGUAUGACAACCGGCAGGAGCCAUAGGAGUUGUCUUAAUUUAUUUAUGACCUGCGUGUCAACAUAAACAUCAUGUAAUUACUUUACUUUAUUGAUAAAGCGUUAGCCAUAGUAGUAGAAGUAAUAGAUGACGAGACAACUUCAAGAAGACACGAUGAUGGAGAUCAUGGUGUCAUGCCGGUGACAACGAUGAUCAUGGAGCCCCGAAGAUGGAGAUCAAAAGGAGCAAAAUGAUAUUGGCCAUAUCAUGUCACUAUUUGAUUGCAUGUGAUGUUUAUCAUGUUUUACAUCUUAUUUGCUUAGAACGACGGUAGCUUAAAUAAGAUGAUCCCUCACUAAAAUUUCAAGAAAAGUGUUCCCCCUAACUGUGCACCAUUGCGAAGGUUCGUUGUUUCGAAGCACCACGUGAUGAUCGGGUGUGAUAGAUUCUAACGUUCGAAUACAACGGGUGUAAGCCAGAUUUACACAGCAAAAACACUUAGGUUGACUUGACGAGCCUAGCAUGUACAGACAUGGCCUCAGAACAUGGAAGACCGAAAGGUCGAGCAUGAGUCGUAUAGAAGAUAAGAUCAACAUGAAGAUGUUCACCGAUGUUGACUAGUCCGUCUCACGUGAUGAUCGGACACGACCUAGUUGAAUCGGAUCAUGUUUCACUUAGAUGACUAGAGGGAUGUCUAUCUGAGUGGGAGUUCAUUAGAUGAACUCAAUUAUCAUGAACAUAGUCUAAAUUGUCUUUGCAAAUAUGUUGUAGAUAAAUAGCUCACGUUGUAGCUCCCUGUUUCAAUACGUUCCUAGAGAAAUAUUAAGUUGAAAGAUAUUGUAAGCAAUGAUGCGGACUAGGUCCGUAGUCCGAGGAGUGUCCUCACUGCUACACAGAAGGCUUACGUCUUUGAUGCACCGCUCGAUGUGCAAACCCCUACAACAUCGUCUGUGGAUGUUGUGACCACCUGACAGAUACAUCCUGAUGACUACAUGAUAGUUUAGUGCACCAUACUUUAUGGCUUAGAAUCGGGAUUCCAAUGACGUUUUGAACGCCAUAGAACAUAUGAGAUGUUCCAAGAGCUGAAAUUGGGAUUUCAGGCUCAUGCCCGUGAUUGAGAGGUGUGAGACCUCUGACAAGUUCUUUUGCCAACAAGAUGGAGGAGAAUAGCUCAGCUAGUGAGCAUGUGCUCAGAAUGUCUGGGUGCUACAAUCACUUAAAUCAAGUGGGAGUUAAACUUCCAGAUAAGAUAGUGAUUGAUAGAGUUCUCUAGCCACUAUCACUAAGCUACUAGAUCUUUGUGAUGAACUAUGACAUGCAAGGGAUGGAGUUGAUCCCGGAGCUGUUCGCGGUGCUUAAGACCGUAAAGGGUAGAAAUCAAGAAGGAGCAUCAAGUGUUGAUGGUUUAACAAGACCACUGAUUUCAAGAAGGGCAAGGGCUAGAAGGGAAACUUCAUGGAUGGUAAACCAGUUACCGCUCCAGUGAAGGAACCCAAGGUUGAACCCAAACCCGAGACUAAGUGCUUCUAUUGUAAGGGGAACGGUCACUGGUAGCGGAAUUACCCCAAAUGCAUGGUAGAUAAGAAGGCUGACAACUUCAACAAAGUAUAUACGUGUUAUUAAUGUGUACCUCGCUAGUACUCUUGGUAGCACCUGGGUAUUGGAUACCGGUUCAGUUGCUAUUACUGGUGACUUGAAGCAAAAGCUACGGACUAAACGGAGACUGGCUAAGGGCGAGGUGACGAUGUGUGUUGGAAGUGUUUCCAAAGUUGAUGAGAUCACCAUCGCACGCUCCAUCUGCCUUCGGGAUUAGUAUCGAACCUAGAUAAAUGUUAUCAGGUGUCUACAUUGAGCAUGAAUAUGAUUAGAUCAUGUUCAUUGCAAUACGGUCAUUCAUUUAAGUUAGAGAAUAAUGGUUAUUCUGUUUACAUGAAUGAUAUCUUUCAUGGUCAUGCACCCUAUGUGAAUGGUUCAUUGAAUCUCGGUCGUGGUAAUACACAUGUUCACGCCAAAAGAUGUAGAGUUAAUAAUGAUAGUACCACUUUCUCGUGGCACUGCCGCUUAGGUCAUAUUGGCGUAAGAUGCAUGAAGAAACUCCAUGUCGAUGGAUGUUUGGAGUCACUUGAUUUUGAAUCGCUUGACACAUGCGAGCCAUGCCUCAUGGGCAGGAUGACUAAGACCCCGCUUUCAGGUACAAUGAAACGGGCAAGUGACUUGUUGGAAAUCAUACAUGUUGAUGCGUGUGAUCCAAUGAGAAUUGAAGCGUGCGGUGGAUAUCGCUAUUUUCUCAUCUUCACUGACGAUUUGAGUAGAUAUAGGUAUAUUUACUUGAUGAAGCACAAGUCUGAAACGUUUGAAAAGUUCAAGCGAUUUCAGAGUGAAGUUAAGAAUCAUCAUAACAAGAAGAUCAAAUUCCUAUGAUCUGAUCAAUGAGAAUAUCUGAGUUAUGAGUUUGGCAAACACUGACAUUAUGGAAUUGUUUCACAGUUGAAGCCACCUGGAACACCACUGGGUUAUGGUGUGUCCGGACGUCGUAAUCGAACCUUAUGAGAUAUGGUGCGAUCUAUGAUGUCUCUUAUCAAUCUACCGUUUUCAUUUUGAGGUUAUGCGUUAGAGACAGAUGCAUUCACUUUAGAUAGGACACCAUUUAAGUCCGUUGAGACGGUGUCGUAUGAACAUUGGUUUGCUAAGAAACCAAAGUUGUCGUUUCUUAAUGUUUGGGGCUGCGAUGCUUAAGGCUUCAGCCGGAGAAGCUCGAACCCAAAGCGGACAAACACAUCUUCAUAGAAUACCCAAAGGUGACAGUUGGGUAUACCUUCUAUCUCAGAUCCAAGGGCAAAUUGUUUGUCACUAAGAACAGGUCCUUUCUCGAGAAGGAGUUUCUCUCGAAAGAAUUGAGUGGGUGGAAGAUAGAACUUGAUGAGGUUGUUGAACCUUUAUUUCAACCAGAGAAUGAUGCAACACAGAAAGAUGUUUUAUGUGGCACCUACGUCUGUUGAAUAGGAAGUUAAUGAUAGUGAUCAUGAAGCUUCGGAUCAAGUUGCUAUCGAACCUCGUAGGUCGACAAGGAUAUGUACUACUCCUAAGUGGUACGAUAAUCCUGUCUUAGACAUCAUGUUGUUAGACAACAAUGAACCUACGAUCUAUGGAGAAGCGAUGGUGGGCCCGUAUUCCGACAAAUGGUUAGAAGCCAUGAAAUCCGAGAUAGGAUUCAUAUAUCAGAACAAAGUAUGGACUUUGGUGGACUUGCCCGAUGAUUGGCAAGCCAUUGAGAUAAAUGGAUCUUUAAGAAGAAGACGGAUGUGGGCGGUAAUGUUACCGUCUAUGAAGCUCGACUUGUGGGAAAGAGUCUUUUCACAAGUUCAAGGAGUUGACCACGAUGAGAAUUUCUCACCCGUAGCGAUGCUUGAGUCCGUCGGAAUUAUGAUAGCAUUAGCUGUAUUUUUCGAUUAUGAAAUCUUACAAAUGGAUGUCAAAACAAGUUUUCUUACCAGUUUUUCAUAAGAAAAGUUGUAUGUGGUACAAUAAAGGGUUUUGUCGAUCCUAAGGAUGCUAAAAGGUAUGCUGGCUCCAGCGAUCCUUCUAUGGACUAGAGCAAGCAUCUCGGAAUCGGAAUAUAUGCUUUGAUGGAGUGAUCAAAGCUUUUAGGUUUAUACAAUGUUUGCUAGAAACUUGUAUUUACAAGAAAGUGAGUGGGAGCACUACAACAUUUCUGAUAAGUAUAUGUGGAUGACAUAUUGUUGAUUCGAAAUGAUGUAGAAUUUCUGGAAAGCAUAAACGGUUGUUUGAAGAGUGUUUUUCAAAGGAAGACCUGGAUAAAGCUGCUUACAUAUUGGGCAUCAAGAUCUAUAGAAAUAGAUCAAAACGCCUGAUGAUACUUCCAAAGAACGCACACCUUGACAUGUUUUUGAAGGAGUUCACAAUAGAUCAGUCAAAGAAGGGGUUCUUACCUGAGUUGUAAGGUGUGAAGUUGAGUAAGACUCAAAGCUUGACCACGGCAGAAGAAAGAGGAAGGACGAAGGUCGUCCCCUAUGCUCUUGUCAUAGGCUCUAUACGGUAUGCCAUGCUGAGUACCGCACCUGAUGUGUGCCUUGCCACAUGUCUGGCAAGAGGGUACAAAGGUGAUCUAGGACUGGAUCACCAGAUAACGGUCAAAAUUGUCCUUAGAGGAAUAAGGAAAUGUUUCUCGGUUAUGGAGGUGAUAAAGAGUUCGACAUAAAGAGUUACGUCGAUGCAAGCUUAACACCUAUCCGGAUAGCUCUUAGUAGAGAUACCGGAUAUGUAUAAUGGAGCAACAAUUUGGAACAGCUCCAAGUGGAACGUGGUAGCAGCAUCUACGAUAUAAAGUUUUGCGAAAUACAUAGGGAUCUGAAUAUGGCAAGACCCGUUGACUACAACCUCUCUCACAAGCAUAACAUGAUCAAACCCAGAACUCUUUGAGUGUUUAUCACAUAGUGAUGAGAACUAGAUCAUUGAGUCUAGUAAACUCUUGGAUGUUGGUCACAUGGUGAUGUGACCUGUGAGUGUUAAUCACAUGGCGAUGUGAACUAGAUUAUUGACUCUAGUGCAAGUGGGAGACUGUUGGAAAUAUGCCCUAGAGGCAAUAAUAAAUUGGUUAUUAUUAUAUUUCCUUGUUCAUGAUAAUCGUUUAUUAUCCAUGCUAGAAUUGUAUUGAUAGGAAACUCAGAUACAUGUGUGGAUACAUAGACAACACCAUGUCCCUAGUAAGCCUCUAGUUGACUAGCUCGUUGAUCAAUAGAUGGUUACGGUUUCCUGACCACGGACAUUGGAUGUCGUUGAUAACGGGAUCACGUCAUUAGGAGAAUGAUGUGAUGGACAAGACCCAAUCCUAAGCCUAGCACAAAGAUCGUGUAGUUCGUAUGCUAAAGCUUUUCUAAUGUCAAGUAUCAUUUCCUUAGACCAUGAGAUUGUGCAACUCCCGGAUACCGUAGGAGUGCUUUGGGUGUGCCAAACGUCACAACGUAACUGGGUGGCUAUAAAGGUUCACUACAGGUAUCUCCGAAAGUGUCUGUUGGGUUGGCACGAAUCGAGACUGGGAUUUGUCACUCCGUGUAAACGAAGAGGUAUCUCUGGGCCCACUCGGUAGGACAUCAUCAUAAUGUGCACAAUGUGAUCAAGGAGUUGAUCACGGGAUGAUGUGUUACAGAACGAGUAAAGAGACUUGCAGGUAACGAGAUUGAACAAGGUAUCGGGAUACCGACGAUCGAAUCUCGGGAAAGUAUCGUACCGCUAGACAAAGGGAAUUGUAUACGGGAUUGAUUAAGUCCUUGACAUCGUGGUUCAUCCGAUGAGAUCAUCGUGGAACAUGUGGGAGCCAACAUGGGUAUCCAGAUCCCGCUGUUGGUUAUUGGCCGGAGAGGUGUGUCGGUCAUGUCUGCAUGGUUUCCGAACCCGUAGGGUCUACACACUUAAGGUUCGAUGACGCUAGGGUUAUAGGGAAAGUAUGUACUCGGUUACCUAAUGUUGUUUGGAGUCCCGGAUGAGAUCCCGGACAUCAUCAGGAGUUCCGGAAUGGUCCGGAGGUAAAGAUAUAUAUAUGGGAAGUCCUAUUUUGGUCACCAGAAAAGUUUCGGGUGCUAUCGGUAACGUACCGGGACCACCGGGAGGGUCCCGGGGGUCCACCAGGUGGGGCUACCUGCCCCAGAGGGCUGCGUGGGCCAAGUGUGAGAGGGGACCAGCCCUAGGUGGGCUGGUGUUCCCCCCCCACCAGGGCCCAAGGCGAAGAGAGAAGGGAAAAGGGGGAAACCCUAGGCUCAGAUGGGCCUAAGGCCCACCUAGUGGUGCGCCCCCCCUCUCUCCCCCCUUGGCCGCCCCCUAGAUGGGAUCUAGGGCUGGCCGCCACCCCUAGGGGUGGAAACCUAGGUGGGGGCGCAGCCCCUCCCCUCCCCCUAUAUAUACUUGAGGUUUUGGGCUGCCAGAGACACGAAAACAUCUCCUUCUUGGUGCAGCCCUACCCCUCUUCCUCCUUGUCUCUCGUAGUGCUUGGCGAAGCCCUGCUGGAGUCCCGCGCUCCUCCACCACCACCACGCCGUCGUGCUGCUGCUGGAUGGAGUCUUCCCCAACCUCUCCUUCUCCCCUUGCUGGAUCAAGGCAUAGGAGACGUCACCGGUCUGUACGUGUGUUGAACACGGAGGUGCCGUCCGUUCGGCACUAGGAUCAUCGGUGAUUUGGAUCACGACGAGUACGACUCCAUCAACCCCGUUCACUUGAACGCUUCCGCUUAGCAAUCUACAAGGGUAUGUAGAUGCACUCUCCUUCCCCUUGUUGCUAGAUUACUACAUAGACUGAUCUUGGUGAUGCGUAGAAAAUUUUGAAUUUCUGCUACGUUCCCCAACACACUUAUCGUUACAGUAGGCCAUCCCUGAUGGUACCAGUACUUUGCUACCGGCUAGCCUAGCGGGUGGUGACAUGGAUCCGACUUGAGGGCGGAUCGGUAGUUUCUCUCUCUUACUUUUGCAGGUAAGGACAUCUCCGAGGCGUGACAGUAAGGCCAACCCCACCGCGCGACCUCAUCCUGUCCGGCCCCGUCCGUUUGGGGUAAAGAGGACAAACGAGGCGGCCCAGUGCGCGACAGUCCGAACCCAUCUGGUCCGUUUUGUAUCCAGGCCGACCCAUUUCAAGCGCAUUUUUGCAUCGGGUUUGGGUCGCCGCGGACACCGAACGGACGCGCCGCUCGUCCGCGUCUGACCGCGUGGCGGGGCGGCCACCUACCUCCCGCCCGCCAACAUCAAUGCGCAUGGGUGGCAGACCCCACCUGUCAUCGGCCUAGUGGAAGGUCGCCGUCCUUCUUAAAUGGGGAACCCGUGGACCGGUCGUCGUCCACACUGCCCCACUUCAUCCAGCAGCCUCCUCGAAACCCGACCGCGCUAAACCCUAGCCCCCUCCCUUGUCGAGAUCGCCGGUCGGCCACCCUCGACCCCAUGGGCUUCUGGAACCGUAAGGGGAAGCACGACCGCGAGGCCGGCUCCUCGUCGGGGCGCCGCGCCGGCUCCGGGAAGAAGGAGGCCGCAUCACCACCACGUCGGGCCCCCGCGUCGACGGCUUUCUCCAUCGCCCCCACGUCCGUCGGCGAGCGCGACCGGCACUACGUCUGCGUCGGUGUGCCGCCGUUAUUGGGAGACGAGGACGCCGCUCUCCUGGAGCGACGUCCAUCUCCCCAAUAACUGGCAUCUCUCCGCCGACCGGAUCCCGAUCCCGCCGGUCCCGACGAGCGGCCGUCCGCGCGACAAGGAGGUCGAGCGCCACCGCCGCCUCCUCCUCCCUGACGACCUCUUCUACGACCCCAGGUACGCCCCCGACUCCGGGCUCUGGGACACCUAGUUUCGUGACGAGCAUGACACCAGGCGCACGUCGUUCUUCGCCGGCACCUCGACGAGGCCCCGGCGGCCACGACAGGAGCGCGGGCGUAGGCGGGUGCGCGGCGUCACGCCCACGCCGUCGCCUUCGCCAUCUCCAUCGCCACCACCACCUCCUCGCAUGACGGAGGAGGAGGAGGCCCGUCUCAUGGCGCGUGUUAUGGAGGACUCCAUGUACACGCACGAUGAGCGGCAAUGGGAGGGCCUGGAGGAGAUGACGGCCCGCUCCGCUGCCGGCGAGGUAGCCAUCCCCGAGGAGGAGGCGACGGAGGAGGAGCCGGUGGCCGCGUUCCACUCGGGUCUGCUGGGCCAGGGGUGGGGCUGGUCCUGCACUGCACCGAAGAUGGCCGCCGCCGUGGGCGUGGACUGGUGCGCCACUCCGCUGCGGUCACCGAAGCGGGAGGCGUCGCCACGGGAGGAGGUCGUGCAGGCACCUCCUGCCGUCCAGCCUGCCCCCGUCUACCACGCACCGCCGACCUACGUGGACCUCGUCAGCGACGACGACGACGCCAGCGGGCACUGAAGAUGGCGACGGCGACUGCACCGACGAGCACAGGCAGGAGCGCGCUGGCCGCGGCCGUUUUUUAUUUUCUUUUUCAUGUUUAAUUAUGUCAAGUUGGACGUGAAACUGGGCGUUUUGUGGCCGACCCUAACUAAGUUUUAUGUUUAUUAAACCGCGCUUAUUUAACUUUUUUAGUCAUUUUAUUUAUGUUUUUCUAUUUUUUUAAAUCAUGUCCAACGCGGACGUGAUUUGGGGUGCGUCCGCGCGGUGGGCGCACGCACGACCCAACGGACAAGACCGGACACGGGCGAACCUAUCGCCGCCCCAAAGGGACAAAAUCCGGCCAAACCGGACGUUCGUUUGGGGUCGCGUGGUGGAGUUGGCGUAAAUUUGUUCCAGCAUUUGAGACCAGUCAGCGGACACCGGAGGCCACACCCUCCCACGAUGUUCGUAUAUAUUUUUCAUUUGGACUAACAAGACGAAUUCAUAUAAACACAGCGAAUUUGAUAUAAAUUGGACGAAAUUCAUUAUAUUUAGAACAUUUUUUAACUAAAAACUAUCCAUUUCCAUGACACGAAUACUCUUGACCAGUCUACGGCCGGCUGCAGUGAAUCUUUAUUGUCAUCCCCAUGUCCGUUAGCCCGCACAUCGGACUUGUGAGUACCAGAGAUAUAUGCUUCAGCGUAAAGGGCGGUUCGCUUACUAAUCUUCGGCAGCGCCGCUCAUUAGAGUGGAACCGUAGGGAUGUGCAUCAGCCGGAGAGGAAGGGGACGACACUGGCCUGUGACCAGGCAAGACACAGUCUGCGUACGCCGGCGUCGCCUCGAUGGUGCCCUUCGUGAGACCGAAGCGGUGGCGGUCUUCCAUGUUAUACUUCUCCUUGAUGAUGGCGGCUGGCGUGAACAUGCGGGCCACCGUUUUGUCGAUCUUCGUGAAACCGGCUUCUUUCUUCGUUGGCAGGGCGCGGUUACGCGUUCGUUGACGGUGGAUGGCAUGGUCAUGUGCACGGGAGGAGCGGUACGACACGCGUCGUCCACAGUAGUCACAAUGCCGUGCCGCCGUGCUCCCCCGCGUGUCGGCAUGGAGCAACUUGCCGCUCCUCGGCAAGUUGGCUUGGAGCGGCGAGUUGUGGAACGAUGCGCCGACUUGGAGCUUCUGCCUUCGCGAGCUGGCUCGCAGCGACCUAGAGUGUCGAGGAUGGUGGAGCAGAGAGUUGCCUGGCUCGUAUCCAAUGGGUUCGACGGGCCACACAGCCGGCUUUUAUGCCGGAGAACUCCUCCUCCUGCUCGUCGGAUGCCAUGGCGAUUAUGGAGAAAAUUGUGCAAGGAGGAGAUGGGAGCGGAGUGUGGUGCGACUUUUGCCUAGCGUCUGGCGCCUUUUAAAUAGCGGGCGGACUGCCGGAGCCAACCGGCCUUGUGAUUAAUGAUGGGCGGCUCGCAAACAGAUGUGUGGACAUAGUUGGUUUCUCGGCACAUGCGUAGGUUUAGUGGAGGAAGGCGGGCAGUCUAUGGCCGUUUGAAUGAGGUGAGGAGGCAUGUUCAGCCGGGUGUGCAUCGCACCGCUUCAAUGCUGAUAGUGAUAUGUUGCGUCAGUCCUGUGUCGGCGUCAAUGCGGAGCGGCCGCUCUUCAGCGGCAUGAAUGCGGGUAGCUGGCGCCGGGCGAGAAAGCGCGUGGGCGCGGGUAAUUGUUUCGGUUGGGUCAGGAUGGUCAGACGUGGGCGUGGCAGCGGACCAGACGCCUGCAAAGCCCCACACUUUGUCUUCGGUUUGCGAGGGAAAAUGUGUCCGGACCCGGUGGAUCGAUGUAGACCCGCGUUGGAUGGCUUACGCUGUCUAGACCGCUUGAUCCGGACGUAUGCGGGCGUUUUGAAGGUCCAUAGUGGAUACCCGUAUAGCCUCUCAGUCUUAUAAUGCAGUGCAUAUAGAUUUUCAUAAAAGUCAGACUUAAAAAUAUAUUUAUAUCCAUGUUGGGUAUAUGAUUAUUAGAAAGUAUAUGAUAAACUAGGAUUUGGUUCUGCAUUGUCUUAUACUUUAAAUUGAUCAUUGUAUUUCAAUAUAUAUAUGCCCACGAGGCUCAAGCAAUGCAAAAAAAAAACUGUUCCGAGGUCUUCCCACCGUCGCUCCAACCCGCCUGCUGCCGCCGCGUCGCCCCUUUGGACUGUGACGCCGGGCCUACGGUCCACCGCCAUCCCCGCGCGUCGACUCCCGUGGUAUGUGCCGCGUCGCCUUCCUUGGCGCGGGAACGCCAUUAUCCGCACCGGUCCUCAUCAUGCUGUCGGGUUCCUCGCCUACUUCGAGCAUCGCCGCCGCACUCCUAACCUAGCCGCCUCCCCCUANNNNNNNNNNNNNNNNNNNNNNNNNNNNNNNNNNNNNNNNNNNNNNNNNNNNNNNNNNNNNNNNNNNNNNNNNNNNNNNNNNNNNNNNNNNNNNNNNNNNNNNNNNNNNNNNNNNNNNNNNNNNNNNNNNNNNNNNNNNNNNNNNNNNNNNNNNNNNNNNNNNNNNNNNNNNNNNNNNNNNNNNNNNNNNNNNNNNNNNNNNNNNNNNNNNNNNNNNNNNNNNNNNNNNNNNNNNNNNNNNNNNNNNNNNNNNNNNNNNNNNNNNNNNNNNNNNNNNNNNNNNNNNNNNGUGACUAUGAGGGAUGUUGAGUAUAUGAUUAUUAGGAAGUAUAAUAUAGACUAGGAUUUGGUCAUGCCUUGUCUUAUACUUCAAGUUGAUCAUUAUAUUCCUAUAUAUAUAGGAGUAUAAUAGUGUUAUUGUUCAUCAUCCAGGGUACAGAAUACGUUAUUUUUACCCGAGGUAAUCUUAUGUUCGUUUCCUAAAUAAAUUAUGUUUAGAAUAUAAAUAGUUACAUGCAUAUUGAUUAAAUACGUAAAAUUUGGUAUAAAAAAUUAAGAAUAUAGGUUAUAAAACAGAAAAAUCACAUUUUAUGUAUGUUUUACACUAUAUUUUUACAAUUGUAAUUUUAUGUAACAUAAAAUAUUUUUUACGGCAAGUACAUAUUUUCUUACAUUCUCUUUUUAUGUAUGAAACAAAAAAAAAAUUACGAAACAUAUAAAUACGGUGCAUUGAUGUCAAAAUAGAGAGGGGUGAAGAAUAACUAUUCAUCAUCCAGGGUGACGAAUAGCGCGACCCUUCAAAAUAUUGUCUUAUUAUGUAUCUAUUGAUAUUUAUUUGGUAUUCUAGAUGUAUUUGUUUCUCUAUAAAGUUGAUCAAAUUUUGUAAAAGUAUUCUUCGCAAAAAAAAGUUUGUAAAAUUUGACUUAAAAAAAUCAAUAUGCACUAUAUAUUAUGAAAAGUAUUUAUCUCCUCUUUUUCCUCACUUCCCUUGUCCGUUUUCUUGUCAACCCGCCGGAUCUGGCGGGCCUGGCCCUGCCCCACCCUCUGCAUGUGCUGCGAUCGAGUGCUUUUCUGCUUUUCUCGUGUGCUGCUUCCUGGUUGGAGAUUCUCGUCCCGUGUAUGUGACUGGGUCGGGGGCAUGCAAGAUGGGAUCUUGCACCGACGUGCUGUCUGCUGAUUAGGUAGAAGUUUGCUUUAAACUUGGAAAGUAACCAAGUUAGUUAGGCAGUAGUAAGUGCUGUGCAUAGAAAGCACUAAUCCUAAUAGACUACUAUAUUAAAUUUCCUUCAAAAAUAUAAGUAGUAGUAUAAUUUAAUUAGUACAUGCGAUUUGGUAGCUUGCCGUAGUUGUUUGAGUUAGGCAAGAGAUAAUUAGGUGAUCGACGGAUCGUGUGAGUCUGUUGUAGCAGGUUAGUGCUGACAGCUGCUCUCUAAGUCGUUCCUAUAUUUGAUAGUAUUAUAAUUCAUACUGGUGCAUACAUAUAUCUUUAAUAACAAUAUAAUAACAAUAUAAUAACAAUGUAAUAAUAAUAAUAAUAAUAAUAAUAUCUUUAUCUUUACCUAAUAAUAAAGCAAAUUGGGUUUCUUUCGUCCGUCAUGGCAUUUUUUAGAAAAGUUCCUCUAUUUCAGAGAAUUCAACCCGCAGUCCUGUUUUAAGUUAAAACGAAUCGUUAUUUUCGUAUUUUACACAAACAUCCCUGUCUUUUCUUGUAAUCAAUCCGCCGUCCGGAUUUAAGUCACACCCGAACUGUUAUUUUACAAUUUUUUGAAACCCCCCCUGAUAUUUUAGAUAAUUCAUCUGCGGAUCAUAUUUAAGUCAAACAAAUGCUUUUUAAAAUCAUCCAUAUCUUUUAAACCGUAACUCCGAUUUGAACAUGUUAUAUAUGAAAUUUGAUUAGAAAAAUAUGUAGAAUAUGAAUAUGAGAUUAUUUUUACCUGUUAAGUACUUUUAAAUAUUAUUUUGGAAUAUAUUUGAGUCAAACCAAAUAAUUUUCUAAAUUAUCUGUAUCUUUUAAACCGUAACUUCGAUUUUAACAUAUUAUAUAUGAAAUUUUAUUAGAAAAAUGUGUGAAAUCUAAAGAUGAUGUUAAUUUUACCUGUUAAAUAUUUUUAAAAUAUUGUUAUGGAAGCAAACUUUUAUAAUUUAUAGCGCAAGAUUUGUUUUUUUUCAUACCGGCGGCCAUCCGGAUUGCAAAUAAACACCCCACUAUAACCAUAUACGAAAAAGAAAACAUCGAUAACUACACAUGCAUACUUCUGAAAAAUGUCGUAGGGGAAAACAACAAAUUUCUCAUCGCGAGAGUGAGAGAAAGCGGGCGAGAGAGAGAGGGAGAGAGAGAGAGAGGGAGAGGGAGGAGAGAGGGAGGAGAGAGACGUCUUAUGAUUAACCAUAUUCAACACACGUUUUUUGUUGUUUUGUGUGAACACUGAGGCCAUCACCGGCGAGGGUGAGAAGGAGGAUAAGCGGCAACACAAAUAUGAUGCCUCGCAAAAAUAAAGGAGAUGGACCUAUUAUGGUCUUGAGUGAUGAUUGUUGAGUCAAGAGCGUGUGUUAUAUUUUCUCUCCCAUUGCAACGUACAGGCUCUUUUGCUAGUAAUAAUAAAACACACAUUGCUUCUUACCCCUGAUUUUCGUCCGCUUCCUGUUUCGUAUGUCGUCCGUCGUCGUAAGUCACCGAGCCUGGCCAAAAGAACAAACCAGCCCGUGUGCUAUGGCCCAGUGAAUCCGGCCCACGGGAGGCAAAAAUUCAGCUAGCAAAUUACACAGGAUCGAACUCAGAACCUCCUAGAAAAUGUUUCUGUUUACUACCACCUCGCUUUAGUACAUCUCACAGCACCAAUUAAAAUAUAUGUGUGAAAACUGCAACUACGUGGAAGCUGGCUGCUCGAUAGAGAAAUACAGGAAGGAUAAUUCAAGGAAAGAUUGUCGGAAAAUUAAUGAGAGAAAUAUAAGAAGGGUAAUUCAAGGAAGGAUUGAGAAUUGAGGACAAGUCGAUAAUAUAGACUGAGAGAAAUAAAAAAGGAAGGAAACGUGAAUUGAGGGGAAAUUGUGCCAAAUUUUGAUACACGUACGUGGAUCCUGACAAUAAAGGAAGGAACAAGAAUUAAGGGAAAAUUGUGCCAAAUUUCCAUAUUCGUACGUGGAGGCUAAUCUUCUAUUUCAGUGGUGGGCUAAUUAAACAGACUCCUAAACUAGGAGAGCUAACCUGGAAAAUCAUGCCUAUACGUGGUGGCUGCUAAUUAAACAAAUUCCUAAGACUGAAUAAUGUUGGAAGCGCCCACGCAAUGCCGGAAAAAUAUGUUCAAAUUUUAAGAAGAAAGUUAUGUCCACGACUACAUCGGAUGUUUUUUUUUCUUCAUUGUGUCUUUGGUAUGACCGCUUCAACCAACCGAAGCCGGUCACCGACAAGCUCCUCUGCUAGACAUCGUCACGUAGAAGCCAGUCUCGCUCAGCCCAGUGUCACCAGUCAUAACGCAUGAGGAGUCGGACUCAUAUUUCAUGAUGUGUCCAACACAAACUACUCGAUUUUUCCUACUGUAUUAGCCAAAUGAUGAUAAAUCUUUGCCCAACGUUCUUAGUCUAGCCGAACACGACAGAUGCUAAACCAUCCAGUUCUCGGACCUGGCCAACCUUGCUUAGUAACAAUUGACAGGGCGACUAUCGACGAUGAGGGUGGAGAAGUGGAUAAGCAGAAACUUGAUUCCGGUGUCAUGUUAGAGGACGCCGACCUAAGGGUGAGGUCUUAGUCAUGUUUAUUUGGUUAGUGGCAUGGAGGUGAGGUCUUAGUCAUGUUUAUUUGGUUAGUGGCAUGGAGGUGAGGUCUUACGCCAUGCUCAGUUGGUUGAGUUAGGACGGGUGGUGUUUGUUUACUCCCGUUGCAACGAACGGGCAUGUUUGCUAGUGUGUAUAUAAGAGCCUAGUAGUAAGAGUUAGCGCUUUUGUUAGACCUAAUGCCCAUUAAUAAUUAACAAAUAGAUAAUCAUGACUAAAUGCCACAUCCCAUAUCUGCUCUACAACUACCUUCUUUAGACUCCUUGCUAAUUAAAUAGGCAAUUUUCGACCAAUUUAAUCCAUAGAUAAAUCACUAGCAUGACAUUGACAAAAUUAACAACAUACUGAUUCUGAUCUAAACAAGCAUGUACUAUGCAAACAAUAGACACAUCUACACAUACUACUAGUACUGCUAAUAAAAAAAUAAACAUGAGCGGGAUAAACGUGUUAUACCCUCCAGCAGGCCAGGCAGAAGCCGCGGUGGCAGUGGCAGCAGCGUCCUCGACGGCCUUCUUGUCGGCCUCGAACUUCUCGUUGGCGAGACGGUCAGCGUCGGACUGAGACAUGAUGAUGAUGAAACGACGCAUACGUAGAGGAAGUAGUGGAUCGGGGGCGAGCAGUCGCGUAGUCGCUUCCCAAAAACCUAUUCGCCCCUCUCCUGUACAAAAACUGAAGGGGCGGGGUUUCGGAGACCUGCUCUCCCGUCGACCGUGUACGCGACGGACGGGAUGGAGUCACCGAUGGCAGCAGCAGCAAAGGAACGAUGGUGGGCAUGCGCGUGGAGCAGAUGUGAUCUGUUCGUGGCGGCUAGGCUUAGGAGACACCUCACACUUAUAUAAGCGUAGCUGCACGGAGAGACGUGGACUCGACCCAUGUCCGAAUCCGUGACAACCCAUGAUCCGACGUCUCAGAUCGUGGCCCAGCUGUCAGAAACUCUCUGUUAGUGACUGGUAAAAAUAAGCGCGUAGGUGUGAGCUCGGCUUGGCUCAUUCCAGCAAGCGACGCGUCAUGGCGAGACGGGCGGUGGAGGAGUGCGCGAUGGCCUCUUCUAUUCUCAAGCUCCAAUAGCAUGUAGAAGAGAAACCCUUAUAAGGAGGUCCAACUCCUCUCCAACUUCCGGGGCGGGACUAAACUUCCCACUACAUCUAGUGCCAAUAAACCCACAUGGGCCCUUAGAGAUUUUCAGAAAUUGCUAGAUGGGCCUAAAGCCCACCCCAAGUUUCAGCAAUCCCUCACCAGAUCUCGAGGCCCCAUUGUGUCCUAUGUUCCAAUUGCUGUUUCGAUAUACCAGUGUUUCAGUAAAGACCUGUUAAGGUUGAAUUUCAUCUAGAGCAAGCAGCGACACUCCUUCACAACUAAACAAUGGACUAAGCCUUGAAUUAUCAGUUUGGCAUAAAGAAGCUUCACCACAUGUCUUACUAGUACUAGGCUGCCGAAGGCAGACCCCUCGGGUGGAGCAUAUAGUCACACUCCUGGCCUAUUCAUGAGCUUACUGGAGAUCACCUCAAUCUCAUAGACUGUGACCAGCAGUCGGGCUCAUAUAUAUAUGUUCCUCCAAAGAUCGCUCUAUAGGAUAGCAUCUUGCUAACAUAAGCUUUGGAACACAUUAAGACAGUAGUCAUCCUACCAUACAAUAUCGAGGGUAUUGCAUCUCUAACGGAGUGGGUCAGUAUACUUACUCUCCUUAGUUCACCACUAGCUUGUUUUCCCAGGUCCUACUUCAUGGGAUCUCCGGUCACAUAGGUUGGGUUACCACCAUGGCAACUCAUGUGGAUCUCAUACCCAUCUCCCUCGAUACACUAUCUAUCACAACACGUGAUAGCCCUUUUGUAAAGGGAUCUGCUAGAUUCUUAGCCGUAUGGACAUACUCCAACACUAUCACUCUAGAGUUUCUUAAUUUUUUGACAGCUUUUAAUCUCAUCCUUAUGUGUUUGUUGGACUUGAUGUUGUCCUUUAAACUCUUCACCUUGGUGAUGAUAGUAUGAUUGUCAUAGUUCAUAAGGAUAGACGGAACCGGUUUAUCAACCAAUGGCAAUUCCAUCAAAAGAUCUCGAAGCCAUCCUCCUUUGACACCAUAUGUGUCUAAUGCUGUUAAUUCUGCUUCCAUUGUCGAUCUCGUUAAGAUCGUUUGCUUGCAAGACUUCCAGGAAACAACACCACCUCCAAGAGUAAACAUAUACAUAGUUGUGGCCUUCAUCUCAUCAGCAUCAGAGAUCCAAUUCGCAUCACUAUACCCUUCAAGUACCGACAGGUAUCCGGUAUAGUGAAGUCCGUGGUUCAUAGUAUCUUUCAGAUAGCGCAUAACUCUCUCAAUAGCAUGCCAAUGUACAUCACCCGGGUUGGAAACAAACCGGCCCAGUUUUCUCACAAAAAACGCGAUGUCAGUCCUCGUUGCACUCGCUAGGUAUAUGAGUGAACCAAUGAUUUGAGAGUAUCUCAGUUGAUCCUUAGCUGUGCCUUCGAACUUUUGAACCAACCCACUAGGAUCAUAUGGUGUUUGAGAUGGUUUGCAGUCCGAGAAUCCAAAACGGCUCAACACCUUCUCAACAUAAUGGGAUUGCAGAAGUGUAAUCCCACCCUCAUUAUCUCUCAGUAGCUUGAUGCUCAAGAUAACAUCAGCCACACCAAGGUCUUUCAUCUCAAAGUUCUGAGACAGAAUCGACUUGACCUCCUCAAUGACUUUGAGGUUGGUUCUGAAUAUCAGUAUGUCAUCAACGUACAAGCACAUUAUAACUCCUUCGCCCCCACCAUGGCGAUAGUAUACACAUUUGUCAGCUUCAUUAACAACAAAGUCAACAGAUGUCAGAGUUGUAUUAAACUUAUCAUGCCAUUACUUAGGUGCUAGUUUUAGGCCAUAUAAAGAUUUCAGCAACCUACACACGUUUCUUUCAUGACCAUCUAUCACAAAGCCAUUUGGUGGUUGCAUGUAGAUUUCCUUGUUUAGCUUUUCAUUUAGAAAAGCCAUUUUAACAUCCAUCUGGUGGACGAGAAGACCAUGCGAGGCCGCCAACGAGAGUAAUACUCGAAUGGUGGUCAAUCUAGCCACAGGUGAAUAUGUAUUGAAGAAACCUUCCUCUUCUUUCUGGUCAUAGCCCUUGGCCACAAGCCUAGCCUUCUACUUUUCAAUCGUACCAUCGGGCCUAAGCUUCUUCUUGAACUCCCACUUACAUCCAAAAGGUGUGUAACCAUAGGGACGGUCGGUGAUUGAUGUCGCUUGAAGCUACUGAUACGUCUUCGUCGUAUCUAUAAUUUUUGAUUAUUCCAUGCCAAUAUUCUACAACUUCCAUAUACUUUUGGCAACUGUUUAUACUAUUUUUGGGACUAACAUAUUGAUCCGGUGCCCAGUGCCAGUUCCUGUUUGUUGCAUAUUUUUUGUUUCGCAGAAAAUCCAUAUCAAACGGAGUCCAAACGGGAUAAAAACGGACGGAGAAUAUUUUUGAAAUAUUUGUGAAAUAUGGGAAGAAGAAUCAACGUGAGAAGGUGCCCGAGGGGGCCACGAGGCAGGGGGUUGCGCCUACCCCCUGGGCGCGCCCCUGACCCUCGUGGGCCCCCCAUUAGGCGGUUGCUGCUCUCCUUUGGCCGCAAGAAAGCUAAUUUUCGGAGAAAAAUCUGGGCGAGGGUUUCAGUCCAGUCGGAGUUACGGAUCUCCGGAUAUACAAGAAACGAUGAAAGGGCAGGAUACCAGAAUGCAGAAACAGAGAGAGAUAGAGAGGCAGAGCCAAUCUCGGAGGGGCUCUCACCCCUCCCAUGCCAUGGAGGCCAAGGACCAGAGGGGAAACCCUUCUCCCAUCUAGGGAGAAGGUCAAGGAAGAAGAAGAAGAAGAAGAAGAAGAAGAAGAAGAAGGGGGGCUCUCUCCCCCUCGAUUCCUGUGGCGCCGGAACGCCGCCGGGGCCAUCAUCAUCACCGCGAUCUUCACCAACAUCUUCAUCACCUUCCCCCAUCUAUCUACAGCGGUCCACUCUCCCGCAACCCGCUGUACCCUCUACUUGAACAUGGUGCUUUAUGCUUCAUAUUAUUAUCCAAUGAUGUGUUGCCAUCCUAUGAUGUCUGGGUAGAUUUUCGUUGUCCUAUUAGUGAUUGGUGAAUUGCUAUGAUUGAUUUAAUUUGCUUGUGGUUAUGUUGCUGUCCUUUGGUGCCCAUCAUAUGAGCGCGCGCAUGGAUCACACCAUAGGGUUAGUUGUAUGUUGAUAGGACUAUGUAUUGGAGGGCAAGAGUGACAGAAGCUUCAACCUAGCAUAGAAAUUGAUGCAUACGGGAUUGAAGGGGGACCAAUAUAUUUUAAUGCUAUGGUUGGGUUUUACCUUAAUGAACGUUAGUAGUUGCAGAUGCUUGCUAAUAGUUCCAAUCAUAAGUGCAUAGAAUUCCAAGUCAGGGAUGACAUGCUAGCAGUGGCCUCUCCCACAUAAAACUUGCUAUCGGUCUAGUAACAUAGUCAAUUGCUUAGGGACAAUUUCGCAACUCCUACCACCACUUUCCACACUCGCUAUACUAACUUUAUUGCUUCUUUACCUAAAACAGCCCCUAGUUUUUAUUUACGUGCUCUUUAUAUUCUUGCAAACCUAUCCCGUUACACCUUCAAAGUACUUCUAGUUUUAUACUUGUUCUAGGUAAAGCGAACGUCAAGCGUGCGUAGAGUUGUAUCGGUGGUCGAUAGAACUUGAGAGAAUAUUUGUUCUAUCUUCAGCUCUGUUGGGGAACGUAGCAGAAAUUCAAAAUUUUCCUACGUGUCACCAAGAUCUAUCUAUGGAGAGACCAGCAACGAGUAGAAAGAGAAUGCAUCUACAUACCCUUGUAGAUCGCUAAGCGGAAGCGUUCAAGUGAACGGGGUUGAUGGAGUCGUACUCGUCGUGAUUCAAAUCACCGAUGAUCAAGUGCCGAACGCACGGCACCUCCGCGUUCAACACACAUACAGCCCGUUGACGUCUCCCAAGCCUUGAUCCAGCAAGGAGAGAGGGAGAGGUUGAGGAAGACUCCAUCCAGCAGCAGCACAACGGCGUGGUGGUGGUGGAGGAGCGUGGCAAUCCUGCAGGGCUUCGCCAAGCACCGCGGGAGAGGAGGAGUACUUGUGAGAGGGGGAGGGCUGCGCCAGAACUUCGUCUGAAGCUCCCAUGCGUCUCCCCACUAUAUAUAGGGGUGGAGGGGCUGGUUUCUUGCCCUCCAAGUCCAUUGGGGCGUUGGCCAAGGUGGGAGGAAAGAAAUCCCAUCAUUUCGUUCCCCACCGAUUGUUAUCCCCCCUUUUUAGGGAUCUUGAUCUUAUCCCUUUGGGAUAUGAUCUUAUUCCUUCUAAGGGGGGGUCUUGGUGCGCCUUGACCAGGGGUGUGGGGCCUUGCCCCCACUACCCACGUUCAUGUGGGUCCCCCCAUGCAGGUGGGCCCCACUCCAGAACCUUCUAGAACCUUCCCGGUACAAUACCGAAAAAUCCCGAACAUUUUCCGGUGGCCAAAAUAGGACUUCCCAUAUAUAAAUCUUUACCUCCGGACCAUUCCGGAACUCCUCGUGACGUCUGGGAUCUCAUCCGGGACUCCGAACAACAUUCGGUAACCACAUACAAACUUUCUUUAUAACCCUAGCAUCAUCGAACCUUAAGUGUGUAGACCCUACGGGUUCGGGAGACAUGUAGACAUGACCGAGACGUUCUCCGGUCAAUAACCAACAGCAGGAUCUGGAUACCCAUGAUGGCUCCCACAUGUUCCACGAUGAUCUCAUCGGACGAACCACGAUGUCAAGGACUUAAUCAAUCCCGUAUUCAAUUCCCUUUGUCUAUCGGUAUGUUACUUGCCCGAGAUUCGAUCGUCGGUAUCCAAUACCUUGUUCAAUCUCGUUACCGGCAAGUCACUUUACUCAUUCCGUAACACAUCAUCCCGUGAUCAACUCCUUGGUCACAUUGCGCAUAUGAUGAUGUCCUACCGAGUGGGCCCAGAGAUACCUCUCCGUUUACACGGAGUGACAAAUCCCAGUCUCGAUCCGCAUAAAACAAUAGAUACUUUCGGAGAUACCUGUAGUGCACCUUUAUAGUCACCCAGUUACGUUGUGACGUUUGAUACACCCAAAGCACUCCUACGGUAUCCAGGAGUUACAUGCUCUCAUGGUCAAAGGAAGAGAUACUUGACAUUGGCAAAGCUCUAGCAAACGAACUACACGAUCUUUGUGCUAGGCUUAGGAUUGGGUCUUGUCCAUCACAUCAUUCUCCUAAUGAUGUGAUCCCGUUAUCAACGACAUCCAAUGUCCAUAGCCAGGAAACCAUGACUAUCUGUUGAUCACAACGAGCUAGUCAACUAGAGGCUCACUAGGGACAUAUUGUGGUCUAUGUAUUCACACGUGUAUUACGAUUUCCGGAUAAUACAGUUAUAGCAUGAAUAAAAGACAAUUAUCAUGAACAAGGAAAUAUAAUAAUAACACUUUUAUUAUUGCCUCUAGGGCAUAUUUCCAACAGUCUCCCACUUGCACUAGAGUCAAUAAUCUAGUUCACAUCGCCAUGUGAUUAACACUCACAGGUCACAUCGCCAUGUGACUAAUACCCAAGAGUUUUAUGUUUGAUCAUGUUGCUUGUGAGAGAGGUUUUAGUCAACGGGUCCGAACCUUUCAGAUCCGUGUGUGCUUUACAAAUCUCUAUGUCAUCUCCUAGAUGUAGCUACCACGCUCUAUUUGGAGCUAUUCUAAAUAACUGUUCUACUUGGAGCUAUUCUAAAUUGUUGCCCCAUAAUAUGUAUCCGGUAUCUCUUCUUAGAGCUAUCCGGAUAGGUGUUAAGCUUGCAUCGACGUAACCUUUACGACGAACUCUUUUACCACCUCCAUAAUCGAGAAAAUUCCUUAGUCCACUAGUUACCAAGGAUAACUUUGACCGCUGUCUGUGAUCCAUUCAUGGAUCACUCUUGUACCCCUUGACUGACUCAUGGCAAGGCACACUUCAGGUGCGGUACUCAGCAUGGCAUACUGUAGAGCCUAUGUCUUAAGCAUAGGGGACGACCUUCGUCCUUUCUCUCUAUUCUGCCGAGGUCGAGCUUUAAGUCUUAACUUCAUACCUUACAACUCAGGCAAGAACUCCUUCUUUGACUGGUCCAUCUUGAACACCUUCAAGAUCAUGUCAAGGUAUGUGCUCAUUUGAAAGUAUUAUUAAGCAUUUUGAUCUAUCCUUAUAGAUCUUGAUGCUCAAUGUUCAAGUAGCUUAAUCCAGGCUUUCCAUUGAAAAACACUUUCAAAAUAACCCUAUAUGCUUUCCAGAAAUUCUACGUCAUUUCUGAUCAACAAUAUGUCAACAACAUAUACUCAUCAGAAAUUCUAUAGUGCUCCCACUCACUUCUUUGGAAAUGCAAGUUUCUCGUAAACUUUGUACAAACCCAAAAUCUUUGAUCAUCAUCAAAGCACACAUUCCAACUCCGAGAUGCUCACUCCAGUCCUUAGAAGGAUUGCUGGAGCUUUGCAUACUUAUUAGCAUCUUUUGGGAUUGACAAAACCUUCCGGUUGUAUCACAUACAACCUUUCCUCAAGUAUAACGUCGAGGAAACAAUGUUUUGACAUCCUAUCUGCAAGAUUUCAUCAAUCAUGCAGUAACUGCUAAUCCAAUUCCAACAGACUCUUAGCAUCGCUACGAGUGAGAAAACCUCACCGUAAUCAACUCCUUGAACUUGUCGGAAAAUAUCUUAACGACAAGUCGAGCUUUCUUAAUGGUAAUUCUUACCAUCAUUGUCUGUCUUCCUUUUAAAAUCCAUCCGUACCCAAUGGCCUUACGCCCAUCAAGUAUUUCUUCCAAAGUCAUGGAUCCGUUCUCGGAUUUUAUGGCCUCGAGCCAUUUACUAGAAUCCGGGCCCACCAUUGCUUCUCCAUAGCUCGUAGGUUCAUUGUUGUCCAGCAACAUGACUUCCAAGACAGGAUUACGUACCACUCUGAUGUAGUACGUAUCCUUGUCAUCCCACGAGGUUUGGUAGUGACUUGAUCCGAAGUUUCAUGAUCAACAUCACAAGCUUCCACUUCAAUUGGUGUAGGUGCCACGGGAACAACUUCCUGUGCCCUGCCACACACUAGUUGAAGAGACGGUUCAAUAACCUCAUGAAGUUUCCACCAUCCUCCCACUCAAUUCUUUCGAGAGAAACUUUUCCUCGAGAAAGGACCCGAUUCAAGAAACAAUCCAUAUUGCUUUCGGAUCUGAAUUAGGAGGUAUACCCAACUGUUUUGGGUUUCCUAUGAAGAUGCAUUUUAUCCGCUUUGGGUUCGAGCUUAUCAACCUGAAACUUUUUCAUAUAAGCGUCGCAGCCCCAAACUUUUAAGAAACGACAACUUAGGUUUCUCUAAACCAUAAUUCAUACGGUGUCAUCUCAACGGAAUUACGUGGUGCCCUAUUUAAAGUGAAUGUGGUUGUCUCUAAUGCCUAACCCAUGGACAAUAGUGGUAAUUCGAUAAGAGACAUCAUGGUACGCACCAUAUCCAAUAGGGUGCAACUAUGAUGUUCGGACACACCAUCACACUAUGGUGUUCCAGGCGGUAUUAAUUGCGAAACAAUUUCCACAAUGUCUUAAUUGUGUGCCAAAACUCGUAACUCAGAUAUUCAUCUCUAUGAUCAUAUCAUAGACAUUUUAUCCUCUUGUCACAAUGAUCUUCUACUUCACUCUGAAAUUACUUGAACCAUUCAAUAAUUCAGACUUGUGUUUCAUCAAGUAAAUAUUCUCAACAUCUACUCGAAUCAUCUGUGAAGUAAGAUCAUAAUGAUAUUCACUGCAUGCCUCAGCACUCAUUGGAUUGGACACAUCAAAAUGUGUUACUUCCAACAAGUUGCUAUCUUGUUCCAUCUUACUGAAAACGAGGCUUUUCAGUCAUCUUGCCCAUGUGGUAUGAUUUGGAUAUCUCAAGUGAUUCAAAAUCAAGUGAGUCCAAACGGUCCAUUUGCAUGGAGUUUCUUCAUGCAUAUACACCAAUAGACAUGGUUCGCAUGUCUCAAACUUUUCAAAAACGAGUGAGUCCAAAGAUCCAUCAACAUGGAGCUUCUUCAUGCGUUUUAUACCAUUAUGACUUACAUGGCAGUGCCACAAGUAAGUGGUACUAUCAUUACUAUCUUAUAUCUUUUGGCAUGAAAAUGUGUAUCACUACGAUCGAGAUUCAAUAAACCAUUCAGGUUUAAUACUAAUCUUGAUGGUAGAGGGAGCGUGCGAUGUUUGAUCACAUCAAACUUGGAAACACUUCCAACAUAUAUCGUCAGCUCACCUUUAGCUAGUCUCCGUUUAUUCCGUAGCUCUUUAUUUCGAGUUACUAACACUUAGCAACCGAACCGGUAUCUAAUACCCUGGUGCUACUAGGAGUACUAGUAAAGUACACAUUAACAUAAUGUAUAUCCAAUAUACUUCUAUCGACCUUGCCAGCCUUCUUAUCUACCAAGUAUGUAGGGUAAUUCUGCUCUAGUGACUGUUCCCCUUAUUACAGAAGCACUUAGUCUCGGGUUUGGGUUCAACCUUGGGUUUCUUCACUGGAGCAGCAGCUGAUUUGCCGUUUCAUGAAGUAUCCCUUCUUGCCCUUGCCCUUCUUGAAACUAGUGGUUUCACCAACCAUCAACAAUUGAUGCUCCUUCUUGAUUUCUACUUUCGCGGUGUCAAACAUCGUGAAUACCUCAAGGAUCAUCUUAUUUAUCCCUGAUAUGUUAUAGUUCAUCACGAAGCUCUAGCAGCUCGGUGGCAAUGACUUUGGAGAAACAUCACUAUCUCAUUUGGAAGAUCAACUCCCACUCAAUUCAAGUGAUUGUUGCACUCAGACAAUCUGAGCACAAGCUCAACGAUUGAGAUUUUCUCCCUUAGUUUGCAGGCUAAGAGAAUCGUCGGAGGUCUUAUACCUCUUGACGUGAGCACGAGCCUGAAAUCCCAAUUUCAGCCCUCGAAACAUCUCAUAUGUCCCGCGAUGUUUCGAAAACGUCUUUGGUGCCUCUACUUAAACCAUUUAACUGAACUAUCACGUAGUUAUCAAAACGUGUAUGUUCGAUGUUCGAAACAUCCACAAACGACGUUUGGGGUUCAGCACACUGAGCAGUGCAUUAAGGACAUAAGCUUUCUACUGUUCGCAUAAUCGCUACUAUCAACUUUCAACUAUAUUUUCUCUAGGAACAUAUCUAAAACAGUAGAACUAAAGCGCGAGCUACGACAUAAUUUGCAAAAGGUCUUUUGACUAUGUUCAGGAUAAUUAAGUUCAUCUUAUGAACUCCCACUCAGAUAGACAUCCCUCUGGUCAUCUAAGUGAUUACAUGAUCCGAGUCAACUAGGCCGUGUCCGAUCAUCACGUGAGACGGACUAGUCAUCAUUGGUGAACAUCUUCAUGUUGAUCGUAUCUACUAUACGACUCAUGCUCGACCUUUCGGUCUCCGUGUUCCGAGGCCAUGUCUGUACAUGCUAGGCUCGUCAAGUUAACCCUAAGUGUUUUCGAUGUGUAAAACUGUCUUACACCCGUUGUAUGUGAACGUAAGAAUCCAUCACACCCGAUCAUCACGUGGUGCUUAGAAGCGACGAACUGUAGCAACGGUGCACAGUUAGGGGAGAACACUUCUUGAAAUUGUUGUAAGGGAUCAUCUUAUUUACUACCGUUGUUCUAAGCAAACAAGAUGCAUAAACAUGAUAAACAUCACAUGCAAUCAAAUAGAGUAGUGACAUGAUAUGGCCAAUAUCAUAUAGCUCCUUUGAUCUUCAUCUUCGGGGCUCCAUGAUCAUCUUGUCACCGGCAUGACACCAUGAUCUCCAUCAUCAUGAUCUCCAUCAUCGUGUCUUCAUGAAGUUGUCACGCCAACGACUACUUCUACUUCUAUGACUAACGCGUUUAGCAAUAAAGUAAAGUAGUUUACAUGGCGUUCUUCAAUGACAGCAGGUCAUACAAUAAAUAAAGACAACUCCUAUGGCUCCUGCCGGUUGUCAUACUCAUCGACAUGCAAGUCGUGAAUCCUAUUACAAGAACAUGAUCAAUCUCAUACAUCACAUAUAUCAUCCAUCACAUCCUUUUGGCCAUAUCACAUCACAUAGCAUACCCUGCAAAAACAAGUUAGACGUCCUCUAAUUGUUGUUUGCAUGUUUUACGUGGCUGCUAUGGGUUUCUAGCAAGAACGUUUCUUACCUACGCAAAACCACAACGUGAUAUGCCAAUUGCUAUUUACCCUUCAUAAGGACCCAUUUCAUCGAAUCCGUUCCGACUAAAGUGGGAGAGACUGGCACCCGCUAGCCACCUUAUGCACCAAGUGCAUGUCAAUCGGUGGAACCUGUCUCACGUAAGAGUACGUGUAAGGUCGGUCCGGGCCGCUUCAUCCCACAAUACCGUCGAAACAAGAUUGGACUAGUAACGGUAAGCAUAUUGAACAACAUCAACGCCCACAACUACUUUGUGUGCUACUCGUGCAAAGAAUCUACGCAAUAGACCUAGCUCAUGAUGCCACUGUUGGGGAACGUAGCAGAAAUUCAAAAUUUUCCUACGUGUCACCAAGAUCUAUCUAUGGAGAGACCAGCAACGAGUAGAAAGAGAAUGCAUCUACAUACCCUUGUAGAUCGCUAAGCGGAAGCGUUCAAGUGAACGGGGUUGAUGGAGUCGUACUCGUCGUGAUUCAAAUCACCGAUGAUCAAGUGCCGAACGCACGGCACCUCCGCGUUCAACACACAUACAGCCCGUUGACGUCUCCCAAGCCUUGAUCCAGCAAGGAGAGAGGGAGAGGUUGAGGAAGACUCCAUCCAGCAGCAGCACAACGGCGUGGUGGUGGUGGAGGAGCGUGGCAAUCCUGCAGGGCUUCGCCAAGCACCGCGGGAGAGGAGGAGUACUUGUGAGAGGGGGAGGGCUGCGCCAGAACUUCGUCUGAAGCUCCCAUGCGUCUCCCCACUAUAUAUAGGGGUGGAGGGGCUGGUUUCUUGCCCUCCAAGUCCAUUGGGGCGUUGGCCAAGGUGGGAGGAAAGAAAUCCCAUCAUUUCCUUCCCCACCGAUUGUUAUCCCCCCUUUUUAGGGAUCUUGAUCUUAUCCCUUCGGGAUAUGAUCUUAUUCCUUCUAAGGGGGGAUCUUGGUGCGCCUUGACCAGGGGUGUGGGGCCUUGCCCCCACUACCCACGUUCAUGUGGGUCCCCCCAUGCAGGUGGGCCCCACUCCGGAACCUUCUAGAACCUUCCCGGUACAAUACCGAAAAAUCCCGAACAUUUUCCGGUGGCCAAAAUAGGACUUCCCAUAUAUAAAUCUUUACCUCUGGACCAUUCCAGAACUCCUCGUGACGUCCGGGAUCUCAUCCGGGACUCCGAACAACAUUCGGUAACCACAUACAAACUUCCUUUAUAACCCUAGCGUCAUCGAACCUUAAGUGUGUAGACCCUACGGGUUCGGGAGACAUGUAGACAUGACCGAGACGUUCUCCGGUCAAUAACCAACAGCGGGAUCUGGAUACCCAUGAUGGCUCCCACAUGUUCCAUGAUGAUCUCAUCGGACGAACCAUGAUGUCAAGGACUUAAUCAAUCCCGUAUUCAAUUCCCUUUGUCUAUCGGUAUGUUACUUGCCCGAGAUUCGAUCGUCGGUAUCCAAUACCUUGUUCAAUCUCGUUACCGGCAAGUCACUUUACUCGUUCCGUAACACAUCAUCCCGUGAUCAACUCCUUGGUCACAUUGCGCAUAUGAUGAUGUCCUACCGAGUGGGCCCAGAGAUACCUCUCUGUUUACACGGAGUGACAAAUCCCAGUCUCGAUCCGCAUAAAACAAUAGAUACUUUCGGAGAUACCUGUAGUGCACCUUUAUAGUCACCCAGUUACGUUGUGACGUUUGAUACACCCAGAGCACUCCUACGGUAUCCAGGAGUUACACGCUCUCAUGGUCAAAGGAAGAGAUACUUGACAUUGGCAAAGCUCUAGCAAACGAACUACACGAUCUUUGUGUUAGGCUUAGGAUUGGGUCUUGUCCAUCACAUCAUUCUCCUAAUGAUGUGAUCCCGUUAUCAACGACAUCCAAUGUCCAUAGCCAGGAAACCAUGACUAUCUGUUGAUCACAACGAGCUAGUUAACUAGAGGCUCACUAGGGACAUAUUGUGGUCUAUGUAUUCACACGUGUAUUACGAUUUCCGGAUAAUACAGUUAUAGCAUGAAUAAAAGACAAUUAUCAUGAACAAGGAAAUAUAAUAAUAACACUUUUAUUAUUGCCUCUAGGGCAUAUUUCCAACAAGCUCCUCAUUGGGUUCGACACUCUUACUUAUCGAAAGAGGCUACAAUUGAUCCCCUAUACUUGUGGGUUAUCAACUACGUCAGUAUUUCCCCAAAGAGGAAGGUAUGAUGCAGCACAACGGCGGUAGGUAUUUCCCUCAGAUAUGAAACCAAGGUUAUCGAACCAGUAGGAGAACCAAGCAACACAACGUAAACAACACCUGCACACAAAUAGCAAAUACUCGCAACCCGACGUGUUAAAAGGGUUGUCAAUCCCUUUCGGGCAACGACGCCAGAAAUUGGCACGUGGACGGGAGAUAGAUGUAAAUAUUGAUAGAUCAAACGCCAAAUAAAAUAAAGUGUAGAAAGGUAUUUUUAUAUUUUUGAAUUUAAUAGAUCUGAAAAUAAAAUAGAUCGCAAAGGCAAAUAAUAUGAGAAAGAGACCCGGGGGCCGUAGGUUUCACUAGUGGCUUCUCUCGAGAAAAAUAACAAACGAUGGGUAAAAAAAUUACUAUUGGGAAAUUAAUAGAACUUCAAAUAAUCAUGACGAUAUCCAGGCAAUGAUCAUUAUAUAGGCAUCACGUCCAAGAUUAGUAGACCGACUCCUGGCUGCAUCUACUACUAUUACUCCACACAUCUACCGCUAUCCAGCAUGCAUCUAGUGCAUUAAGUUCAUGGAGAAAUGGAGUAAUGCAAUAAGAACAAUGACAUGAUGUAGACUCUAUCUAUGUAGAGAUAUACCCCAUCGUUUUAUCCUUAGUAGCAAUGAUACAUACGUGUCGGUUCCCCUUCUGUCACUGGGAUUAAGCACCAUAAGAUCGAACCCACUACAAAGCACCUCUUCUCACUUCAAAAUAAAUAGAUCAAGUUGGCCAAACAAAACCCUAAUAUCGGACAAGAAAUAUGAGGCUAUAAGCAAUCAUGCAUGAAAGAGAUCAAAGGAACUCAAAUACUUUCAUGGAUAUAAAAAGAUAGAUCCGAUCAUAAAUUCAAAGUUCAUCCGAUCCCUGCAAACACACCGCAAAAAGAGUUACAUCAUAUGGAUCUCCAAAGGACCAUUGUAUUGAGAAUCAAACGAGAGAGAGGAAGCCAUCUAGCCACUAACUACGGACCCGAAAGUUUACAAAGAACUACUCACGCAUCAUCGGAGAGGCACCAAUGGAGGUGGUGAACCCCAUCUAUGGUGGUGCCUAUAUUGGAUCUGGUGGUUCUGGACUCUGCGGCAGCUGGAAUUGAUUUUCGUUGACUCCCCUAGGGUUUCUGAAAUAUUGGGGUGUUUAUAGAGCAAAGAGGCAGUCUGGGGGGCACCCGAGGUCGGCACAACCCACCAGGGCGCGCCUGGGCCUCCUGGCGCGCCCUGGUGGGUUGUGCUAUCCUUGGAGCACCCCCAGGUGCAGCCUUGGCCCAUUAGGUGUCUUCUGGUCCAUAAAAAAUCUCCGUAAAGUUUCGUUGCAUUUGGACUCCAUUUGGUAUUCAUUUUCUGUGAUGUAAAAAACAUGCAAAAAAUAGCAACUGACACUUGGUACUAUGUCAAUAGGUUAGUACCAAAAAUGAUAUAAAUGUUGGAAAUAUGCCCUAGAGGCAAUAAUAAAUUGGUUAUUAUUAUAUUUCCUUGUUCAUGAUAAUCGUUUAUUAUCCAUGCUAGAAUUGUAUUGAUAGGAAACUCAGAUACAUGUGUGGAUACAUAGACAACACCAUGUCCCUAGUAAGCCUUUAGUUGAGUAGCUCGUUGAUCAAUAGAUGGUUACGGUUUCCUGACCAUGGACAUUGGAUGUCGUUGAUAACGGGAUCACAUCAUUAGGAGAAUGAUGUGAUGGACAAGACCCAAUCCUAAGCAUAGCACAAGAUCGUGUAGUUCGCAUGCUAAAGCUUUUCUAAUGUCAAGUAUCAUUUCCUUAGACCAUGAGAUUGUGCAACUCCCGGAUACCGUAGGACUACUUUGGGUGUGCCAAACAUCACAACGUAACUGGGUGGCUAUAAAGGUGCACUACGGGUAUCUCCGAAAGUGUCUGUUGGGUUGGCACGAAUCAAGACUGGGAUUUGUCACUCUGUGUGACGGAGAGGUAUCUCUAGCCCACAUGGUAAGACAUCAUCAUAAUGUGCACAAUGUGAUCAAGGAGUUGAUCACGGGAUGAUGUGUUACGGAACGAGUAAAGAGACUUGCCGGUAACGAGAUUGAACAAGGUAUCGGGAUACCGACGAUCGAAUCUCGGGCAAGUACAAUACUGCUAGACAAAGGGAAUUGUAUACGAGAUUGAUUGAAUCCUCGACAUCGUGGUUCAUCCGAUGAGAUCAUCAUGGAACAUGUGGGGGCCAACAUGGGUAUCCAGAUCCCGCUGUUGGUUAUUGACCGGAGAGAACGUCUCGGUCAUGUCUGCAUGGUUCCCGAACCCGUAGGGUCUACACACUUAAGGUUCGAUGAUGCUAGGGUUAUAAAAGAAGUUUGUAUGUGGUUACCGAAUGUUUUUUGGAGUCCCGGAUGAGAUCCCGGACGUCACGAGGAGUUCCGGAAUGGUCCGGAGGUAAAGAUUUAUAUAUGGGAAGUCCUGUUUUGGUCACCGGAAAAGUUUCGGGGUUUAUCGGUAACGUACCGGGACCACCGGGAGGGUCCCGGGGGUCGACCAAGUGGGGCCACAAGCCCCGGAGGGCUGCAUGGGCCAAGUGUGGGAGGGGACCAGCCCCAGGUGGGCUGGUGCGCCCCCCCACAAGGGCCCAAGGUGCCUAAGGGGAGGAGUGGGCAAACCCUAAGGGCAGAUGGGCCUUAGGGCCCAUGCCUGGUGCGCCUCCCUCUCCCCUCCACCUGGCCGCCACCCAGAUGGGAUCUGGGGGCUGCCGCCACCCCUAGGGAGGGAACCCUAGGUGGGGGCGCAGCCCCUCCCAUCCCCCUAUAUAUACUUGAGGUUUGGGCUGCCCAAGACACACGAGUUCCUCUCCUUCUAGGCCCAGCCCUACCCCUCUCCCUCCUCGUCUCUUGCGGUGCUUGGUGAAGCCCUGCUAGAGUACCACGCUCCUCCACCACCACCACGCCAUUGUGCUGCUGCUGGAUGGAGUCUUCCUCAACCUCUCCCUCUCUCCUUGCUGGAUCAAGGCAUGGGAGACAUCGUCGGGCUGUACGUGUGUUGAACGCGGAGGUGCCGUCCGUUUGGCACUAGGAUCUCCGAUGAUUUGGAUCACGACGAGUACGACUCCUUCAACCCCGUUCUCUUGAAUGCUUCCGCUUAGCGAUCUACAAGGGUAUGUAGAUGCACUCUUCUUCUCUUCGUUGUUGGUUUCUCCAUAGAUAGAUCUUGGUGACACGUAGGAAAAUUUUGAAUUUCUACUACGUUCCCCAACAGUGGCAUCAUGAGCUAGGUCUAUGCGUAGUUACUAUGCAUGAGUAGAUCACAAAGUAGUUGUGGGCGUCGAUAUUGUCAAUUAUCUUACCGUUACUAGUCUUAUCUUGAUUCGGCGACAUCGUCGGAUGAAGCGGCCCGGACCAACCUUACACGUACGCUUACGUGAGACCGGUUCCACCGACUGACAUGCACUAGUUGCAUAAGGUGGCUGGCGGGUGUCUGUCUCUCCCACUUUAGUCGGAUCGGAUUCGAUGAACAGGGUCCUUAUGAAGGGUAAAUAGAAAUUGACAAUUCACGUUGUGGUUUUGGCGUUGGUAAGAAACGUUCUUGCUAGAAAACCUAUAGCAGCCACGUAAAAACUUGCAACAACAAUUAGAGGACGUCUAACUUGUUUUUGCAGCAAGUGUUUUGUGAUAUGAUAUGGCCAAAGGAUGUGAUGAAUGAUAUAUAUGUGAUGUAUGAGAUCAUGUUCUUGUAAUAGGAAUCACGACUUGCAUGUCGAUGAGUAUGACAACCGGCAGGAGCCGUAGGAGUUGUCUUUAUUUUUUGUAUGACCUGCGUGUCAUUGAGAAACGCCAUGUAAAUUACUUUACUUUAUUGCUAAACGUGUUAGCCAUAGUAGUAGAAGUAAUAGUUGGCGAGACAACUUCAUGAAGACACGAUGAUGGAGAUCAUGGUGUCAUGCCGGUGACGAUGAUGAUCAUGGAGCCCCGAAGAUGGAGAUCAAAAGGAGCAAUAUGAUAUUGGCCAUAUCAUGUCACUAUUUGAUUGCAUGUGAUGUUUAUCAUGUUUAUACAUCUUAUUUGCUUAGAACGACGGUAGUAAAUAAGAUGAUCCCUCAUUAAAAUUUCAAGAAAGUGUUCCCCCUAACUAUGCACCAUUACGAAAGUUCGUUGUUUCGAAGCACCACGUGAUGAUCGGGUGUGAUAGAUUCCAACGUUCACAUACAACGGGUGUAAGACAGAUUUACACAUGCAAACACUUAGGUUGACUUGACGAGCCUAGCAUGUACAGACAUGGCCUCGGAACACAGAAGACCGAAAGGUCGAACAUGAGUCGUAUAGAAGAUAUGAUCAACAUGAAGAUGUUCACCGAUGUUGACUAGUCCGUCUCACGUGAUGAUCGGACACGGCGUAGUUGACUCGGAUCAUGUAAUCACUUAGAUGACUAGAGGGAUGUCUAUCUAAGUGGGAGUUCAUAAGAUGAACUUAAUUAUCCUAAACAUAGUCAAAAGGUCUUCACAAAUUAUGUCGUAGCUCGCGCUUCAGUUCUACUGUUUAGAUAUGUUCCUAGAGAAAAUUUAGUUGAAAGAUGAUAGUAGCAAUUAUGCGGACUAGGUCCGUAAACUGAGGAUUGUCCUCAUUGCUUCAUAGAAGGCUUAUGUCCUUAAUGCACCGCUCAGUGUGCUGAGCCUCGAAUGUCGUCUGUGGAUGUUGCGAACAUCUGACAUACACAUUUUGAUAACUACGUGAUAGUUCAGUUAAACAGUUUAGAGUUGAGGUACGGAAGACGUUUUGAAACGUCGCGAAACAUAUGAGAUGUUUCGAGGGCUGAAAUUGGGAUUUCAGGCUCGUGCCCACGUCAAGAGGUAUAAGACCUUCAACGAUUUUCUUAGCCUGCAAACUAAGGGAGAAAAGCUCAAUUGUUGAGCUUGUGCUCAGAUUGUCUGAGUACAACAAUCAUUUGAAUCGAGUGGGAGUUGAUCUUCCAGAUGAGAUAGUGAUAUUUCUCCGAAGUCAUUACCACCAAGCUGCUAGAGCUUCAUGAUGAACUAUAAUAUAUCAGGGACAUAUAUGAUGAUCCUUGAGAUAUUCGCGAUGUUUGACACCACAAAAGUAGAAAUCAAGAAGGAGCAUCAAUUGUUGAUGGUUGGUGAAACCACUAGUUUCAAGAAGGGCAAGGGCAAAAAGGGAUGCUUCAUGAAACGGAAAAUCAGCUGCUGCUCUAGUGAAUAAACCCAAGGUUGAACCCAAACCCAAGACUAAGUGCUUCUGUAAUAAGGGGAAUAGCCACUGGAGCAGAAUUACCCUAGAUACUUGGUAGAUGAGAAGGCUGGCAAAGUCGAUAGAAGUAUAUUGGAUAUACAUUGUGUUAAUGUGUACUUUACUAGUACUCCUAGUAGCACCAUGGUAUUAGAUACCGGUUCGAUUGCUAAAUGUUAGUAAACUCAAAAUAAAAAGCUGCGGAGUAAACGGAGACUACCUAAAGGUGAGCUGGCGAUAUGUGUUGGAAGUUUUUCCCAAGCUUGAUGUGAUCAAGCAUUGCACGCUCCCUCUACCAUCGAGAUUGGUGCUUGCGUUGAGCAUAGACAUGAUUAGAUUAUGCCUGUCACAAUACGGUUAUUCAUUCAAGGAGAAUAAUGGUUACUCUGUUUAUUUGAAUAAUGCCUUCAAUGGUCUUGCACCUAAAAUGAAUGGUUUAUUGAAUCUCGAUCGUAGUGAUACACAUGUUCAUGCCAAAAAGAUAUAAGAUAGUAAUGAUAGUACCACCUACUUGUGGCACUGCCACGUAAGUCAUAUCGGUAUAAAACGCAUGAAGAAGCUCCAUGUUGAUGGAUCUUUGGGCUCACUCGUUUUGAAAAGUUUGAGACAUGCGAACCAUGUCUAUUGGUGUAUAUGCAUGAAGAUACUCCAUGCAAAUGGACCGUUUGGACUCACUUGAUUUUGUAUCACCUGAGACAUGCAAAUCAUACCACAUGGGCAAGAUGACUGAAAGCCUCGUUUUCAGUAAAAUGGAACUAGAAAACAACUUGUUGGAAGUAAUACAUUUUGAUGUGUGCAGUCCAAUGAGUGCUGAGGCGUGUAGUGGAUAUCGUUAUGUUCUUACUUCACAAAUGAUUUGAGUAGAUGUUGAGUAUAUUUACUUGAUGAAUCACGAGUCUGAAUUAUUGAAAGGUUCUAGUAAUUUCAAGGUGAAGUUGAAAGAUCGUCGUGACAAGAGGAUAAAAUAUCUAUGAUAUGAUCAUAGAGAUGAAUAUCUGAAUUACGAGUUUGGCACAGAAUUAAGAUAUUGUGGAAAUUGUUUCACAACUAAUACAACCUGGAACACCAUAGUGUGAUGGUGUGUCCGAACAUCAUAACUGCACCCUAUUGGAUAUGAUGCACACCAUGAUGUCUCUUAUCGAAUUACCAUGAUAGUUUAUGGGUUAGGCAUUAGAGACAACCACAUUCACUUUAAAUAGGGCACCACGUAAUUCCGAUGAGAUGACACCGUAUGAACUAUGAUUUAGAGAAACCUAAGCUGACAUUUCUUAAAAGUUUGGGGCUGCGACGCUUAUGUGAAAAAGUUUCAGGCUGAUAAGCUCGAACCCAAAGCGGAUAAAUGCAUCUUCAUAGGACACCCAAAACAGUUGGGUAUACCUCCUGUCUCAGAUCCGAAAGCAAUAAGGGAUUAUUUCUAGAAUCGGGUCCUUUCUCGAGGAAAAGUUUCUCUCGAAAGAAUUGAGUGGGAGGAUGGUGGAGACUUGAUGAGGUUAUUGAACCGUCACUUUAACUAGUGUAUAGUAGGGCACAAAGAGUUGUUCCUGUGGCACCUACACCAAUUGAAGUGGAAGCUUAUGAUAUUGAUCAUGAGACUUCGGAUCAAGUCACUCCCAAACCUCGUAGGAUGACAAGGAUGCGUACUACUUCAGAGUGAUACGUAAUCCUGUCUUGGAAGUCAUGUUGCUAGACAACAAUGAACCUACAAGCUAUGGAGAAGCGAUGGUGGGCCCAGAUUCCGAUAAAUGGCUCGAGGCCAUAAAAUCCGAGAGAGGAUCCAUGUAUGAAAACAAAGUGUAGACUUUGUCAAAACGGCUCGAUGGUCGUAAGGCUGUUGAGUACAGAUGGAUUUUUAAAAGGAAGACGGACAAUGAUGGUAAAUGUCACCAUUAAGAAAGCUCGAAUUGUCAUUAAGAUGUUUUGCGACAAGUUCAAGGAGUUGACUACGAUGAGACUUUCUCACUCGUAGCGAUGCUAAGAGUCUGUUGGAAUUAUAUUAGCAUUAUUUAUGAAAUCUUGCAGAUAGGAUGUCAAACAUUGUUUCCUCGACGAUUUUCUUGAGGAAAGGUUGUAUGUGAUACAACCGGAAGGUUUUGUCAAUCCUGAAAGAUGCUAAUAAGUAUGCAAAGCUCCAGCAAUCCUUCUAAGGACUGGAGUAAGCAUCUCGGAGUUGGAAUGUACGCUUUGAUGAGAUGAUCAAAGAUUUUGGGUUUAUACAAAGUUUAUGAGAAACUUGUAUUUCGAAAGAAGUGAGUGGGAGCACUAUAGAAUUUCUGAUGAGUAUAUGUUGUUGACAUAUUGUCGAUCAGAAAUGACGUAGAAUUUCUGGAAAGCAUAUAGGGUUAUUUGAAAAGUGUUUUUCAAUGGAAAGCCUGGAUUAAGCUACUUGAACAUUGAGCAUCAAGAUCUAUAAGGAUAGAUCAAAAACUCUUAAUGGUACUUUCAAAUGAGCACAAUCCUUGACAUGAUCUUGAAGGUGUUCAAGAUGGAUCAGUCAAAGAAGGAGUUCUUGCCUGAGUUGUAAGGUAUGAAGUUAAGACUUAAAGCUCGACCACGGCAGAAGAAAGAGGAAGGACGAAGGUCGUCCCCUAUGCUUUUGUCAUAGGCUCUAUACGGUAUGCCAUGCUGAGUACCGCACCUGAUGUGUGCCUUGCCACAUAUCUGGCAAGAGGGUACAAAGGUAAUCUAGGAGUAGAUCACCAGAUAGCGGUCUAAAUUAUUCUUAGAGGAAUAAGGAUAUAUUUCUUGGUUAUGGAGGUGAUAAAGAGUUCGACGUAAAGAGUUACGUUGAUGCAAGCUUAACACCUAUCCGGAUAGCUCUGAGUAGAGAUACCGGAUAUGUAUAAUGGAGCAACAAUUUAGAAUAGCUCCAAGUAGAAUAGUUAUUUGAAAUGGCUCCAAAUGUAGCGUAGUAGUUGCAUCUACAAGAUGACUUAGAAAUUUGCGAAGUACAUACGGAUCUGAAUGCUGCAGACCCGUUGACUGAAACCUCUCUCACAAGCAUAACAUGAUCAAACCCAGAACUCUUGGGUGUUAGUCACAUGGGGAUGUGACCUUGAGUGUUAAUCACAUAUCGAUGUGAACUGGAUUAUUGACUCUAGUGCAAGUGGGAGACUGUUGGAAAUAUGCCCUAGAGGCAAUAAUAAAUUGGUUAUUAUUAUAUUUCCUUGUUCAUGAUAAUCGUUUAUUAUCCAUGCUAGAAUUGUAUUGAUAGGAAACUCAGAUACAUGUGUGGAUACAUAGACAACACCAUGUCCCUAGUAAGCCUCUAGUUGACUAGCUCGUUGAUCAAUAGAUGGUUACGGUUUCCUGACCAUGGACAUUGGAUGUCGUUGAUAACGGGAUCACAUCAUUAGGAGAAUGAUGUGAUGGACAAGACCCAAUCCUAAGCAUAGCACAAGAUCGUGUAGUUCGCAUGCUAAAGCUUUUCUAAUGUCAAGUAUCAUUUCCUUAGACCAUGAGAUUGUGCAACUCCCGGAUACCGUAGGACUACUUUGGGUGUGUCAAACAUCACAACGUAACUGGGUGGCUAUAAAGGUGCACUACGGGUAUCUCCGAAAGUGUCUGUUGGGUUGGCACGAAUCAAGACUGGGAUUUGUCACUCCGUGUGACGGAGAGGUAUCUCUGGGCCCACUCGGUAGGACAUCAUCAUAAUGUGCACAAUGUGAUCAAGGAGUUGAUCACGGGAUGAUGUGUUACGGAACGAGUAAAGAGACUUGCCAGUAACGAGAUUGAACAAGGUAUCGGGAUACCAACGAUCGAAUCUCGGGCAAGUACAAUACUGCUAGACAAAGGGAAUUGUAUACGGGAUUGAUUGAAUCCUCGACAUCGUGGUUCAUCCGAUGAGAUCAUCGUGGAACAUGUGGGGGCCAACAUGGGUAUCCAGAUCCCGCUGUUGGUUAUUGACCGGAGAGAACGUCUCGGUCAUGUCUGCAUGGUUCCCGAACCCGUAGGGUCUACACACUUAAGGUUCGAUGACGCUAGGGUUAUAAAGGAAGUUUGUAUGUGGUUACCGAAUGUUGUUUGGAGUCCCGGAUGAGAUCCCGGACGUCAUGAGGAGUUCUGGAAUGGUCCGGAGGUAAAGAUUUAUAUAUAGGAAGUCCUGUUUUGGUCACCGGAAAAGUUUUGGGUUUAUCGGUAACGUACCGGGACCACCAGGAGGGUCCCAGGGGUCGACCAAGUGGGGCCACAAGCCCCGGAGGGCUGCAUGGGCCAAGUGUGGGAGGGGACCAGCCCCAGGUGGGCUGGUGCGCCCCCCACAAGGGCCCAAGGCGCCUAAGGGAAGGAGGGGGGGGGCAAACCCUAAGGGCAGAUGGGCCUUAGGGCCCAUGCCUGGUGCGCCUCCCUCUCCCCUCCACCUGGCCGCCACCCAAAUGGGAUCUGGGGGCUGCCGCCACCCCUAGGGAGGGAACCCUAGGUGGGGGCGCAGCCCCUCCCAUACCCCUAUAUAUACUUGAGGUUUGGGCUGCCCAAGACACACGAGUUCCUCUCCUUCUUGGCACAGCCCUACCCCUCUCCCUCUUCGUCUCUUGCGGUGCUUGGCGAAGCCCUGCUGGAGUACCAUGCUCCUCCACCACCACCACGCUGUUGUGCUGCUGCUGGAUGGAGUCUUCCUCAACCUCUCCCUCUCUCCCUGCUGGAUCAAGGCAUGGGAGACGUCAUCGGGCUGUUCGUGUGUUGAACGCGGAGGUGCCGUCUGUUCGGCACUACGAUCUCCGGUGAUUUGGAUCACGACGAGUAUGACUCCUCCAACCCCGUUCUCUUGAACGCUUCCGCUUAGCGAUCUACAAGGGUAUGUAGAUGCACUCUCCUUCCCUUCGUUGCUGGUUUCUCCAUAGAUAGAUCUUGGUGACACGUAGGAAAAUUUUGAGUUUCUGCUACGUUCCCCAACAAUAAAAUGACUAUAAAAUGAUUAUAAAACAUCCAAGAUUGAUAAUAUAACAGCAUGAAACAAUAAAAAAUUAUAGAUACGUUGGAUACGUAUCAGCAUCCCCAAGCUUAACUCCUACUCGUCCUCGAGUAGGUAAGUGAUAAAAACAGAAUUUUUGAUGUGGAAUGCUGCCUAACAUGUCAUAUCAUAAUCUUUUCUUUAUAGCAUGGACAUUUGGACUUCUAUAUUGUUCAGAGCAAUUGUCUAGUUUGGACAUGAUAACUUAAAUACUCAAGCAUAUCAACAAGUAACCAUGUCUUUCAAAAUAUAAACGCUAAAAUAAGCUAUCCUAGCCCAUCACGCUCAAUCAUUGAUCUAUUCAUGAAACACACUCACAUAUUAACUACACCCAAUGCUCAAGUACGAUCAUAUUGCAUCCUAGUUGGUGCUUUUAUAAGAGAGUAUGGAGACUCUAAUUCAAAAAUAAAAAAUUCAUAAAGUAAAAGAAAUGCCCUUCGCAGAGGGAAGUAGGGAUUUGUAGAGGUGCCAGAGUUCAUGGUGAAAAACUUAGAGAUAAAAACAUUUUGGGAGGUGUAUCCUUCCCACCAACGAAAACGACUUAGAGUUCCCAACACUUUCCAUGCUAGAUAUAUCAUAGGCGGUUCCCAAACAGAAAAUAAAGUUUAUUCCUUUUUUCACCAUACUUUCACUUUCCAUGGCUAGCCGUAUCCACGGUUGCCUUCCAUACCAACACUUUCCAAGGAAUAUUAUUUGACAACAUAAAGUAAAUUCAUUUUUCAUUUCGGGAUUGGGCAUCCCUAAUAUCUUUGCCUUACUCUCGUGCAAUGACAAGUGCAUAAACACUCAUCGUGAGAAUAACACAUCUAGCAUGGAAAUAUUAGCCACCACUCACCGCUCCGUGAGCGGUACAAACACACAAAAGGGAAGUUUAUUUUGAAAAUUAGAGAUGGCACAAACAAAUUUUCUUAGAACGGCAAAAGAAUACCGCAUACAGGUAGAUAUAGUGGACUCAUGUGGCAAAACUAGUUUAAAGGUUUUUGGAUGCACAAGUUGUGGUCAUACUUAGUGCAAAAUGUAGGCUAGCAAAAGAUUGAGAAGCGACCAACCAAGAAAUGAAUAAUCUCACAAGCGAGCAUUAAGCAUAAUUAACACCGAAUAAUGCACCAAAAGUAGGAUAUAAUUUCAUUGCAUAAUUAUUGACUUUCGUGCUUGCAUAGGGAAUCACAAACCUUAACACCAAUAUUCUUAGUAAAGCAUAAUUACUCAUCAACAUGACUCGCAUAUCACCUCAUCAUAUCUCAAAACUAUUACUAAGAAUCAAGUUUAUUUUGUCCAAUGAUCUUCGUGAAAGUUUUUAUUAUAUCAUUCUUGGAUAUCUAUCACUUUGGAACUAAUUUUCAUAUGUUGCUUUUGAUAAGCUCAAACAAAUAUAAGUGAAGAUCAUGAGCAUAAUAUUUCUUUCUCUCAAAUUAAUUUAAGUGAAGCAAGAGAUACUUUGUUGAAAAUUAUAUUAACUCUCAAAUAAAUCUAAGUGAAGCAAGAGAGCAUUUCUUCAAAAAUACUAAAUCACACCGUGCUCAAAAAGAUAUAAGUGAAGCACUAGAGCAAGUCCAUAGGUCAUAAAAAGUUUAAGUGAAGCAUAGAGAGCAAUUCUAACAAAUCAUGACAUGAUUAUGGCUUUCUCAAAUAGGUGUGUACAUAAAGGAAUCAAGACUUAAAACACAAAAUAAAACAAGCAAAGACUCAUAUCAUACAAGACGCUUCAAGCAAAACACAUAGUAUGUGACGAAUAAAAAUAUAGCUUCGAGUAAAAUACCGAUGAUCGUUAGAAGAAAGAGGGGAUGCCACUCGGGGCAUCCCCAAGCUUAGUUGCUUGCUCUCUUUUGGAUAAUAACUUGGGAUUCUGGGGCAUCCCCAAGCUUAGGCUCUUAUUACUCCUUACUCCUUCAUCUAUCAUAAGAUAACCCAAAACUUGAAAACUUCAAUCACACAAAACUCAACAAAAGCUUCAUGAGAUCCGUUAGUAUAAGAAAAUAAAUCACUACUAUAAGUACUGUAUAAAACCAAUUCAUAUUUUUUCUUGCAUUAUAUCUACUGUAUUCCAACUUUUCUAUGGCAAUAACUCAUCAAAGAAAACCAUAGAGCCAUCAAAACAAGCAUACAACGCAAAGAAAACAGAAUCUGUCAAAACAGAACAGUCUGUAGCAAUCUGACUAUUUCAAAUACUUCUGUAACUUCAAAAACUCUGAAAAAUUAGGAAAACCUAAGAAAUUUGUAUAUUGAUCUACUUCAAAAGGAAUGGGUAUUUUAUUGCUCUCUGGUUAAAAACGAGAAUUAUUUUCGUGAGCGCAAAAGUUUCUGUUUUGUCAGCAAGAUCAAACAACUAUCACCCAAGAAGAUCCUAACGGUUUUACUUGGCACAAACACUAACUAAAACAUAAAAAACAUAAUAAUAACAGUAGAAUAAUUGUGCAAACACUCAAGAAUAGAAAGCAAAAAAAGAAAAAAAAUAUUCAUUGGGUUGCCUCCCAACAAGCGCUAUAGUUUUAUGCCCUAAGCUAGGCAUAAAGCAAGGAUCUAAGUUUUGUCAUCUUUGUUUUGAGAUCCAUAAGAUGCCCUCAUGACUGAUUCAUAUGGUGGCCUAAUUCUUGUUCUAGAGAACUGUUCCAUACCCUUCCUCAAGGGAAAUUGGAACUUAAUAUUGCCUUCUUUCACAUCAAUCACGACACCGAUAGUGCGUAAAAACGGUCUACCAAGAAUAACUGGGCAAGACGGAUUGCAAUCAAUAUCAAGAACAAUAAAAUCUAUGGGCACAUAAUUUCUAUUUGCAAGAAUAAGAACAUCAUUAAUUCUUCACAUGGUCUUUUUAAUAGUAGAAUCUGCCAAGUGCAAAUUCAAAGAGCAUGAUUCAAGAUCGGUAAGACCAAGCACAUCACAUAAAUAUUUCGGAAUAGUAGAAACACUAUCACCCAAGUCACACAAAGCAAAACACUCAUAAUUUUUAAUCUUGACUUUGAUAGUAGGUUCCCAUUCAUCAUGCAAUUUUCUAGGAAUUGAAACUUCUAAUUCCUAUUUUUCUUCAAAAGCUUUCAUCAUAGCAUCAAUGAUAAGUUUAGUAAAAGAUUUAUUUUGUUCAUAAGCAUGGGGUGAAUUUAUCAUGGAUUGCAACAAAGAAAUACAAUCAAUCAAAGAGCAACUAUCAUAAUUAAAGUGUUUGUAAUCCAAAAGAGUGGGCACAUCACUAGUUAAAGUUUUGACCUCAUCAAACCCACUUUUAUCAAUUUUCUCAACGAGAUUUUAACCCUCCGAAUUAUCGGGACGCCUUAUAACUAAAGUUGACUCUUCUCCAGUCCCUUUUUCAUCAAUCUUAACUUUACUAAACAAGGAAUCAAUAGAAGAAACACAAAUCAUUUUAAGAUCUUCAUCACUUUUACGAAAGUAAUCACUAGAAAACUCUUUUUCUAAAAAUUCUCUUUUAGCUCUAAGCAUAGUGGUUCUUUUCUUACUUUCAUCCAUACAAACAUAAAGAGCUUUAAUUGAUUCAUCAACCUUAGGCACAAAAAUUUUAAUCUUGAGAUUUUCCACAUCAUGAGAAAUUCUAUCAACACUUCUAGACAAAUCAUCAAUCUUAUUCAACUUUUCUUCUAUGGAGGUGUUGAAAACUUUUUGCAUGCUGACAAAUUAUUUAAUAUUAUUCUCAGGAUUAAAGGUGUUCCUAUUAUUAUAAGAAGGAUUUCCAUAGGAAUUACCAUAAUUAAUAGAGGAAUUACUAGGGAAAGGCUUAGGAUUAAAAGUACCUCUAUAAACAUUAUUGUUGAAAUUAUUUCGAGAGAUAAAAUUCACAUAUAUGGCAUCACUAUUUUGCUCAAUCAAAGUAGACAAAGGCAUAUCAUUAAAAUCAAUUGGAGCACUUUUACUAGUAACCAAUUUCAUAAGAGCAUCAACUUUUUCACUCAAGGAAGAAAAUUUCUUCAACCGAAUUAACUUUUUUUUUCUAGUAGGAGCUCUUUUGGUAUGCCAUUGCGAAUAAUUUGCCAUAAUAUUAUCAAGAAAUUUGGUGGCUUCACCCAAAGUAAUUUCCACAAAAGUACCACCCGCGACAGAAACUAAAAGAUUAUGAGAAACAAAAUUCAAUCCCGCAUAAAAAUUCAAUUCCUUAGCAUCAUUUUCAUCCUUUCCCAAGAUUGUGCAACAUGCUCAUGUUCAAGUUUCUUGAAAUUCAUGAUCUAGGUUCUAAGGGAAAUAAUUUUUGCGGACGGAAAAUACUUAGUGAUAAAAGUAUCUUUGCACUUAUUCCAAGAAUCGAUACUAUUGCGAGGCAAAGAUAACCGAUUUUUUUAGAAUCACGCAAAGAAAACGGAAAUAAUUUUAUCUUCACAACAUCAUUGUGCACAUCUUUUUUGUUUUGCAUAUCGCAUAAUUCCACGACGGUAUUGAGAUGGUACGCGACAUCCUCAUUAGGAGUAUUGGAAAAUUGAUCUUUCAUAACAAGAUUCAACAAAGCAGUAUUAAUAUCACAAGACUCCGCACUAGUGGUGGGAGGAGAAAUCGGAGUGCCAAUAAAAUCAUUGUUGUUGGUAUUUGAGAAAUCACACAACUUGGUGUUCUCUUGAGUCAUGGUGACUACUGAACAAGAUUGCACUCAAAAACAGAUCCAGCAAGAAAACGGCGAACGAAAAAGAGAGGCGAAUAAAAUGACAAAUUUUUGUGAAGUGGGGGAGAGGAAAACGAGAGGCAAAUGGCAAAUAAUGUAAAUUGGGAGGAGAUGAAAUUUGUGAUUAGGAACCUGGUAUAUGUUGACGAUGCUCCCCGACAACUGCGCUAGAAAUUCCUUUUAAUGUCGCUUGAAGCUAUGUCGGUAUUUCCCCAAAGAGGAAGGGAUGAUGCAGCACAUCGGCGGUAGGUAUUUCCCUCAGAUAUGAAACCAAGGUUAUUGAACCAGUAGGAGAACCAAGCAACACAACAUAAACAACACCUGCACACAAAUAACAAAUACUCGCAACCCGACGUGUUAAAGGGGUUGUCAAUCACUUUCGGGUAACGGCGCAAAAAAUUGGCACGUGGAUGGGAGAAAGUUGUAAAUAUUGAUAGAUCGACGCCAAAUAAAAUAAAGUGCAACAAGGUAUUUUUGUAUUUUUCGAUUUAAUAGAUCUAAAAAUAAAAGGCAAAUAAAAUAGAUCGCAAAGACAAAUAAUAUGAGAAAGCGACCCGGGGGGCAUAGGUUUCACUAGUGGCUUCUCUCGAGAAAAAUAGCAAACAGUGGGUAAACAAAUUACUAUUGGGAAAUUUAUAGAACUUCAAAUAAUCAGGAUGAUAUCCAGGCAAUGAUCAUUAUAUAGGCAUCACAUCCAAGAUUAGUAGACCGACUCCUGCCUACAUCUACUACUAUUACUCCACACAUCGACCGCUUUCCAGCAUGCAUCUAGUGUAUUAAGUUCAUGGAGAAACGGAGUAAUGCAAUAAGAACGAUGACAUGAUGUAGACAAGAUCUACCUAUGUAGAGAUAGACGCCGUCGUUUUAUCCUUAGUAGAUACGACACAUACGUGUCGGUUCCCCUUUUGUCACUGGGAUCAAGCACCGUAAGAUCGAACCCACUACAAAGCACCUCUUCCCAUUGCAAGAUAAAUAGAUCAAAUUGGCCAAAUAAACCCUAAAUAUCGGAGAAAAAAUACGAGGCUAUAAGCAAUCAUGCAUGAAAGAGAUCAAAGAAACUCAAAUACUUUCAUGGAUAUAAAAAUCCGAUCAUAAAUUCAAAGUUCAUCCGAUCCCAACAAACACACCGCAAAAAGAGUUACAUCAUAUGGAUCUGCAAAAGACCAUUGUAUUGAGAAUCAAACGAGAGAGAGAGAGAGGAAGUCAUCUAGCUACUAACUACGGACCCGAAGGUCUACAAAGAACUACUCAUGCAUCAUCGGAGAGGCACCAAUGGAGGUGGUGAACCCCAUCCGUGAUGGUCUCUAGAUUGGAUCUUCUGGACUCUGCGUCGGCUGGAAUUGAUUUUUGUCGACUCCCCUAGGGUUUCUGGAAUAUUGCGGUAUUAUUUGAGCAAAGAGGCGGUCCGAGGGGCACCCGUGGUGGGCACAACCCAGCAGGGCACGUCUGGGCCUCCUGGCGCGCCCUGGUGGGUUGUGCUCUCCUCGGAGCUCCCCCGGGGCGCAGGCUUGGCCCAUUAGGUGUCUUCUGGUCCAUAAAAAAUCUCCGUAAAGUUUCGUUGCAUUUGGACUCCGUUUGGUAUUGAUUUUCUGCGAUGUAAAAAACAUGCAAAAAAUAGCAACUGGCACUUGGCGCUAUGUUAAUAGGUUAGUACCAAAAAAUGAUAUAAAAUGACUAUAAAAUGAUUAUAAAACAUCCAAGAUUUAUAAUAUAACAACAUGGAACAAUAAAAAAUUAUAGAUACGUUGGAUACGUAUGUGUGAUGUCCCAUGUCCCAUUAGCCAUGAUGGAAUCCAUCUCCCUAUGGACCGCAUCCUUCCAUUAGUCAGCUUCUGGAGAGGCAUACGCUUCUGAAAUAGAAGUGGGAGUAUCAUCCACGAGGUAGACGAAGAAAUCAUCACCAAAGGUCUUUGCAGUCCUUUGUCUCUUGCCCCUACCAAGGGUUUCCUCAUCAUCCUCCUCGGGAUUUUCAUCAUGUGUUCGUUCAUAAUAUUCCAUAGGAAUGGCAGGCUCAGGAGUAUCCUUAGAUUCCUGUUUAGAAGUGCUUUGCAUAUCUCUCAUAGAAAAAAUAUCCUCGAAGAAUGUAGCAUCCUUAGACUCCAUAAUUGUACCGACCUUCUGGUCAGGUACCCCAGAUUUCACUACUAGAAAUCUAUAGCCAACGAUGUUCUUAGCUUAUCCCAAAUUAACGCAGUCCAUAGUCUUGGGUCCAAGCUUACGCUUUUUGGGGAUCGGCACAUUGACUUUCGCCAAACAGCCCCAAGUAUGCAAGUACGAGAGUGUUGUCCUUCUCUUCGCCCAUUUCUUAUAGGUAGUAAUCUCAUUAUCGUUUGUCAGAACUUUAUGCAGGACAUGACAUGCCGUCAAUAUAGCCUCCCCCACCAUGCCUUGGAUAAACCUGAUGUAUCUAACAUGGCGUUAACCAAAUCAGUUAGAGUAUGGUUUUUUCGCUCGGCAACCCCGUUUGACUGGGGUGAAUAGGGAGACGUCCUCUCAUGAAUAAUUCCGUGUUCCGCACAAAAGGAAUCAAACUCACUCGAGAAGUACUCUCCACCACGAUCUGACCAGACUCGUUUAAUUUUGUUUUCAAGUUGAUUCUCAACUUCUGUCUUAUCGAUUUUAAAGUAAUGUAGAGCCUCAUCUUUAGUAUUUAACAUAUACACAUAGUAAUAUCUAGUGGAAUUAUAUAUCAAUGUCAUGAAGUAUUUCUUUUCACCUUUAGUCAACACACCAUUCAUCUCACAAAGAUCAGAAUGUAUGAGUUCUAAUGGUGCCAAGUGUCUCUCCUCCGCAGCCUUGUGAGGCUUGCGAGGUUGCUUAGCUUGCACACAUGAAAGGCACUUAGAACCAUUGGCUAAAGUGAAAUUCAGGAUUAAAUCCAACUUAGAUAGCCGCGUCAUAACAUCGAAACUAAUGCGACAAAGACAUGAAUGCCAAACUUCAGAUUCAUUAACACUCGAAUGAAUAUGGUUCACGACUUUAUUACAAAAAUCUGCGAGGGAAAGGUGGAACAUCCCUCUGCUCUCAUAACCUUUUCCAACAAAUAGUCCAUAUUUAGUAACAACUAAUUUAUUAGACUCGAAGACCAACUUAAACCCUUCUCUACAUAGAAGGAAGCCACUAACGAGGUUCUUCUUGAUGGCGGGGACAUGCUGCACGAUCUUUCCCGAAGUAAACUUCAGAUCGACCGUGCCAACACCAUGAACAGAAGCACUCACGCCAUUCCCCAUCAAUACGAACCCGUGGCUUGUGACCUGGUAAGAAGUGAACAAUGAAAUGUUAGCGCACACAUGAACACCGGCACAUGUGUCCACCCACCAAUCGGUGGGCUGAAACACUGAAAAAACAGUAAAUAAAUUACGGUACCCAGAUGCACCAUUCUCAUUGUUGCCCAUAAUCAUGUUGACAGACUUGGAGUCCUGUCCUGAUUUGUUAAACUUGUUUGGGCAUUUAUUGGCCCAAUGUUCAACCGAACCACAAGUAAAGCAUCCCUCAUCCUUCUUGUUCUUCUUGAAGAACUUCUUACCCUUCUUCUUAAAGUCGGUAUUGUGUUGGACACCGUUCUUUCCCUUAGUCUUGUGGGAGUUGAAAUUCCACUGGUUCACCAUGUUGGCGACAGAAGUCCCUUCGGCCCCUUUUUCGCGCGAGUCCUUUGCCCUUGAAUUCUGCUCAACACUCAGAUGGGCAAUGACAUCCUCCACUGAUAAUUCACGCCUCUGAUGUUUCAGAGUGGUGGCAAAGUUCCUCCAGGAAUUAGGGAGCUUAGUGAUUAUGCAGCCUGCGACAAACUUGCCCGGUAAAUCGCACUUAAGAAGCUCAAGCUCCUUAACGAUGCAUAUUAUCUCAUGAGCCUGCUCUAGUACAGGACGGUUUUCAUGGAACUGCUCUAUAACAUACAUUUCGCUCCCAGCACCGGUUUCCCCGAACUUAGAUUCGAGUGCCUCCCAUAAGUCCUUGGCGACAUGCACAUGUAAAUAUGCGUCAACCAGUUUAUCUCCGAUCAUGCUAAGAACUGCUCUGAGAAACACGACGGUGGCCUCCCUGAACGCCUUCUCCCGUUCAGGAGCAAUCGUUCUCGUGGGCACACCGGUGACCCAGAAUACGUUCAUAGCCGUGAGCCAUAAAGUGGUCUUAGUCCCCCAACACUUAAAGUAUGUACCGGUAAACUUAUUCAGUUUCAGUGCAACGGCAAAGCCACUUGCCGAAAAAUUCCUACACAUAAUAGGUUCUUGGAUUGCCGAGUAAAGAGGCAAGUUUUUGACUAAUUUAAUCCAUAGAUAAAUCACUAGCAUGGCAUUGACGAAAUUAAUGACAUACUGAUUCUGAUCUAAACAAACAUGUACUACACAAACAAACAGUAGACACAUCUAUACAUAUUAGUACUGCUAAUAAGAAAAUAAACAAGAGCGGAAUAAACGUGUUAUACCUCUAGUAGGCCAGGCAGAAGCCGCGGCGGCGGUGGCAGAAGCAUCCUCGGUGGCCUUCUUGUCGGCCUCGAGCUUCUCGGCAGCGAGACGGUCGGCGUCGGGCUGAGACAUGAUGAUGAUGAAAUGACACGGACGUAGAGGAAGUAGUGGAUCGAAAGCGAGCAGUCGAGUAGUCUCUUUCCAAAAACCUAUUCGCCCCUCUCCCGUACAGGAACCGGAGGGGCGGGGUUUCAGAGAUCUGCUCUCCCGUCGACCGUGUACGCGGCGGACGGGACAGAGUCACCGGCGGCAACAGCAGCAAAGGAACAACGGUGUGCGUGCGCCUGGAGCAGAUGUGAUCUGUUCGUGGCGGCUAGGGUUAGGAGACACCUCACACUUAUAUAGGCGCAGCCGCGUGGAGAGACGUGGGCUCGACCCACAUCCGAGUCCAUGACAGCCCACAAUCCAACAUCUUAGAUCGUGACCCAGCUGUCAGAAACUCACCGUUAGUGACUGACAAAAAUAAGCGCGUAGGUGUGAGCUCGGCUCAUUCCCGUGGCGUGGCAUGGCGGGCGGCCGAGGAGGAGUGCGCGAGGGCCUCUUCUAUUCUCAAGCUCCAAUAGCAUGUAGAAGAGAAACCCUUAUAAGGAGGUCCAACUCCUCUCCAACUUCCGGGGCGGGACUAAACUUCCCACUACAUCUAGUGCCAAUAAACCCACAUGGGCACUUAGAGACUUUCAGAAAUUGCUAGAUGGGCCUAAAGCCCACCCCAAAUUUUAGCACUCCUACUAGAUCAUCGAUGGCUGGUUUGCCACCCCCGUUUUUUUUUCAGUACAAUGGUAUGAAAUUUCGUAAAUAUAUGAUGAUAUGAAAUGUUGUUGUUAAAUAAUACUUCGUCCUUUUCGGUUUAAAGGGCUCAUCUCAAAAUUUCCAAAUUUUCAAUAUAUUAGGCUCACUUUGUGUCCAACUGAGUUAAAGUACUUUGAGUCUUACACCACAUUAAUUCAUAGGGAUAAGAGAAAGGGAAUUAGCGAUCAUGCAUCUUAUUCUGCAUGCACCAUGCAAGUCCAGUAAAAGGUAGGGUGCUACACUUAGUGCUUCAGGAAUCAAAUAUGCGGGAAAUAUUUCAUUAGGCAGUUUUGUAUUCACAAAACUCGUGCCAUCUACUCACAAUCUACCUUAGUUGACGAGAUUUCACAUUUGAGUCCUCUAAACCGGAAAGGAGAGAGUAUGAAAUAAGUUGCUUAGAAUUUGAGGACAACGAACUAAAUAAUUUCACUAAAAUCUGAUUCUAACCGGCUAGGAGUUUUAGCUACAACAUCGUACUGUGAUAAACCAACCAGACAUUGUACAAUCAGCCUUAAACAAUCUCCGUUGGCACUAAAAUCGGAAAUGUACACAUCGACUUAUUUAAUCUUGGAAAUUGCUUCACACACGACACUACUCGCAUGACCUGCAGAUGAUAGCAUCAGCAAGGGAAAAAACAAUUCCUCUCCUGCCUGCAUCCUUGCUGUUGGUGCUGCGAUCGUGCAUGCAUCGGCCGUAAUAUAUCGUGUGUAUAGCAGCAUUCUUUGAUCUUUGUUUUUAUUAUUUAAUUUGAUGGUUGCUCAUUGUUCUUGCCCAACAUAAGACACACUUGUUGUUGAUUUUCCUAUAUUGACAUCUCAUUGGAAGUUUAUCAAUUGGUCGUUUCGUAAACCAUGGUCCUUGCUCAUAAACUGAUUUGACCUAUUUCAGAAUGGAAAUAAAUAUUUUAAAAGGGAUGAUAAAUUGGUGAAAGUAAAGUAAUUUAUUUUUAAAUACAAGACAAUUAUAUUGAUCACAGACCAUUGCAAAUUAAGAAUACUAAUAGCCAAAAAAGACCUAAUCAUGAUAUGCAUAUUAGCGAAAAGUGCUUAUCAUAAGAACACCAUGAGAAGUACACACAAAUAUAGAAAAAAAUACCUCCAUGAUUUUGAAAUUUGACAAAAUAGGUUCCGUUUUUCUAGUUCUUGUAAGUUCACAAGAGAGAACCAAAAUAUAUGUAAGCAAAAGGAUCAUCGAAUGACAUCAAUCUAUCCGGGAAGGUCAUUCUUACCUCUCUUGAGAAAUGUUAGCUUAACCUUCACCAUUUUAGGAGAAAAUCUUCACUGCAUAAUCUCAAUCAGUAUGGCUCUUCUUUGAAUCUAUCCAACUAAAUGUUGUAUUUAUGCGACCUUGGAAGAUUAGCAUGGAUAAUUAUUGAUAUGUUAUUUCGCAAAAACUAAGAGAUAUAAUUAGGUUUAUAGUAUGAAAAGUGAAAAAUAAAUAAGGUAAGCUAGCAAAAGAUAUUGAUUCUACUUUAUAACCUGAACACCACAAAGGGAAACAUCUGAAGAAGUUUCUAACCCACCUAAAAAUGCUUGUUGUUGUACUGCUCUCAUAAAAAAAAACUUCAUGUCUACAUUUACAUGUUUAACCUUAGAAGAUCAGUGUAAAAGGAAUAUUAUAAAGUCACAAUGCACUACGUAUCACAACAAUAGAAGGAGAAUGCCUGCAAUCCAACAACAUGUACGUUAUUUGCUUGGUCAUAUAUGUUAAAAGUGAAUUGUGCACAAUGUAGUCGAAUAUGGUCCAUCUUCAAACCCACAUGACCUAGCGAAAAUGCAAGCAAAUAAUACACUUACCCGGGGCAUUCAACAUCAAUGGGUAUCAUCACCUAACUCAUCAUCCGUCGUAGCAAAGUUGAACUCCUCAAUGAACAUGCAUAUCAUUGGUGCCACCGGUAAGUUUUGAGUUUACCAACAUCUACACAAAUCGAGUACAUAAUUUUCUAGAAAUAAUAAGCUCGGGGUUGAUUUUCUGGCUACACUGAUAUUAUGGUAUACUUUUUUUGUCAAGAGUAGCAGUUUCUCCUACUGGAGUUACAACACAUCAUGGGAAACCUAAAGGCAAGGAUUUACCUGAGAUAUUAGAUUGAAACUCUUAAUAAAGUACUCGUAUAACCCUCUUAAUAAAGUACUCGUAUAAAGUAGCAAAUUUAAUAAAGUACUCGUAUAAGCACUCAGAAGAAUCUCAAGUAGACGUAUUAUGGGCAAGGCUAAAAUAAUGAAAAAAUGUAGAAUACAAAUUGAAUAAGGUAUAAUUCAUUAUUUAUGUUUACAAUUCAGUCUUAUGCAUAUAUAGAAAUAAAAAAUUGAUAGCAACAACUAAAAGGGUAAUUUAUAAUCUUCACAAUAAUUAGAACACCUCAAUAAUGAAAAUAUAUGAGGUAAAUUAGAAGUUGAAAGAGAGAUCACAACCCGAAGUUGAUGAUCGUGGAAUCAACAGAAUACACGGUGUGAAACAUCAUUAGCAUGUCAGUUUUACCACAUAAUAUUCUUCUUUUGCUCACUAAAUUACCAAUGCUACUGACAUGUUCAUCUAAUCCAUAAAAUGAAUUAAAAAUAUCUAUCACCUAAUAAAAACUAUAUUAUAUGCACUUGCAUGUUAGUCAGCAAAAACUAUUUUUUUUUGCAAUGGAACAUGUUAACAUACGGUUGCAGAUACAAAGAUUGAACCUGUAGAAGGCCAUUGUGAGGUCCCCGCCGGCUCCACCAGUAGAGGGCACGUGCCAGGCUGGGGAAGUCGUGUAAAAGAGAGGAGCAAGCUAAGGGAAGGCACAUCAUGCCGCCAACCCUGUUCAACCUCGACUAGCCUUCCCAUCUUCAGAUCAUCAUCAUCUCAUCUUCCUCUCACCAUCGAUCGACACAGAGUAGCGGGAUAGGGAGGUGACAUGGGGAGGUAGCAGCAUGGAGGAGAAGGAGAAAGGGUGUGAUUGGGGAAAAGAGAGGAUUGUGCCAGCGCCUACCUAGGUGUGAAGCGACCGAGAGAAGGGCUUGGCGUUGCUUGAGGUUCCUUCAGCGGCGGCACUAGCGGGGCGACUGUUUCUCCCACGUUGCUUGGAUGGGAGGUCUCGGGGAGGGGAUGAGGCUGUUUGAGAGGGCAAUAAUAAUGGGCUAGAAAACAAGAGGGUGGGGCGAAUGAGGCUGAAAAAAUUGUCUUUGUGUAAUACAGGGCCCAAUUAACCACAUGUUUUAGUAUUUCCUACAAAAUAGCAGCCCUUUUAGGACAAGUGGCCCAGUGCACGAGCAGAAGUUGAGCGGAUGUCCAAAAAUGCCCAAAGUACGACAUCCGACGACGAUAAAAAAUUGUCCAGAUCAUGAGAGGUUUGGGAAGUAGUUCAAUUUUACUGUACAAAUGUGAUGUAGGGUUAAUAGGAAAUUACCAUUUUUUAAGAUCCUGGAAGCACACUUUCUGUUGUAGUACUACCUACCAUUGCAACAUUGCGGAACAUUUCUACAAUCCUUAAUAUAUACUAUGUUAAGUUAUGGAGUGGGAAAUUCUUGAAAAUGCAACAAUAAAUUCAGGUAAAUGUAACACAUGCGCAUUUUGAGAUUGUGCAAUCCCACUUAUUAAUUAAGUAAAUAUCUUUAAGAAGCGAAAUGUAACCAUUUUGUGGCCCAGAAUAAAAUUAAAUCAUCUAUUUUUCUCAAGUACUUGUACAGCUGACUUAAACUUAAUCUCAUUUUGUGUAGUUUUAAAUAAUUAUUUGGCAGUACAUUAUUCUGAUCAAUCAUAGGAAAAAAGAUAGAACUGUACUUUGUGUUGGCAAUCUCGGGAGAAUCCGUAUCGGUGUGUACUUGUCGUUAAGUUAUGCAUGUGUGUCCUUCUAGAAUACCUUCUUUUGAUGAUGAUAAAGAAGAAACUAAUUAAUUUAGAGCCACUAAAUUUGGCAAAAUUUAAACCAUAUGCACGGGAUGAAAUGCAACCUCAUUGAUUAAUAAGAACACAUUUUUAGAGACUAGGGGGGCUGGUGCGCCUGACCCAAAUAGGCCAGGGUGCCACCCUACAGCCCACGUGGGUCCCCGUGGCUGGUGGAUCCUAAUAAGAAAAUAGACAGUUUUCCGAUUAAAUUAAUCCAUGAAUAAAUCAUAAGCAUGACAUUGACAGUAUUGAUAACACACUGGUUACGAUCUAACAAAGCAUGCACUACGCAUAUAGUAGAAACAUCUAUGCAUAUCGCUAGUACUGCUACAACAGAAAGAAACAUGAGAGGGAUAAACGAUGUAUACCCUCCAAUCGGCCAUGCGGCGGCAGUAGCCGCGGCAUCCUCGGCGUCCUUCUUGUCGGCCUCAGCCUUCUCAGCGGCGGCACGGUCGGCGUCAGUCGACAUGGUGAUGACGAAGGUGAUGUGGACGUAGAUGAACAGAAGCGAGCAGUCGCGUAGUCGCUACCCAAAAACCUAAUCGCCCCUCUCCCGUACAGGAUCCGGAGAGGCGGGGUUUCAGAGGCCUUCUCUCCCGUCAACCGUGUACGUGGUGAACGGGACGGAGUCGCCGGCGGCAGCAGCAGCAGAGGAACGACGCGGGCGUGGAGGCGGAGAUGCGUUAUGUUUCGUGGCGGCUAGGGUUGGCAGCGCCCCACAUAUAUAUGUGCGGCUGCGCAUGGAGAGACGUGGGCUGAACCCACGUCCAAGUCGAUAGCCCACGAUCCGACGUCUCAGAUCGUGGCCCCACCUGUCAAAGACUCUCCGUUCCUGACCGGCAAAAAGAAGCGCAUAGGAGUGAGCUCGGCUCGGCUCAAUCCCGCAACCCGCGGCGCGUCAUGACGAGGCGAGGCGUGGCGUGGCGAGGCGAGCGAAGGAGGAGGAGUGCGCGAGGGCCUCAUCUCUUCUCAAGCUCCAAUAGCAUGAGGAAGAGAAUCCCUUAUAAACCACUCCAACUCUCCUUCCACUUCCGGGGUGGGACUAAACUUCCCACCACCUUGUCAUGCCACCUACAUGGGCCCUUAGAGAUCAAAUCUGAAAUUGUCAUAUGGGCUCUAGGCCCAUCUCAUAUUUCAACAAUCCCCCACCAGAUCUCAGGGGCCCAGUUUGUCCUUUGUUCCAAACGCUGUUUUGAUAUACCAGCAUCUCAGUGGAGACCGAUUAAGGUUGAGCUCCACCUAGACCAAGUAGUUACACUCCUUCACAAUUGAACAAUGGACUAUGCCUUGAAUUGUCAGUUUGGCGUCAAGAAGUUUCACCACAAGUCUCACUGAUACGAGGCUGCCGAAGGCCGACCCCUCGGGUGGAGCAUAUUAGUCACACUCCUGGCCUGUUCAUGAGCUUGCUAGAGAUCACCCCAAUCUCAUAGACUGUGACCAGCAGUCGGGCUCAUAUAGGUGUGUUCCUCCAAAGAUCGCUCUGUAGGAUAGCAUCUUGCUUAUGCAUAUAAGCCUUGGAACACAUUAAGACAGUAGUCAUCCUUCCAUACAAUUUCCGAGAGUAUUGCAUCUCCAACGGAGUGGGUUAGUAAAGUUACUCUCCUCAGUUCACCACUGGCUUGUUUUCCCAGGUCCUACUUCACGGGAUCUCCGAUCACAUAGGUUGGGUUACUACCAUGGCAACUCACGUGGGUCUCAUACCCAUCUCCCUUGAUGCAUUAUCUAUCACAACACGUGAUAGCCCUUUAGUAAAGGGACCUGCCAGAUCCUUACCCGUUUGAAUAUAAUCCAACGCUAUCACUCCGGAGUUCCUCAAUUUUCUGACAGCUUUCAAUCUCAUUCUUAUGUGUUUGUUGGACUUCAUGUUGUCCUUUGAACUCUUCACCUUGACAAUAACUGUUUGAUUUUCACAGUUCAUAAGGAUGGCCGGAACUGGCUUCUCAACCACUGGCAAGUCCAUCAACAGAUCUCGAAGCCAUUCUGCUUCGCCACCCGAUGUGUCUAAUGCUGUUAAUUCUGCUUCCAUUGUUGAUCUUGUUAAGAUCGUUUGCUUGCAAGACUUCCAGGAAACAACACCACCUCCAAGAGUAAAUAUAUACCCAGUUGUGGCCUUCAUCUCAUCAGCAUUAGAGAUCCAAUUCGCAUCACUAUACCCUUCAAGUACCGACGGGUAUCCAGUAUAGUGAAGUCCAUAGUUCAUAGUACCUUUCAGAUAGCGCAUAACUCUCUCAAGAGCACGCCAAUGUACAUCACCCGGUUUGGAAAUAAAUCGGCUCAGUUUGCUAAUAGCAAAUGCGAUGUCAGGCCUCGUUGUGCUCGCUAGAUACUGUAGUGAACCAACAAUCUGAGAGUAUCUCAAUUGAUCUAUAGCUGUGCCUUUAGACUUUCGAAUCAGCACACUAGAAUCAUAUGGUGUUUGAGAUGGUUUGCAGUCUGAAUAUCCAAAACGACUCAACACUUCUCAACAUAAUGGGAUUGCAAAAGUGUAAUCCCACCCUCAUCAUCUCUCAAUAGCUUGAUGUUCAAGAUAACAUCAGCCACUCCAAGGUCCUUCAUCUCAAAGUUCUGAGAUAGGAAAGACUUAACCUCCUCGAUCAACUUGAGAUUAGUCGCAAAUAUCAGUAUGUCAUCAACAUACAAACACAGUAUAACUCCUUAGCCCCCACCAUAGCGAUAGAAUACACAUUUGUCAGCCUCAUUAACAACAAAGCCAACAGAUGUCAACGUUUCAUUAAACUUGUCAUGCCAUUGCUUAGGCGCUUAUCUCAGGCCAUACAAAGAUUUCACCAACUUACACACCUUUCCUUCCUGACCAUCCAUCACAAAGCCAUCAGGCUGUUGCAUAUAGAUUUCCUCCUUUAGCUCUCCGUUCAGGAAAGCCGUCUUAACAUCCAUCUGAUGAAUGAGAAGACCAUGCGAGGCCGCCAACGAGAGUAAUACUCGAAUGGUGGUCAGUCUGGCCAUAGGUGAAUAAGUGUCAAAGAAAUCUUCUUCUUCUUUCUGGGCGUAGCCCUUGGCCACAAGCCUAGCCUUGUACUUCUCUAUCGUACCAUUGGGCCUAAGCUUCUUCUUGAACACCCACUUGCAUCCCAAUGGUUUGCAACCAUAAGGACGUUCAGUAAGCUCCCAAGUCCCGUUAGCCAUGAUGGAAUCCAUCUCGCUACGGACCGCAUCCUUCAAGUAGUCACCUUCUGGAGAUGCAUACGCUUCUAAAAUAGAAGUGGGAUUAUCCUCCACGAGGUAUAUGAAGUAAUCAUCACCAAAGGUCUUUACAGUCCUUUGUCUCUUGCCCCUACCAAGGGAUUCCUCAUUAUCCUCCUCAGGAUUUUCAUCAUGUCUUUGGUUAUAAUAUUCCAUCGGAAUGGCAGGUUCAGGAGUCUCCUCAGAUUCCUGUCUAGAAGUGCUUUGUACAUCUCUCAUGGGAAAAAUGUCCUCAAAGAAUGUAGCAUCUUUAGACUCCAUAAUUGUACCGACUUUUAUGUCAGGUACCUCGGAUUUCACUACUAGAAAUCUAUAGCCAACACUAUUCAUAGCGUAGCCCAAAUUAACACAGUCCACAGUCUUUGGUCCAAGCUUACGCUUUUUGGGGAUCGGCACAUUAACUUUCGCCAAGCAGCCCCAGGUACGUAAGUACGAGAGUGUUGUCCUUCUCUUGGUCCACUUCUUGUAAGGAGUGAUCUCGUUAUCCUUUGUCGGAACUUUAUUCAGGACAUGACAGGAUGUCAUUAUAGCCUCCCCCCACCAUGCCUUGGAUAAACCCGACGUAUCUAACAUGGCAUUAACCAAAUCAGUUAGAGUACGGUUUUUCCGCUCGGCAACCCCGUUUGACUGGGGUGAGUAAGGAGGCGUCCUCUCGUGAAUAAUGUCGUGUUCCGCACAAAAGGCAUCAAACUCUUUCGAGAAGUACUCUCCACCACUAUCUGACCGGACUCGUUUAAUUUUCUUUUCAAGUUGAUCCUCAACUUCUGCCUUAUAGAUUUUGAAGUAGUGUAGAGCCUCAUCUUUAGUAUUUAACAGAUACACAUAGAAAUAUCUAGUGGAAUCAUCUAUCAAAGUCAUGAAAUAUUUCUUUCUACCUUUAGUCAACACACCAUUCAUCUCACAAAUAUCAGAAUGUAUGAGUUCCAGUGGCGCCAAGUGUCUCUCCUCUGCUGCCUUGUGAGGCUUGCAAGGUUGCUUAGAUUGCACACACGAAUGGCACUUAGAACCUUUGGCUAAAGUGAAACUCGGGAUUAAAUUCGAUUUUGCUAGCCGCGUCAUAACACCAAAACUAAUGUGACAAAGACGUGAAUGCCAUACUUCAGAUUCAUUAACACUCAAAUGAAUAUUGUUCACGACUUUAUUACAUAGAUCUGCAAGAGAAAGGCGGAACAUGCCUCCGCAUUCAUAACCCUUUCCAACAAAUAGUCCAUAUUUCGUAACAACUAAUUUAUUAGACUCGAAUACCAACUUAAACCCUUCUCUACAUAGAAGGGAGCCACUAACGAGGUUCUUCUUGAUGGCGGGGACAUGCUGCACGUUCUUCAGCUGCACGAUCCUUCCCGAAGUAAACUUCAGAUCGACCGUGCCAACAGCAAGAACAGAAGCACUCGCGCCAUUCCCCAUCAGUACGGACCCGUGACCUGUGGCUUGGUAAGAAGAAAACAAUGAAAUGUCAGGACACACAUGAACACCUGCACCUGUGUCGAUCCACCAAUCGGUGGACGGCCAAACUGAAAAUACAGCAAAUAAAUUACCGUACCCAGAUGCACCACCCUCAUUGUUGCUCACAAUCAUAUUGACAUACUUGGAGUCCUAGCCUUGCUUCUUAUACUUGUUUGGGCACUUGUUGGCCCAAUGUUCAAGCGAACCACAAGUAAAGCAGCCCUCAUCCUUCUUGUUCUUCUUGAAGGUCUUCUUACCCUUCUUUUUAAAGUCGGCACUCUGUUGGACACCGUUCUUUCCCUUGGGCUUGUGGGAAUUGGAGUUCUUCAGAUGCACCAUGUUGGCCACAGAAGUUCCUUCGACCCUUUUUCCGUGCGAGUCCUUUGCCCUUGAGUUCUGCUCAACACUCAGAUGGCCAAUGACAUCCUCCACAGAGAAUUCACGCCUCUGAUGUUUCAGAGUGGUGGCAAAGUUCCUCCAGGAAUUGGGAAGCUUAGCGAUUAUGCAGCCCACGACAAACUUGCCCGGUAACUCGCACUUAAGAAGCUCAAGCUCCUUAACAAUGCAUAUUAUCUCAUGAGCCUGCUCCAAUACAGGACGGUUUUCAACCAUCUUGUAAUCAUGGAACUGCUCUAUAAUAUACAUCUCGCUCCCUGCAUCGGCAGCCCCGAACUUAGAUUCGAGCGCCUCCCACAAGUCCUUGGCAGACCACACAUGCAAAUAUGCGUCAACCAGCUUAUCUCCAAUCACGCUCAGAACUGCCCCGAGGAACACGACAGUGGCCUCCUUGAACGCCUUCUCCUGAUCAGGAGCGAUCAUUCUUGUGGGAGUCACACCGGCGACCCAGAACACAUUCAUGGUAGUGAGCCAUAAGGUGGUUUUAGUAUACCAACGCUUAAAGUACGUCCCCGUAAACGGCGACAGUUUCAGUGCAGCAGCAAAACCAGAAUUCGAAAAACUCCUAAACAUAUUAGGUUUUUGGAUUGAUAAGAAAAUAGGCAGUUUUUGAUUAAAUUAAUCCAUGAAUAAAUCAUGAGCAUGACAUUGAUAGUAUUGAUAACACACUGGUUACGAUCUAACAGAGCAUGUACUAUGCAUAUAGUAGAAACAUCUACGCAUAUUGCUAGUACUGCUACAACAGAAAGAAACAUGAGAGGGAUAAACGAUGUAUACCCUCCAAUCAGCCAUGCGGCGGCGGUAGUAGCCGCGGCAUCCUCGGCGGCCUUCUUGUCGGCCUCGGCCUUCUCAGCGGCGGCACGGUCGGCGUCAGUCGACAUGGUGAUGACGAAGGUGAUGUGGACGUAGAUGAACAGAAGCGAGCAGUCGCAUAGUCGCUAACCAAAAACCUAAUCGCCCCUCUCCCGUAUAGGAUCCAGAGAGGCGGGGUUUCGGAGGCCUGCUCUCCCGUCAACCGUGCACGCGGUGAACGGGACGGAGUCAUCGGCGGCAGCAGCAGCAGAGGAACGACGCGGGCGUGGAGGCCGAGAUGUGUUAUGUUUCGUGGCGGCUAGGGUUGGCAGCGCCCCACAUAUAUAUGUGCGGCUGCGCGUGGAGAGACGUGGGCUGAAUCCACGUCCAAGUCGGUAGCCCACGAUCCGACGUCUCAGAUCGUGGCCCCACCUGUCAAAGACUCUCCGUUCCUGACCGGCAAAAAGAAGCGCAUAGGAGUGAGCUCGGCCCGACUCAAUCCCGCAACCCGCGGUGCGUUGUGACGAGGCGUGGCGUGGCGAGGCGAGCGGAGGAGGAGGAGCGCGCGAGGGCCUCAUCUCUUCUCAAGCUCCAAUAGCAUGAGGAAGAGAAUCCCUUAUAAACCACUUCAACUCCCCUUCCACUUCCGGGGUGGGACUAAACUUCCCACCACCUUGUCAUGCCACCUACAUGGGCCCUUAGAGAUCAAAUCUGAAAUUGUCAUAUGGGCUCUAGGCCCAUCUCAUAUUUCAACAGAUCCCUGGAACCCUUUGGUGCCUCCGGUACUGUCGUGGAACUGUCACGGCAAAUGUGCUUAGUGUCAGGACUUAGUCGCGAGGCCAACGCAUCUAUGUGGUAGCUUGAGAGGGGUUGAGCAGGACGAGAGACGCGAUGUUCUACCCAGGUUUGGCCCCUCACGGUGGAGGUAAAAGCCUACAUCCUGCUUCAUUGAUAUUGAUGAUCAUGAUCACGGUUACAAGAGUGCUCUAUCUCGAGAGCUAUUAUCUAAACCUAACUUGUCCAACCUAUGGAACUUGUGAAUCUUGUCCCCUUUUGAGGAGCCCUGCCCCUCCUUAUAUAUGUUGGAGGGGCGGAUUACAUGUAGAGUCCUAUUAGGAUUAGGACUAAUCUAUCUUAAUACAAACCGGAUACAAGUCCAGGUCUUAGCUCCUUGUAAGAUAAUGUUCCUCAUGCCUUUCCUCUUAAACCAGCCCACCAUUAACAUAAACCGGCAUGCUGGGCCUUGGGCCUUGUCAUCCGUCCGGAACACGCCUCGGGUCACCAAUGAGUCUUCAGGCUCGUGAAUCGUCAUACCAGUGAACCGCCAGACACGUAAACCGCCAGACAUGUAAACCGCCAAUCACGUAAACCGCCAAUCCUCUGGCGGUUUACCAAUGAAACGCCUAGUCCGGCCGGGUUAUACUUCCUGCCGGUUUACGCCGCGGGGUAUAUCCCCGACAUUAGCCCCCAAGUUUAGCUUGGAUUUAUUCAUGGUAAACUUAUGUUGCAAAAUAAACACAAGAACAAAUUUGACAGGUUAUGCUCCGGGUUAAGAAUUUUUGUAAACCGGUACCUGAUCAUCCUUAAGUCCUUGUUAUUUCCUCCUUCUGGGAAAUCCGGGUCAACAGACCAGCUUCAUAAUCAAUUUGCCGACAUUGGUUUGUCACCGAGAAAAAUUGUGAAGAAUAACUCCUUUAACUCAGCUCCCAAAGCGCCGGUUUAAGAAAUAUGGGUCUGAAAAUACUUAUCUGAUAUUCAGCCGGUUUGAAGAUGUAAAACUUGCCGGUUUAAUAUUACCAAAAUGGCCGGUUUAUUAAUAUUGAUGGCGUCGGGUCAUAAUUGUUGUCGACACCGGGUCAUGUAAUUGAUCUUCCUGAUUUGCUCAAAACUGAUAAAAUGAAGAUGUUCCUCCUUUAUAUGCAUAAUACCUGUAGCCCCCAAGUCUUAAGAGGAGAACAUAGUGAUAACUUAAGACUUGCUCCAAUAAGUGUUUCAACCUUGAAGAAAUCUGAUUAGUUCAUCUCAAUCAUAUAAACUGAAUACUCCAUAUAUGUAGCCCCCAAGUGCCGGGUUGUCAUGCUUGCAGCAACCUGGGACUUGUAAUUUGCUUAUAAAAACUUCAAUCAGUGUAACCCCCAAGGACCGGGUCAUUAUGCAAUAAUGAGCAGGAACUUUGUAAAUAUAAUAAUGUAGAUUUUAGCAGUGAUGUGUAGCCCCCAAGGGCCGGCUUAGUAAGAUAAUACUGAACCGGGACUUGAUAUAUACUUCAAUGAAAAUAACAUCUUAUAAUGUAGCAUCCAUCAUAGGGCUUGAACCCACGUCCACAAUGUUAAGAGUCUCUGUGCUUUACCAACUGAGCAAUGAAUCCUUCAAUAUUAUGGACGAAAACUUGUGUACCUUGAAUUGUUGACAUGAGCAAUUGGUAGCCCCCAAGGGCCGGCUCAUUAUAAUAUGAUGAGUCGGGUCUUUAAUAAGACUAGUAAAAAUGACUUUGCAUUAGCCCCCAAGUGUCAUGAUGCAUGCUUGCAGCGACAUGAGACUUGCAUGUAAUCUCGAUUUGAAUAAUGUAGCCCCCAAGUGCCGGGUUGUAAGCCUGCAGCAACUCGGGACUAUUCCUUCAAUUGUAGAAUAAAUCAUAUCUAUUGAUAAUAUGAUAGCCAUUGCGCUAAAGCAACUUUGAAAACCUCAAUAAUACCGGUUAUUAAUAACCAUAAAAAUCCAGCCAUGUUGGCUAUUCAAGAUAACAUAAUCCGGUGAAAACCUUAUUCAUUCAAUAUCAUAAUGAAAAUUCAGCCAAACUUGGCUAUUUGAAUAAUAUAACCCAAUGAUUUAUAAGCGCAUGAUUCCAAUGGCGCAAUCCAAAUAUAUAUAUACUGGCGACUUAUAGUCCAAAGCCAGGCCAGUUCAACAAACCUGUUUCUGCAUACAACAAGUUUAAAGUGUCCUGGCGGUUUACCGCCAGACGGGUCAUAAUGCCCAACAUAUAACCCGGGUUUAUAACCAAGGCUGCACUUAAGAAUAAUCAAAUAUGAAAUAUAUCAUACCUGUGACAUUGAAUCACAUUGUUGGUUUUACCAACUUUUUGUAGUAAGGGUGAUAACCCAAAUCUUGAGUACUGAUAACUCCUUCCAUAUUGUGCCGGUUUAUGAUAAAACCGUGACGGGUUGUGAUAAACGCCGGUUUAACCACAUAUAAUACUAGCGACUCGUAGUCAAACCAGACCAGACUGAUAGUCUCCGGAUUAUAACUUGAUCGUGUACUAACAACUUGUAGUUGAAAGCCGAGCCGGGUUGAUAAACACCGGUUUACUCCAUAAUAGGAUGGUAACAGAAAAUCAAACCGGGCAGAUAGCCUCCGGAUUAAGAUUUGACCGUGUUCCGUCAAUUUGUAAUUUGACAGUCGAACCGGUUUAAGAAUUGUCAAUUUAAAAACGCAACAAAAUAAAAGAAACAGUUAUCAAGGAAAAUAUUGAAGCAAAGGCAAUGAUAAAACCAUUUGCAAAAAGAGGCUUAUUUAGCCGAUCAGAUGGUGUUACCAUGGUCGGACACGACCAAGCUCCCCAAUGGUGUAGCUAUGGUUCAAGUCAGCCAGGUCCCCAAAUGAAACAGUGGCAUUAUGCCGAUCAAGAGGCGUGGCAAUGGUUCGGGUUCGACCAAGCCCCCAAGUGAUUCUAUGGCCUUAGGCCGAUCAAGAGGCAUGACUGGUUCAGACUUGACCAUGUCCCCAAGUGAUCUGGUGGCUUUCGCCUAUCAAAAGGUAUUGCAUUGGUUCAGACACGACCAAGCCCCCAAGUGAUGUUUAUAAAAUUUUCAAGGGGUAAACCGGAGGCCGCUUUAAGACAGAACAACUCCGUGUAACUACGCAUGAUGUAAAAGAACAGAGACCCCGCUUUAUGAAGCAGACGCCCCCAUGUGAUCAAUAAUAUGUCAGGCCAGUAAGGCGGGAUACCCAUGUUUGAACCGCGCAUCGUGGCAGCAGGUCCUCUUCGACAAUUUUUAACUUUUUGCAAGAGAUAAAUUCUUCUUUGAACCGGGAUCUUGAACCGGAUAUUGAGAGCUUCAAAGCUUUAUGGGAGACAUCUUUCCCUUGAACCGGAUUUUAAACCGGAAUCUUCAUUUUUAGCCAGAAAUUUUCUGACGGCCUUUAAACUCGAACUUGCGAGAAGUUAAUUCCUUUUUGAACCGGAAAUUCUUAAACCGGAUUUGAGAGCUUCAGAGCUUUGUGGGAGACAUCUUUCCCUUGAACCAGAUUUUAAAACGGAAUCUUCAUUUUUAGCCGGAAAUUUUCUGACGGCCUUUAAACUCGAACUUGCGAGAAGUUAAUUCCUUUUUGAACCGGAAAUUCUUAAACCGAAUUUGAGAGCUUCAGAGCUUUGUCGGAGAACAAAUUUCCCUUGUACCGGAUUGUAAACCGGAAUCCUUUUACGAUGACCCGAAACUUCUUCAUUGAGCCGGGAUUUUGUAACUGUCAUAUACUUUCUCAUCCGGAAAUCUUCUGACAGCACGAUGUGAAUCCGGGACCGGGUUAUCUUUCCCUCCAACGUAUUGGGGUUCUUGACUUCACUGAAAACCGGCAACGUUUGCUAAGUCAUAUCAUUGUAGCCCCCAAGUCUCAAGGUGACUCGAGGAGUUGGCUUGAGAUUCUCCAUAUUUGACCGUGAUAUAAACCGGCAUAACUUGUAUAUCAUUGGUGUUGAUAGCACGAUGUGAAUCCAUAGAAGGUUGAGGUGACUGCGGCGGGUUGUAAAUGAUCCCAUAUGAGCCGUGUCAGCAACUCGGCCAAUGGUUCCUUCCAACUGGCGAUUUGAAGUUAAUCAAAACUGUAGUGGCGACGACUUGUGCGCCUGCCCAUUGAACCAUCCAGUGCAAACGACGGUUGAUGAUAAUUUGUCUCCAAUUUGAAAGAAAACCGGGCUACCCAAGCUGUGACUUGCUCAUACCCAAUAAACAGCUCAUGCAGACAGGUGCGGCCCGGUAUGUUGAUGUAGACCAGGCCGUGAGAGACGGACAACAAAGAUGACCGCUGCUUUCAAAGGCGGCACAGACAGAUGAGUCAGCCGCGGCAUUGUAAACCGACAUGGACAGGCGACUUAGCCACAUCAUAUUGAUGUAAACCGGUCUGCAGAAUGGCGGUUUGCACAUAUAUUCACCGAGCUUGAUGGCAUGGUAAGAUACUAGCGCAUUCAUAAUGGUUGCGCGAGUUUAUACAUCCAUGACACAGCCAUAGCUUUUGCAAUGAACAAUUGUCCUACAUAAACAAUAUUACAGACCAAGGCACAGGUAAACUGUUCUUUGACAAAAAUAAUAUGUGCUAAUAAAAUAUAUUUUAUAUGGAUAUCACCUGAUGUGCUAGGCGGAAAUUAUCCGCCAUCGAGUUGAUGAUCACCACAGUGAUGCUAAAAUUAAUCACGGCCGAGUUAACCGUAGGAGCAGACAGAUGAGUCGGCCCGGCGUUGUAAUCCGGUGCGGCCGAGCAAGUUGUCCUCCACGUUGUAAGCUGGCGUGGAUGCAUGAACCGGUGGCCAUGGCGGACGGGCGAGUCGUCCGUGGUGUUGUAAGGUGGUGCGGACGGGCGAGUCAGUCGGUACGUUGACGUAAACCGGACCGCGAGACCCUGUCCGUGAAGCCGCGCGAUACAGCCGAACGUGCAUCCGUGGUAUAACACCACCCCUUUUUCUUUUAUUAGUUGCCCCGCGUAAAAAUAUUACAUGCCAGAGUAAUUGUUGUCGGAUGAAUUAACAUGUACUGAUAAAAUACAUAGAAACUAUAGCACCUGGUAUUUUUUGCCGGACGCUGGCGCCGGAUAAUGCAUAGUGCUGCUUUUGUUUUGACAAAAGAGUUGAUUGGUUCUGUGUCUUGUAAUGCCUGAGGUCUCCACAUAACCUGGCCAGAAUUUUUUGAACCGGAAUUUCUGGAACCGGAGUUUCUUGAUAAUCCGGCCGGAACUUUUGAUAAUCCGGAACUAUUGAACCGGAACCUCUUGAUAAUCCAACCAGAAUUUUUGAUAAUCCGGAACUUUUUGAGCUGGAACCUCUGUAUAACCCGGUCGAAACUUUUGAUAAUCCGGAACCUUUGAACUGGAACCUCUUGAUAAUCCAACCAGAAAUUUUGAUAAUCCGGAAUCUUUUGAGCUGGAACCUCUUGGUAAUCCGGCCGGAACUUUUUGCUAAUCCGGAAAUAUUUGAUAAUUCGGAACUUUUCUGUAGCCGAAGUCGGAACUCUUUGACGACUCGGACAGAAGCUUUCGACGAUGCGGCUGGAACCCUUCGGUGAUUCGGACUGAACUUUUCGUCGAGGCGAUCGGAACUUUUUGAUGAUUCAGACAUAACCUUUCAUUGAGACGGUCGGAACUUUUCAAUGAUCCGGCCGGAAAUUUCAGACGAACCGGCGGAACGUUUCGAUGAGCCUGACGGAACUUUUUCGGCGAGCCGGCUAGAACUCUCCGACAAACCGAUCGGACCUUUUUCAUUGAGCUGGACGGAGCUUCUCAAUCCCUGAGAUGGCGCCCUCCAAGAACUCAACACCACCGUGCGCAGGCCCCACGGUGGGCGCCAACUGUCGUGGAACUGUCAAGGCAGAUGUCCUUAGUGUCAGGACUUAGUCGCGAGGCCAACACGUCUAUGUGGUAGCUUGAGAGGGGUUGAGCGGGACGAGAGACGCGAUGUUUUACCCAGGUUCGGCCCCUCAUGGUGGAGGUAAAAGCCUACAUCCUGCUUCAUUGAUAUUGAUGAUCAUGAUCACGGUUACAAGAGUGCUCUAUCUCGAGAGCUAUUGUCUAAACCUAACUUGUCCAACCUGUGGAACUUGUGAAUCUUGUCCCCUUUUGAGGAGCCCUGCCCCUCCUUAUAUAUGUUGGAGGAGCGGAUUACAUGUAGAGUCCUAUUAGGAUUAGGACUAAUCUAUCUUAAUACAAACCGGAUACAAGUCCAGGUCUUAGCUCCUUGUAAGAUAAUGUUCCUCAUGCCUUUCCUGUUAAACCGGCCCACCAUUAACAUAAACCGGCAUGCUGGGCCUUGGGCCUUGUCAUCCGUCCGGAACAUGCCCCGGGUCACCAAUGAGUCUUCAGGCUCGUGAAUCGUCAUACUAGUGAACCGCCAGACACGUAAACCGCCAGACAUGUAAACCGCCAAUCACGUAAACCGCCAAUCCUCUGGCGGUUUACCAAUGAAACGCCUAGUCCGGCCGGGUUAUACUUCCGGCCGGUUUACGCCGCGGGGUAUAUCCCCGACAGGUACACUUGUCGGCACUCUAGAACCUUUCCGGUGGCCAAUACAAGACUUUCCAUAUGUAAAUCUUUAACUCCGGACUAUUCCGGAGCUCCUCGUGAUAUCCUGAUCCCAUCCGGGACUUCGAACUACCUUUGGACUUUCCACUGUCAAUAUUUCAAUGCUACCCUAGCGCUACCGAACGUUAAGCGUGCGACCUUACGGGUUCGGGAAUAUGUAGGCAUGACCGAGACAGCUCUCCGGUCAAUAAUCAAUAGCGGGACCUGGAUGCCCAUAUUGAUUAGCACACAUUCAAUGAAGAUCUUCAUCGGUUGAACCACGAUGUCAAGGAUUCAGUUAAUCCUGUAUGCAAUUCCCUUUGUCCGGCGAUAUGUUACUUCCCGAGAUUAGAUCGUCAGUAUCCCCAUACCUAGUUUAAUCUCGUUAUCGGCAAGUCUCUUUACUUGUUCCGCAAUAAAAGAUCCCGUGACUAAACUCAUUAGUCACAUGAAGCUUCUUAUGAUGUUGUAUUAUCAAGAGGGCCCAGAGAUAUCUCUUCGUCAUACAGAGUGACAAAACCCAGUCUCGAUCUAUGCAACCCAACAGACACCUUUGAAGAUACCUGUAGAGCACCUUUAUGAUCACCCAUUUACGUAGUGAUGUUUGGUAGCACACAAGGCAUUCCUCCGGUAUCUAGGAGUGGCAUGAUCUCAUGGUCUAAGGAACUGAUACUUGACAUAAAGAAAGUUGUAGCAAAUAACUAAACAAUCUGAUGCUAAGCUUAUGGUUGAGUCUGUCCAUCACAUCAUCUUCUAAUGGUGUGAUCCCAUUAUAAAAUUAUAACUCAUGUCUAUGGUUAAAAACCUUAACCAUCUUUGAUCAACGAGCUAGCCUAGUAGAGGCCUACUAGGGGCACGGUGUUGUUUAUGUAUUCACACAUGUACUAAAGUUUCCAGUAAAUUCAAUUCAAGCAUGAAUAAUAAACAUUUAUCUUGAACAAGGAAAUAUGAUAAAAACCAAUUUAUUAUUGCCUCUAGGGCGUAUUUCCAACAACUUUUUGUUCUAUAAACUUUUACCUCAAAUCCUUUACUGAGUAUAGUUUCUGGUGUUGAGUACUCCUUGUAGUUGAUGCUUAGAAGUUUUAUUGGUUAAAUAUUCAUAUGUUCAGAUUGUUAAUCAUAUAUUCAUCUCCAUUGAUCAUGAUCCAUAUGAUGUAUUGUGAGUAGUCCAUUCCGUUGUUGAGGACAUGAGAUAAACCUUGUUGCUAGUAACCUUGUGAAGUUAAAUCUAGUUCAAUGUAUUAAUAUUGUGUUGUGGUGUAAUUUUCUAGUGGUGAUGUGCGAACAUCGAUGCCAUAUCAUCACUUCAACUUUAAGGACCUAGAGGAGAGCAUUUUGUGGAUGGCGAGUGGUGGCGGCGACGGGUGAUCCUGAUGUUGUAGAUGCUUCCCUGGUAGUGACUCCCUAGUCUUGAUCUGGAGGCCUGUUUCGGUGGCGAAGGUCCUUCCCAUUAAGAUGGAUUAGCUACCUUGGUACCUCGGUGUGGCAUGGGCGAGAUUAUGAGCGAAAGCUCUGUGCAACAUCACUAUCGGCGGGCAUGCUUGCGGGUGUUGUUUCCCUCUUGAAGGGGGGGGGGCGUCAAUUUGGUUCCCUCACGCUAGGGCUCUGGGUGAAACCCUUGUUCCGUCAUUGUGGCCUGGACGAUGGUGGCAUGGUGCAUCGUUACCCUCUUGGGGGCAUCGUCGUGGAGCUCAAGUACCUUCUGGUCACAACAGGUUAGUAUCUUUAGUCAUGGAUCUUUGAGUAAAGCUUCUUCCAUCGUGGCAUGGGGCAUUAACAUUGGUCUCCUACCUUUUACCCAUGACAAUGUUGUGAACGUUCUUGGUCCUUGCAGUCUACAUGCAGGAUCAACACUUCGCAGCUUUGAGUGAGAGGGUAGGUGGCCCUCUCCAAUGAUAGUUUGGUGUGUGUGAUGUAAUGGUGUCCUGUGGUUUCUAGUGAACCGUGGUUUUCAUUCCUAGUCUGUGGUCUCGGGGUACUUAUUGGGUGUGGCUUCUUCGUGCGUUCUUGCUCGACUUAGUUGCCGGCGUCUUUGCCACUCUCUCAGAUGUCGAUCUUAUUUUGACCUGCUUUGCAAUAUGAUUUUCUCAUCACAUUGUAUCAGUCAUGUCGUUUGGGUUUUAUUUAUCAAAAUAGGGUGUCACGCCCAAUAUGCAAUACUAUCCUAAAGAGACUCGAGGGUCCCACCAAGGAUAGAACCGCAUAUUGACACGCUUUUGCAAGGUGGAUAUCAUUACAUCAAAGCAUUACAUAAUAGAUGGGGAUACAUACAAAAGGCAUACAAAGCCACAAGAAUACAUUAAUGCAUCAUACAUAGAACAACAUCUGACUACAGAUGAAACACAAAUAGAAACUCAAACGACAUCCACCCUGCUAGCCAAGGCUGCCGACUAGGAACCUAUCCCAAGAUCGACGAUGAAGAAGAAGAACUCUAAAACAAGCAAAACAUCACUCUCGCGUCAUGAUCAUCACAUUACCUGUACCUACAACUGUUGUUGUAGUAAUCUGUGAGCCACAAGGACUCAACAAUCCCAUUACCAUGGUUAUCAAGACUAGCAAAGCUUAAUGGUAUGGAAAGGAUAAGUGGUGAGGUUGCAGCGGCGGCUAAGCAAUGUAUGGUGGCUAACUUACGAGUACAAGAGUAAGAUGGGAAACUACGCAAAUGGUCGCAAACUAGUAAUGAUCAAUAAGUGAUCCCGAACUACUUAUGUUCAAACAUAACCCAACCGUAUUCUCCUCUCGAACUUCCCCGAAAAGAGACAAUCAUGGUUACGCACGCGGUUGGUGUAUCUUUGUUGAGUUUACUUCAAGUCCUCUACAACCGGAUAUUAACAAAUUCCCAUCUACCACAUAACCACGGGCACGGCUCUCGAAAGUUUAAACCCUGCAGGGGUGUCCCAACUUAGCCCAUGACAAGCUCACGAUCCACAGAGACAACCCUCCAUCACGGGACCCUCCGAUCAGACUCGGAAUCCCGGUGCACAAGACAUUUCGACAAUGGUAAAACAAGUCCAGCAAGACCUCCCGACGUGCCGACACCCUGAUAGUAGCCGCGCGUAUCUUGUCUCAGGCCUAGACGGAUGAGCUACGCGUAUAGGUGCCAACAUACCCCAAGUUGCCAAGGGGCGGCCCCGCAUAGUGCUCUAGUUUGGGACCAACACAAUCGGCACUGGCCCCCCUGUAUGUAGAAAGAAUCCUCGGGUUCAUGACGCCCUAUGCCAAUUAAUUAUUUAGUUCAAUAUUAUUAUGGAAAAUGUUAAAACCAAUGUUGGGCCUUGCUGGAAGAGUUAUAUUCAAAGCGAACUGUCAAGAGGGGCCCAUAAACCCUCAUCGUGUUACGGACGCAAAAUCAAGUAACAUAACACCGGUAUGACGGAAACUAGGGCGGCAGGAGAGAACAAAACACUAGGCAGAAGGCCGAGCCUUCCACCCUUUACCAAGUAUAUAGAUGCAUUAAUUAAAUAAGAGAUAUUGUGAUAUCCCAUGAUAUCCUGUCCCAACAUGGAACAACCUUCAACUGCACCUGCAACUAGCAACGCUAUAAGAGGGGCUGAGCAAAGCGGUAACAUAACCAAACAACAGUUUGCUAGGAAGGGUGAAAAGGUUAGAGGCUAUCGUGGCAAUUUGGGAGGCUCGAUAAACAAGUGGUAUAUAGGUAAUGCGACAUAGCGAUAGCAUCAAGACAACUAGCAUAGCAAAGAUAGUAUGAUAUCCAAGGUGACGGUCAUCUUGCCUAAAAUCCCACUAGGAAGAAGAAUGAGUCCAUGAAGUAGACGGACCAACGUAGUCGAACGGAUCCUCACCAUCGCAACGUAACCAAAACUAUCGAGAAGGAGCACAACCGGAAAGAAGCAAACAACAUGGUAAACACACAAGCAUAAACAUGACAUGGAAAAGAACACAUGCUACAUGAACGAUGAACAUGAAUGCAUAUGAAGAAUGCAAUAAACGGAGCUAAGGCUACUGGUACGAGGGAUAGGUUGCCGGGAAUUACAAAUGUGUUGACAUGAUAGAUAUGGUCAAACUCUUGGCAAACCAAGUAUUCCACUAGAUAGAUGGGAAGAUUCUAGUUGAAAACGUUAUAAAGAUCACCGGGAAUCGGAUGCACAGAUUGCAAAUGAUGAACAAAACAAAAUGCAAUGCAAAGCUAUCAACAACAGCAACAUGCCCACUUGGAUGCAUCACUUAAAUAUGCAACAGAACUCAAACAUGAAAUACAUAACAUGCACUACAAAACAUGAUCACUGAACUAUUUCUAAAACUUAAUGGAUCAUCACCAAAACAGCAUGGCAAACUGACAACUCAUAAGAGCUUAACAUACUUGGUGAAAACACAGAACAUGGCAGGAAACAGAUUCAUGAUGCAAUGUUUAGGUCUAGCAACUACAUGCUACAGGAACAUAUUAAGCAACCAAGAGCAUGUCAUGCUAGUACAAUAUGCACUUAACAAAACUCCCUCAAUGAACUUUGUCCAGAAACUCAUAGAUAAGAUGAUACAAACAAUGCAAAAUGGCAAGUUAUGCUGACAGUUUCAGACUUAGCAAAAUAAACAUGGCAUGGCAGAAACAGAUUUAUGAUAGCAUGCUUGCAAUCUUGUUUCACUCAUUACAAGGCACUUCAUGGCAUGAAAUAAAUUCUAGUAGUAAGAUGGCAUAAUGAAGAGCAUGUUCAUAUGCAAAACUUCCUCAUGGCAUAAAUGGUAUCAAAUGAACAAAAAUGACAAAAUGCUACAUGCUGCAAAUAUAACAUGUUCACAAACUUGCUCAAAUGAUGAAAUGGAUGCCACAGAUGGCUUUGGUGGGAUUUUUCUAGUGCAAAAUGAUAUAUAAUAUGCAUAUGAUAUGAUUUUGGCAACAACAUAGGAUGGCACAAUGCAAACACAUGGCAUAGCAAGUGAAAUAAGCAUGAUGAAAGAAGCAAAGAUAUGACAAGGCACUCAACAUGAUCAUGGCAUAAACAUGUAGGAAUGAAAUACCCAAAACAAUUAUGAUAGUGCAACAAACAUAAUAAAAAACACGGCAACAACUAAAAUAAAGGGAAGGCAUCUAGAGCAUCGGUCUCGCGGUGUUACAACUCUCCUCCACUAACAUGAGAUCUCGUCCCGAGAUCUUGGGAACGAGAUGGAAGUAAAAGAGGAUAAGGAGGAAUAAGAGUGCAAAAGGGAAGGUGAACAAGACCGAGAGCACUCGGGUAGAAAAGAGGAACGAAGAUUAUGACGAGACUCAAAAGCUUAAGGAAUACGAUAGAAUCUGAUACCAACUUGGCACGCCCAAUAUGCGAUACUAUCGUAAAGAGAUUCGCGGGUCCCUCCAAGGAUAGAACCGCAUAUUGACACACUUUUGCAAGGUGGAUAUCAUUACAUCAAACCAUUACAUAAUAGAUGAGCAUACAUACAAAAGGCAUACAAACACACAAGAAUACAUCAAUGCAUCAUACAUAGAACAACAUCCGACUACGGAUGAAACACAAACAAAACUCAAACGACAUCCACCCUGCUAGCCCAGGCCGCCGACUAUAGGAACCUAUCCCAAGAUCAACGACGAAGAAGAAGAACUCCAAAACAAGAAAAACAUCGCUCUCGCGUCAUGAUCAUCACAUUACCUGUACCUGCAACUGUUGUUGUAGUAAUCUGUGAGCCACAAGCACUCAGCAAUCCCAUUACCAUGGGUAUCAAGACUAGCAAAGCUUAAUGGGUAUGGAAAGGAUAAGUGGUGAGGUUGCAGCGGCGGCUAAGCAAUGUAUGGUGGCUAACUUACGAGUACAAGAGUAAGAUGAGAAACUACGCAAACAGUCGCAAACUAGUAAUGAUCAAUAAAUGAACCUAAACUACUUACAUUCAAACAUAACCCAACCGUGUUCUCCUCUCGAACUUCCCCGAAAACAGACUGUCAUGGUUACGCACGCGGUUGGUGUAUUUUAGUUGAGUCUACUUCAAGUCCUCUACAACUGGAUAUUAACAAAUUCACAUCUGCCACAUAACCGCGGGCACGGCUCUCGAAAGUUUAAACCCUGCAUGGUGUCCCAACUUAGCCCAUGACAAGCUCACGAUCCACGGAGACAAUCCUCCAUCGCGGGACCCUCCGAUCAGACUCGGAAUCCAGGUGCACAAGACAUUUCAACAAUGGUAAAACAAGUCCAGCAAGAAACCCGACAUGCCGACACCCUGAUAGUAGCCGCACGUAUCUCUUCUCAGGCCACGAUGGAUGAGCUAGGCGUACAGGUGCCAACAUACCCCAAGUUGCCAAGGGGCGGCCCCGCACAGUUUCAGACUUAGCAAAAUAAACAUGGAAUGGCAGAAACAGAUUUAUGAUAGCAUGUUUGCAAGCUUGUUUCACUCAUUACAAGGCACUUCAUGGCAUGAAAUAAAUUCUAGCAGUAAGAUGGCAGAAUGAAGAACAUGUUCAUAUGCAAAACUUCCUCAUGGCAUAAAUGGUAUUAAAUGCACAAAAAUGAAAAAAUGCUACAUGCUGCAAAUAUAACAUGUUCACAAACUUGCUCAAAUCAUGAAAUGGAUGCCCCAGAUGGCUUGGUGGGAUUUUUCUGGUGCAAAAUGAUAUAUAAUAUGCAUAUGAGAUGAUUUUGGCAACAACAUAGGAUGGCACAAUGCAAACACAUGGCAUAACAAGUGAAAUAAGCAUGGUGAAAGAAGCAAAGACAUGGCAAGGCACUCAACAUGAUCAUGGCAUAAACAUAUAGGAAUAAAAUAUGCAAAAUAAUUAUGAUAAUGCAACAAACAUAAUAAAAAACACGACAACAACUAAAAUAAAUCAAAGGCAUCUGGAGCAUCGGUCUCGGGGUGUUACAACUCUCCUCCACUAACAAGAGAUCUCGUCCCAAGAUCUUAGGAAUGAGACGGAAGUAAAAGAGGAUAAGGAAGAAUAAGAGCACAAAAGGAAGGUGAACAAGACCGAGAGCACUCGGGUAGAAAAGAGGAACGACGAUUAUGUCAAGACUCGAAAGCUCAAGGAAUACGAUAGACUUUGAUACCAACUUGUCACGCCCAAUAUGCGAUACUAUCCUCAAGAGAAUCGAGGGCCCCACCAAGGAUAGAACAUAUUGACACGCUUUUGCAAGGUGGAUAUCAUUACAUCAAACCAUUACAUAAUAGAUGGCGAUACAUACAAAAGGCAUACAAAGCCACAAGAAUAAAUCAAUGAAUCAUACAUAGAACAACAUGCGACUACGGAUGAAACACAAACAAAAGCUCAAACGACAUCCACCCUGCUAGCCCAUGCUGCCUACUAGGAACCUAUCCCAAGAUCGACGAAGAAGAAGAAGAACUCCAAAACAAGAAAAAAAAUCGCUCUCGUGUCAUGAUCAUCGCAUUACAUGUACCUGCAACUGUUGUUGUAGUAAUCUGUGAGCCACAAGGACUCAGCAAUCCCAUUACCAUGUGUAUCAAGACUAGCAAAGCUUAAUGGGUAUGGAAAGGAUAAGUGGAGAGGUUGCAUCGGCGGCUAAACAAUGUGUGGUGGCUAACUUACGAGUACAAGAGUAAGACGAGAAACUACGCAAACGGUCACAAACUAGUAAUGAUCAAUAAGUGAUCCUGGACUAUUUACGUUCAAAUAUAACCCAACCGUGUUCUCCUCUCGAACUUCCCCGAAAAGAGACAAUCACGGUUAGGCACGCGGUUGGUGUAUUUUAGUUGAGUUUACUUCAAGUCCUCUACAACCGGAUAUUAACAAAUUCCUAUCUGCCACAUAACCGCGGGCACGACUCUUGACAGUUUAAACCCUGCAGGGGUGUCCCAACUUAGCCCAUGACAAGCUCACGAUCCGCGGAGACAAUCCUCCAUCGCGGGACCCUCCCAUCAUACUCGGAAUUCCGAUGCACAAGACAUUUUGACAAUGGUAAAACAAGUCAAGUAAGACCUCCUGACGUGCCGACACCCUGAUAGUAGCCGCGCAUAUCUUGUCUCAGGCCACGUCGGAUGAGCUACACGUACAUGUGCCAACAUACCCCAAGUUGGCUAGGGGCGGCCCCACAUAGUGCUGUAGUUUGGGACCAACACCAUCGGCACUGGCCUCCGUGUAUGUAGAAAGAAUCCUAGGGUUCACGACGCCCUAUGCCAAUUAAUUAUUUAGUUCAAUAUUAUUAUGGCAAAUGUUAAAACCAAUGUUGGGCCUUGCUGGAAGAGUUUUAUUCAAAGCGAACUGUCAAGAGGGUCCCAUAAACCCUCACCAUGUUAGGGACGCAAAAUCAAGGAACAUAACACCAAUAUGAUGGAAACUAGGGCGGCAACAGUGGAACAAAACACCAGGCAAAAGGCUGAGCCUUCCACCCUUUACUAAGUAUAUAGAUGCAUUAAUUAAAUAAGAGAUAUUGUGAUAUCCCAUGAUAUCCAUGUCCCAAUAAGGAACAACCUGCAACUGCACCUGCAACUAGCAACGCUAUAAGAGGGGCUGAGAAAAGCGACGACAUAGCGAAACAACGGUUUGCUAGGAAGGGUGAAAAGGUUAGAGGCUAUCAUGGCAAUUUGGGAGGCUCGAUAAACAAGUGGUAGGUAGCGCGACAUAGCGAUAGCAUCGAGACAACUAGCAUAGCCAAGGUAACGGUCAUCUUGCCUGAAAUCCCGCUAGGAAGAAGAACGAGUCCAUAAAGUAGACGGGCCAACGUAGUCGAACGGAUCCUCACCGUCGCAACGUAACCGAAACUAUCGAGAAGGAGCACAACCGGAAAGAAGCAAACAACAUGGUAAACACACAAGCAUAAACAUGACAUGGAAAAUAACACAUGCUACAUGCAUGAUGAACAUGAAUGCAUAUGAAGAAUGCAACAGACAGAGCUAAGGCUACUGGUACGAGGGAUAGGUUGCCGGGAAUUACAAAGGUGUUGACAUGAUAGAUAUGGUCAAACUCUUGGCAAACCAAGUAUGCCACUGGAUAGAUGGGAAGAUUCUAGUUGAAAAUGAUAUAAAUAUCACCGGAAUCGGAUACACGGAUUUCAUAUGAUGAACAAAACAAAAUGCAAUGCAAAGCUGUCCAAAACAGCAACAUGCCCACUUGGAUGCAUCACUUAAAUAUGCAACAGAACUUAAACAUGGAAACAAAUGGCAUGUCAUUGAAAUACAUAACAUCCACUAGAAAACAUGAUCACUGAACUAUUUCUAAAACUUAAUGGAUCAUCACCAAAACAGCAUGGCAAACUGACAACUCAUAAGAGUUUAACAUACUUGGUGAAAACACAGAACAUGGCAGGAAACAGAUUCAUGAUGCAAUGUUUAGGUCUAGCAACUACAUGCUACAGGAACAUAUUAAGACAACCAAGAGCAUGGCAUGCUAGUACAAUAUGCACUUAACAAAACUCCCUCACUGAACUUUGUCCAGAAACUCAUAGAUAAGAUGAUACAAACAAUGCAAAAUGGCAAGUUAUGCUGACAGUUUCAGACUUAGCAAAAUAAACAUGGCAUGGCAGAAACAGAUUUAUGAUAGCAUGUUUGCAAGCUUGUUUCACUCAUUACAAGGCACUUCAUGGCAUGAAAUAAAUUCUAGUAGUAAGAUGGCAUAAUGAAGAGCAUGUUCAUAUGCAAAACUUCCUCAUGGCAUAAAUGGUAUCAAAUGAACAAAAAUGACAAAAUGCUACAUGAUGCAAAUAUAACAUGUUCACAAACUUGCUCAAAUGAUGAAAUGGAUGCCACAGAUGGCUUUGGUGGGAUUUUUCUACUGCAAAAUGAUAUAUAAUAUGCAUAUGAUAUGAUUUUGGCAACAACAUAGGAUGGCACAAUGCAAACACAUGGCAUAGCAAGUGAAAUAAGCAUGAUGAAAGAAGCAAAGAUAUGACAAGGCACUCAACAUGAUCAUGGCAUAAACAUGUAGGAAUGAAAUACCCAAAACAAUUAUGAUAAUGCAACAAACAUAAUAAAAAACACGACAACAACUAAAAUAAAUGGAAGGCAUCUAGAGCAUCGGUCUCGCGGUGUUACAACUCUCCUCCACUAACAUGAGAUCUCGUCCCGAGAUCUUAGGAACGAGAUGGAAGUAAAAGAGGAUAAGGAGGAAUAAGAGCGCAAAAGGGAAGGUGAACAAGACCGAGAGCACUCGAGUAGAAAAGAGGAAUGACGAAUAUGACGAGACUCAAAAGCUCAAGGAAUACGAUAGAAUCUGAUACCAACUUGUCACGCCCAAUAUGCGAUACAAUCGUAAAGAGAUUCGCGGGUCCCGCCAAGGAUAGAACCGCAUAUUGACACACUUUUGCAAGGUGGAUAUCAUUACAUCAAAGCAUUACAUAAUAGAUGAGCAUACAUACAAAAGGCAUACAAACACACAAGAAUACAUCAAUGCAUCAUACAUAGAACAACAUCCGACUACGGAUGAAACACAAACAAAACUCAAACGACAUCCACCCUGCUAGCCCAGGCUGCCGACUAUAGGAACCUAUCCCAAGAUCGACGAUGAAGAAGAAGAACUCCAAAACAAGAAAAACAUCACUCUCAUGUUAUGAUCAUCACAUUACAUGUACCUGCAACUGUUGUUGUAGUAAUCUGUGAGCCACAAGGACUCAGCAAUCCCAUUACCAUGGGUAUCAAGACUGGCAAAGCUUAAUGGGUAUGGAAAGGAUAAGUUGAGAGGUUGCAGCGGCGGCUAAGCAAUGUAUGGUGGCUAACUUACAAGUACAAGAGUAAGACGAGAAACUAUGCAAACGGUCGCAAACUAGUAAUGAUCAAUAAGUGAUCCUGAACUAUUUAUGUUCAAAUAUAACCCAACCGUGUUCUCCUCUCGAACUUCCCCGAAAAGAGAUAGUCACGGUUAGGCACGCGGUUGGUGUAUUUUAGUUGAGUUUACUUCAAGUCCUCUACAACCGGAUAUUAACAAAUUCCUAUCUGCCACGUAACCGCGGGCACGGCUCUUGACAGUUUAAACCCUGCAGGGGUGUCCCAACUUAGCCCAUGAGAAGCUCACGAUCCGCGGAGACAAUCCUCCAUCGCGUGACCCUCCCAUCACACUCGGAAUCCGGGUGCACAAGACAUUUCGACAAUGGUAAAACAAGUCAAGUAAGACCUCCUGACAUGCCGACAGCCUGAUAGUAGCCGCGCGUAUCUUGUCUCAGGCCACGACGGAUGAGCUACACGUACAGGUGCCAACAUACCCCAAGUUGCCAAGGGGCGGCCCCACACAGUGUUCUAGUUUGGGACUAACACCAUCGGCACUGGCCUCCGUGUAUGUAGAAAGAAUCCUUAGGUUCAUGACGCCCUAUGCCAAUUAAUUAUUUAGUUCAAUAUUAUUAUGGCAAAUGUUAAAACCAAUGUUGGGCCUUGCUGGAAGAGUUUUAUUCAAAGCGAACUGUCAAGAGGGUCCCAUAAACCGUCACCAUGAUAGGGAUGCAAAAUUAAGGAACAUAACACCGGUAUGACGAAAACUAAGGCGGCAACAGUGGAACAAAACACCAGGCAAAAGGCCGAGCCUUCCACCCUUUACCAAGUAUAUAGAUGCAUUAAUUAAAUAAGAGAUAUUGUGAUAUCCCAUGAUAUCCAUGAUAUCCAUGUCCCAACAAGGAACAACCUGCAACUAGCAACGCUAUAAGAGGGGCUGACCAAAGCGGUAACAUAGCGAAACAACGGUUUGCUAGGAGGGUGAAAAGGUUAGAGGCUAUCAUGGCAAUUGGGGAGGCUCGAUAAACAAGUGGUAGGCAGCGCGACAUAGCAAUAGCAUCGAGACAACUAGCAUAGCCAAGGUGACGGUCAUCUUGCCUGAAAUCCCGCUAGGAAGAAGAACGAGUCCAUGAAGUAGACGGACCAACAUAGUCGAACGGAUCCUCACCGUCGUAAUGUAACCAAAACAAUCGAGAAGGAGCACAACUAGAAAGAAGCAAACAACAUGGUAAACACACAAGCAUAAACAUGACAUGGAAAACAACACAUGCUACAUGCACGAUGAACAUGAAUGCAUAUGAAGAAUGCAACAGACGGAGCUAAGGCUACUGGUACGAGGGAAAGGUUGCCAGGAAUUACAAAGGUGUUGACAUGAUAGAUAUGGUCAAACUCUUGGCAAACCAAGUAUGCCACUGGAUAGAUGGGAAUAUUCUAGUUGAAAACGAUAUAAAGAUCACCGGAAUCGGAUGCACGGAUUGCAAAUGAUGAACGAAACAAAAUGCAAUGCAAAGCUGUCCAAAACAGCAACAUGCCCAUUUGGAUGCAUCACUUAAAUAUGCAAUAAAACUUAAACAUGGAAUCAAAUGGCAUGGAAUUGAAAUACAUAACAUCCACUACAAAAUAUGAUCACUGAACUAUUUCUAAAACUUAAUGGAUCAUCACCAAAACAACUUGGCAAACUGACAACUGAUAAGUGUUUAAAAUACUUGGUGAAAACACAGAACAUGGCAGGAAACAGAUUCAGGAUGCAACGUUUAGGUCUAGCAACUACAUGCUACAGGAACAUAUUAAGGCAACCAAGAGCAUGGCAUGCUAGUACAAUAUACACUUAACAAUAGGCCGUGUUGAUGGUGUUGAUGUCAUCAUCGUCGCUGCCGCCGCAGCACCAUGACGAUGUCGUCGUCUUCGUCGCCACCGUAGCCCUGUGUCGAUGCCGAUGUCGUCGUCAUCAUCCUCGCCGCAGCCCCAUGUCGAUAUCGUCUUCGUCACCGCCGUAGCUUCAUGUCCAUGUGUUCCCUACUAGGAACUCACAAAUCCUGGAAUUAAAUAAUGAACCAAGACCACUACUAGGAACUCAAAAGAACCUGGAGCAUUAGUACAAUAUAACAGUAACCUAUAGAGCACUAAGUAACAAUGGCAGAAACGAAAGCAUAUAGCAGCAACAUAGUAUAUAUGAAUUAUAAGCAGUACCUAACAGACCGGUCCUAGAAAUUGGGGAAAACCCAACUUAAGAAGGAUACAGUGCUAGGCAUGACCAAAUCUUAUUAUAUAUUCUGAAUCCAAGAUUCUGAGGCAAAUUGCAACAAGCAAAGUUUGUGCACCAAGUAGGAGUAAUUCCCAGGUCAUUCGCAAGCAAAGUUUGUUGUAUUACUAGUAAUCAUCAGUAGUAACAACACUUGGUGUGUCAAUCAAUAAGCAUCAUAACCAACAAUAUCUCUCUAGCUACACAAUCGUACUAGUAUUACGGUCUAUUUGACUAGUAUUACGGUCUAAAAUAGAAUAGAGGGGAGUUUCUAGGUACCUGGGUUUGGCCGUGGACGCCGAAUCCAGGGCCGAGAUAUAUACUUGUAGAGCAUUUCAGCUUUGCUUUCCACCGACCAGAAGCUAGAUCCUCAUCAACCAUUCUCAGCUUCACUGUCAGCAUUUCAAUCUGCUCUUUUGUCCUACCGCAUUUCUGGUUCAACACAGAUGAAGAUUGUUAUAAAUACUAGGCUACCAAUUCAUACACGAAUGUGAUAUGGGUUUAUUAUUAGAUUAUAUACGUAAAUUUACAGGCCCGAGAUACCUUGUAUAGGUCAACAAGAAUAUUGUCAAGAGACCCCCGAGCUUCAUUUGGACAAUGGUCAUGGAAGGAUCUUAUUGCAUCGAUGGCUUCUUCAGCCCAGUUUGCUUGUUUCAGUAUAGUAGCCAUAUCCUUUAAUGCACUCUCAAUUGUUCACCACUGUUAAGAGCUACUCAGAACAAUGGAACUGCCUUGUUUGGAUCCUUUUCAAUUAACUGGAAUAAUAGAAGCAAAGUGAGGAAGCAAAGUUAGACACAAGCUUAUCUUACAAAAGCUUUUAUGAUCAAGAUUGUAAAUGCAUCUUGAUUGAUUCACAAGUCUGCAAGUGCCACCCUCCAUGAUCCAAGUAGUUAUCAAUUAAACAUGGAAAAACUAAUAAAUAUUUCUAAACUGAACCAGGUAAAGCAAUAUAAGUAUCUAUAAAUAAAGGGCUAUAUCCUUUAAACCAAUGAUAUUGUUAAUUACUAAGCAUGUAAAAGAAACAUCUGAUAUAACUAAAGCAAUAAAAGAAGUGUCACCACAUGCAACUACCAGACUAUGUGAUGUGCAAUAUACAACUAAACCACUAAAAGAUGAUGUACUAAACAGAACAAGAAAUACCAGUACAUGGUAUUUAAAUAAAAACUAAUAUGUAUUAAACACAUAUACCAGCUUGAAGAGUAACAAGUGACCAACAAGAAUAUAAGCAUGUAAUUAUACUUGUAGCAAGAGAAACUGAAAUAAAAGGAACAUUUAAAUAACAAGAACUACAACCAGAACUAGAUCAUGACCACAAGUUGAUCACAGAGUUAGAGUAGCAUCAAUUCCACAGGAACACAUCUAUAUGCAUGGUAGGUUAAUGGUUUAAUUGUCAAUUAAGGAUACAGUGCUAGUAUAUCAAACAAGUGCACAUAGGACCACCAGCAGCACUAAAUCCCCAAUGACCAGCCCAUAGGCAUGAACUAGAACUAGAGUAUGGACUAGUGGAUCAACAGGAGCAUUAGCACAUCAACAAAUCUAGGCCCAAAUAUGAACCCUAAAUAGUAACCAACUACCCCAACUAAUUUCAGCAAAGCACAAAUCAAGUAGCCGACCGUAGCCAUCAAUCCAAGCGUCCUCAAAAACCUAAGUCAUAUUACCAGUACACGAAGAGGACCAAGAUCACCGUGGCCAUGGUCUAGGCAAUAGAGGCAGCAGUAGGGCAGAGAAGGAGAAGCUCACCAUGAAGGCUUAUAGACGAGGCCGUGCAUCGCCACCGCCGCAGUUGCGGUGUGGCCAACUCACCGCCGUCACACGGCGGCAGGAGGCGAGGUACACGAAGCCAUGGAGAGGCAGGCGACCGCCGCAUCGCCAGCGACCACUGGGCCGCAUCAGUGAUGUGUGUGACACCUAGGCACAACUAGGAGGCGAGUCACACCGGAGCAAUGCGCCGGAACCACGCCGAUGACCUAGCCCCGCAAGCACUGAAACCCUAGCGAGGUUUGACCGAAGCGAGCGACCACACAAGGCAGGGGAAAGCAGAUCGAAGAGGUGGAGCAGGUAGAGCUCGGUGAGGGGGAGUCGUGGGCAUGCUGGACGGCGCCAGAGCUCGCCGGAGUUGGUAGUGAAGGCCGGAGGCAGGGGCGGUGAUUUGGGGAUGGCGUGGGAAAGAGAGAGAGAGAGAGAGAGAGAGAGAGAGAGAGAGAGAGAGAAAUGAGAGAGAGAGAGAGGUUAGGAGGCCAGUCGGGCCAGUGGAUUUCUAUCCACAGCUGUAGCGCGGGAUGACAAAGAGCAUUAGUGCUAUUGCUUUAGUUGUAGCACUGCGUAGGUUCCAAGCGCUGGUAGUAUCUCUUGACCUGGCCGUGUGGUGUUCCACAUUUAACAGUAGUUCCGUCCACCCAAACCAGCGCUACUGCUAAAUUGUACCAGUAGCACUUGUUAUUCCCAGCGCUACUAGUACUUAGCAAUAGCGCUACUGCUUAAACUAGCGCUACUAGUAAAAUUCUACCUAUAAGCGUUUUCCUAGUAGUGUGAGAUGGUGCCGGUGAAUAUGUUGAUGGAGAUUGACCCCCUCCUGAUGAGAGGAUCGUUGGUGAUGACGAUGGGGAUGAUUUUCCCCUCCCCAAGGGAAGUUUCCCCGGCAGAACAACUCCGCCUGAGCCCUACAUUGGUUCCGCCAAGGUUCCGCCUCGUGGCGGCGGAGUUUCGUCCCGUGAGCUUGCUUAUGAUUGUUUCCUCGACGAAAGACUCCAUAUAGACAAAGAUGGGCAUCAUAGGGCCAGCAGGGGGCCCACGAGGCAGGGGGCGCACCGAGGGGGGUAGGGCGCGCCCCCACCCUCGUGGCCAGGGUGUGGGCCCUCUCUGGUACUUUCUUCACUUAGUAUUUUUUAUUAAUUCCAAAAAUGACUUCCGUGAAGUUUCAGGACUUUUGGAGCUGUGCAGAAUAGGUCUCUAAUAUUUGCUCCUUUUCCAGCCCAGAAUUCCAGCUGCCGGCAUUCUCCCUCUUCAUGUAAACCUUGUAAAAUAAGAGAGAAUAGGAAUAAGUACCGUGACAUAAUGUGUAAUAACAGCCCAUAAUGCAAUAAAUAUCGAUAUAGAAGCAUGAUGCAAAAUGGACGUAUCAACUCCCCCAAGCUUAGACCUCGCUUGUCCUCAAGCGAAAGCCGUAAUCGAAAAAUACGUCCACAUGUUUGGAGAUAGAGGUGUCUAUAAAAAUAAAAUACGGACAUGAGGGCGUCAUGAUCAUUCUUAGAACAGCCAUAUAUAUAUAUUGUCAUAUGAUCUCUUAUGCUAAAGUAACAAUUCAAUCACAAUUUCAAGUCUGAACCAUAAACUUCAUUGAGAACUAACAAACUCUAAUCUCAGUCAUUGAGGCAGUUGCAAUUUAUCAUAACAUAGGAAAGAGUAAAUAUAAGAGCUUUUCAGCAAGUCCACAUACUCAACUAUCAUUUAGUCUUUCACAAUUGCUAAAACUCACGCAUUAUUUAUGUGUAUGAAGUUUUAAUCGGACACAGAGAAAGAUAGGGGCUUAUAGUUUUGCCUCCCAACUUUUUACCUCAAGGGUAAUGUCAACAAUAAUAGUUCAUGAAAACUCACAUCCAAUUAGCUAUAUAUAUCAGGAUCUUUCCAACACAUUGUGCUUGCCAAAGGAUAAAAUAUAAAAGGAAAGGUGAAUAUCACCAUGACUCUUUGCAUGAAGUAUAAGACAAGAAUAAAAGAUAGGCUCUUCGCAGAGGGAAGCAGAGGUUGUCAUGCGCUUUUAUGAUUGGAUAUACAAAAUCUUAAUGCAAAAUAAUGUCACUUUAUAUUGCCACAUGUGAUAUGGACCUUCAUUAUGCAGUAUGUCGCUUUUACUUCUUCCACAUCACAAUAUCGUAUAAAGCUUAUUUUCUCCACAUUAAUAGAUCAUACAUAUUUAGUGAGCAAUUUUUAUUGCGUGCACCGAUGACAACUUACUUAAAGGAUCUUACUCAAUCCAUAGGUAUGCAUGGUGAACUCUCAUGGCAAAAAUGGGUUUAGGAAUAUUUGGAAGCACAAGUAGUAUCUCUACUUGGUUCAAAGAAAUUGGCUAGCAUGAGAGGGAAAUGCAAGCUCAACAUGUUGGACGAUCCAUGACAAUAUAAUUUAUCUCAGAUGUAAGAAAACAUAACCCAUUACGUUGUCUUCCUUGUCCAAUGUCAACUCUUUAGCAUGUCAUAUUUUAAUGAGUGCUCAUAAUCAUAAAAGAUGUCCAAGAUAGUAUAUUUAUAUGUGAAAACCUCUCUUUCUUUAUUACUUCCUAUUAAUUGCAACAAUGACCAAAACUAUGUUUGUCAACUUUCAACAACUUUUAUUCAUCAUACUUUUAUAUGUGAAGUCAUUACUCUCCAUAAGAUCCUUAUGAUCUCUUUAUUUCCUUCUAUUUCUUCUCUUUUAUUUUAUUCCCUCGAGAUCAUAGCAAAAUAAUCAAGCCCUUGACUCAACACUAAUCUUUAUUAUAUAUAGCUCACGGACUCGAUUACAUAGAAGGAUCAUAAAGCAAAACUAAAAACUAGAUCAUACUAAAACUUUAUUCUAAUAGAUCAAGAUAUUAUCAAGAGGAUCAUACUAAGAGAAAUGGUAAAGAUAAAAGUGAUGGUGAUACGAUACCGGGGCACUCCCCCAAGCUUGGCAGUUGCCAAGGGGAGUGCCCAUACCCAUUGAUGUCUACUACACAACCUUAUUCUUGUAGACGUUGUUGGGCCUCCAAGUGCAGAGGUUUGUAGGACAGUAGCAAAUUUCCCUCAAGUGGAUGACCUAAGGUUUAUCAAUCUAUGGGAGGCGUAGGAUGAAGAUGGUCUCUCUCAAGCAACCCUGCAACCAAAUAACAAAGAGCAUCUUGUGUCCCCAACGCACCCAAUACAAUGGUAAAUUGUAUAGGCGCACUAGUUUGGUGAAGAGAUGGUGAUACAAGUGCAAUAUGGAUAGUAGAUAAUGGUUUUUGUAAUCUGAAAAUAUAAAAACAACAAGGUAACUAAUGAUAAAAGUGAGCACAAACGGUAUUGCAAUGCGUUGAAAUAAGGCCUAGGGUUCAUACUUUCACUAGUGCAAGUUCCCUCAACAAUAAUAACAUAAAUGGAUCAUAUAAAUUUCCCUCAACAUGCAACAAAGAGUCACUCCAAAGUCACUAAUAGCAGAGAACAAACGAAGAGAUUAUGGUAGGGUACGAAACCACCUCAAUGUUAUCCUUUGUGAUCAAUCUAUUCAAGAGUCCGUAGUAAAAUAACAUGAAGCUAUUCUUUCCGUUCAAUCUAUCAUAGAGUUCAUACUAGAAUAACACCUCAAGACACACAUCAACCAAAACCCUAAUGUCACCUAGAUACUCCAAUGUCAUCUCAAGUAUCCGUGGGUAUGAUUAUAUGAUAUGCAUCAUACAAUCUCAGAUUCAUCUAUUCAACCAACACAAAAGUACUUCAAAGAGUGCCCCAAAGUUUCUACCGGAGAGUCAAUACGAAAACGUGUGCCAACCCCUAUGCAUAGGUUCAUGGGCGGAACCCGCAAGUUGAUCACCAAAACAUACAUCAGGCGGAUCAAUAGAAUACCCCAUUGUCACCACGGGUAUCCCACGCAAGACAUACAUCAAGUGUUCUCAAAUCCUUAAAGACUCAAUCCGAUAAGAUAACUUCAAAGGGAAAACUCAAUCCAUUACAAGAGAGUAGAGGGGGAGAAAACAUCAUAAGAUCCAACUAUAAUAGCAAAGCUCGCGAUACAUCAAGAUCGUACCACCUCAAGAACACGAGAGAGAGAGAGAGAGAGAGAGAGAGAGAGAUCAAACACAUAGCUACUGGUACAUACCCUCAGCCCCGAGGGAGAACUACUCCCUCCUCGUCAUUGAUAACCCACAAGUAUAGGGGAUUGCAACAGUUUUCGAGGGUAGAGUAUUCAACCCAAAUUUGUUGAUUCGACACAAGGGGAGCCAAAGAAUAUUCUCAAGUAUUAGCAGCUGAGUUGUGAAUUCAAGCACACCUAGAAACUUAAUAUCUGCAGCAAACUGUUUAGUAGCAAGGUAAUAUGAUAGUAGUGAUAACGGUAACAAAAGGUAACCAUAGUAAAAGCAAUGUUUUUGGUAUUUUUUAGUGAUGAUAGUAAUAGCAACGGAAAAGUAAAUAAGCGAAGCACAAUAUAUGGAAAGCUCAUAGGCAAUGGAUCGGUGAUGGAGAAUUAUGCCGAAUGCGGUUCAUCAUGUAACAGUCAUAACCUAGGGUGACACAAAACUAGCUCCAGUUCAUUGAUAUAAUGUAGGCAUGUAUUCCGAAUAUAGUCAUACGUGCUUAUGGAAAAGAACUUGCAUGACAUCUUUUGUCCUACCCUCCCGUGGCAGCGGGGUCCUUACGGAAACUAAGGGAUAUUAAGGCCUCCUUUUAAUAGAGAACCGGAACAAAGAAUUAACACAUAGUGAAUACAUGAACUCCUCAAACUACGGUCAUCACCGAUAAGUAUCCCGAUUAUUGUCACUUCGGGGUUAACGGAACAUAAAACAUAAUAGGUGACUAUAGACUUGCAAGAUAGGAUCAAGAACACUCAUAUAUUGAUGAAAACAUAAUAGGUUCAGAUCUGAAAUCAUGGCACUCGGGCCCUAGUGACAAGAAUUAAGCAUAGCAAAGUCAUAGCAACAUCAAUCUCAGAACAUAGUGGAUACUAGGGAUCAAACCCUAACAAAACUAACUCGAUUACAUGAUAGAUCCCAUCCAACCCAUCACCGUCCAGCAAGCCUAUGAUGGAAUUACUCACGCACGGUGGUGAGCAUCAUGAAAUUGGUGAUGGAGGAUGGUUGAUGAUGAUGAUGGCGAUGGAUUCCUCUCUCCGGAGCCCCGAACGGACUCCAGAUCAGCCCUCCCGAGAGGUUUUAGGGCAUGGCGGCGGCUCCGUAACGUAAAAUGCGAUGAUUUCUUCUCCCUGAUUUUUUUCUCAUCAAAACUCAUUAUAUGGAGGUGGAGUUGGAGUCGAAGACGCAACAGGGGGCCCACGAGGUAGGGGGCGCGCCCCCACCCUCGUGGCAAGACGGUGGCCCCCCUGGCCUUCAUCUUUGGCAGGUAUUUUUCUUAUUUUCUGAAAAAUGUCUCCGUGAAGUUUCAGGUCAUUCUGAGAACGUUUGAUCCUGCACAUAAAUAACACCAUGGUAAUUCUGCUGAAAACAGCGUCAGUCCGGGUUAGUUCCAUUCAAAUCAUGCAAGUUAGAGUCCAAAACAAGGGCAAAAGAGUAGAUACGUUGGAGACGUAUCCACUCCAGCAGGCUUAAACCUUUGCUUGUCCUCAAGCAAUUCAGUUGACAAACUGAGAGUGAUAAAGAAAAACUUUUACAAACUCUGUUUGCUCUUGUUGUUGUAAAUUUGUAAAGCCAACAUUCAAGUUUUCAGCAAAGAUUAUAACUAACCACAUUUGCAAUAACGCAUAGGUCUCAAGUUACUCAUAUCAAUAGCAUAAUCAACUAGCGAGCCAUAAUAAUAAAACUCGGAUGACAACACUUUCUCAAAACAAUCAUAAUAUGAUAUAACAUGGUGGUAUCUCGCUAGCCCUUUCUGAGACCGCAAAACAUAAAUGCAGAGCACCUUUAAAGACCAAGGACUGACUAGACAUUGUAAUUCAUGGUAAAAGAGAUCCAGUCAAGUCGUACUCAAUGUAAACUAACAGUAAUGAAUGCAAAUGACAGCGGUGCUCUCCAACUGGUGCUUUUUGAUAAGAGGAUGAUGACUCAGCAUAAAAGUAAAUAGAUAUGCCCUUCGCAGAGGGAAGCAGGGAUUUGUAGAGGUGCCAGAGCUCGGUUUUGAAACAGAGGUGAAUAAUAUUUUGAGCGGUAUACUUUCAUUGUCAACAUAACAACCAAGAGAUGGCGAUAUCUUCCAUGCUACACACAUUAUAGGUGGUUCCCAAAUAGAAUGGUAAAGUCUAUAUUCCCCUUCCACCACAGGCAUCAAUCCAUGGCUCGCUCGAAACAACGAGUGCCUCCAACUAACAAGAGUCCCGAGGGGAGUUUUGUUUGCAAUUAUUUUGAUUUAGUUUGCAUAAAGCAUGGGACUGGACAUCCCGGUGACCAGCCAUUUAUCUCGUGAGUGAGGAGCAGAGUCCACUCCUCUUGAGAAUAACCCACCUAACAUGGAAUACACAGACAACCCUAGUUGAUACAUGAGCUAUUCGAGCAUACAAAACAGGAUAUUUAUUUGAAGGUUUAGAGUUUGGCACAUACAAAUUUACUUGGAACGGCAGGUAGAUACCGUAUAUAGGUAGGUAUAGUGGACUCAUGUGGAAUAACUUUGGGAUUUAAGGAGUUUGGAUGCACAAGCAGUAUUCCCGCUUAGUACAGUUGAAGGCUAGCAAAAGACUGGGAAGCGACCAGCUGGAGAGCGACAACAUUCAUGGACAUGCAUUAAAAUUAAUCAACACUGAAUGCAAGCAUGAGUAGGAUAUAAUCCACCAUGAACAUAAAUAUCGUGAAGGCUAUGUUGAUUUUGUUUCAACUACAUGCGUGAACAUGUGCCAAGUCAAGUCACUUAAAUCAUUCAGAGGAGGAUACCACCCUAUCAUACCACAUCAUAACCAUCUCAAUAGCAUGUUGGCACGCAAGGUAAACCAUUAUAACUCAUAGCUAAUCAAGCAUGGCACAAGAAACUAUGAUCUCUAGUUGUCAUUGCAAACACGUUUAUUCAUAAUAGGCUAAAUCAGGAACGAUGAACUAAUUAUAUUUACAAAAACAAAAGAGGUCGAGUUCAUACCAGCUUUUCUCAUCUCAGCCAGUCCAUCAUAUAUCAUCAUAAUUGCCUUUCACUUGCACGACCAAACGAUGUGAAUAAUAAUAAUAGUGCACGUGCAUUGGACUAAGCUGGAAUCUGCAAGCAUUCAAUAAACAAGAGAAGACAAGGCAAUAUGGGCUCUUUUAUCAGAUAAAAAAUAAUGCAUAUAAGAGCCACCUCAACAAUUUAAUUAUGGUCUUCUCCAAUCGACCCCCAAAGAAAAGAAAAUAAAUAAAACUAUUUACUCGGGAAAGCUCCCAACAAGCAAAAGAAGAACAUGAAAUCUUUUUGGGUUUUCUUUUUAAUAACUACUACAAGCAUGGAAAGUAAACUAAUUAAAAACUACAACUAUUUUUUUGUUUUUCUUAAGGUUUAUUAACACACAAGAAGAAAGCAUAAAAAAGGAAAUUAAACUAGCAUGGAUGAUACAAAUGAAAAAGUACGAGCACGAACAUCUAGCAAUGAGUGUGUGAACAUGAAUGUAAUGUCGGUGAGAAAUACGUACUCCCCCAAGCUUAGGCUUUUGGCCUAAGUUGGUCUAUGGCAAUGGCUGGGCUGGCGGAUAUCCAUAAUAAUAGUUGGGGUCGUACUGUGAUGUAGAAGAGGAAGACUCAGAUUGCCACUGGCUGACAAUCAUCUCUGGAUCCCACUGGUAAUUAGACUGUCGUGAAGGAUCAAAUUGUGGUUCCUGCUCUGGCUCCUCGGAUGGUGCAGGGUUCCGGUAGGCGUGGAUAGCCGUCAACGGAAUAAGGUACGUGCCUACAGUCAAAUCAAACAAAGAAGGAGCAGGCAAGGUAAUAGUCUCAGGAUGAUGUUUAUUAAAGAAUAAUUGAUAUUUAAGCUCUCCUUCCCUAUUCUUAACAAUAAAAUCAUGUGCUACCAUACUUUUAUAAUCUAGAUAAACAUGGGGCAGCACUUUUUCUUCCUUCUUAGCAUGCCUAAUAGGUAUGUUAAAAUGUGCAGCUAGGCAUGUAGCAUAGAUGCCUCCAAAGAUGGGGCCCUUGGUACGGUUCAGACUUAACCGUUUGGCGAUAAUGCUGCCCAUACUAAAAGAGUUAUCACCGUAUAAACCGUGGUGCAAAAUAAUAAUAUCAGGGAUACUCAGGUUUCCAUAGUUUCCGCGACCAAUUAAGCAACGACUAGCAAAUAAUGCAAAGUAGCGUAAAACAGGAAAAAUGUAUGCUAGUGAUUCGUGCAUCGGAAACCUUCCUUGUUUCCCCUAUAGUGAUAGUGUCAAUAAAUCCCUCCACAUCAUCAUGAUGUGGUUCUUCUGUCUUGCCCCCGAAAGGGACUAAAAAGAUCUGACAAAAAUUAUAAAGUGACAUCUCCUUAUGCACAUCAUAUAAAUGAAAUUCCACCAUAGGUGGUGAGUUCCUAGAAUGAAAAUGAAAGUUUUGCACAAAGGUAUUUGUGAGCAAGAGAUACUGAUCGCAUUAGUCGUGGAGGAAAGCGGUAAGGCCUGCAGUCUGAGCCAACUCAUGAAAAUCUUCAUAAAUCCCGGCUGCUCUUAAGAAAUCCUCGCAAGGCCAUUCACACGCCCAAACCUCCGCGGUGCGAGGCAGAUUAUACUUAGGCUUCGGUGCCUUUUCCUUCGAGCUUUGACUCGACGAGCCCCUCAAAAGUCUCCUCAUCAUUUCUGAAAAAUUCUGAAUUUUUUUAGUAACUUCAGAAUAAAAGUAAACCAAACUCAAUAAUAUUGAUAGCAACUACUCCUACAAGUGCCUAGGGCCUAUAUCAUGCAUCACAACUACUUUUGACCAUAUAAAUUUGACAUGCAAGCUCAAGAACAGGGUCACCUAUGCAGCAAAAAUUUGCAAUGAAUAAAGCACUAGAACAAAAACUAAUUGGACCAAUGGAGGAGUCACAUAUAUACCAAGGAACAAUCUCCCCAAGCAGUUUUGUGAGAGGUGCUUUGAGCAAGGAGAUCGAAAAUGACAGCAAAAUGAGCUUGGACUCUGGUUUGAGCUGGUUUUUCUUGUUUGGGGGAUGAAGAUGAAGUGUGUGGGUGCUGGAAUAAGUGGAGGAGGGCCACCAUGGGCCCACGAGGCAGGGGGCGCGCCCUAGAGGGGUGGGCGUGCCCUCCACCCUCGUGGCAAGGUGGUUUCUCCCCCUGGUGUGUUCUUUGUUCCAUUAAUUCUCAAAUAUUCUAGAAAAAAUCAUAUUGAAUUUUCAGGGCAUUUGGAGAACUUUUAUUUUUGAGGUAUUUUUAUAUUGCACGGAUAAUCGGAUAACAGACAGACAAAUAUUUAUUUUUAUUUUAUAAAUAACAUAAAGUAAAAGUUGGGUACAGAAGGUUAUGCCUUCUAGUUUCAUCCAUCUCAUGAUCAUCAAAAGAAAUCCAUAACAAGGUUGAUCAAGUCUUGUUAACGAACUCAUUCCGAAUAACAUGGAACCAGAGAAAUUUCGUAUAACACUAUGUUACCUCAACGAGGAUAUGCACAUCCCCAAUAAUAAGAAUAUCAUAUUUCUUCUUGACAGUAGGAAGAGGAAAUUCAAAACCUCCAAAUAUAAUCGAUGGAAUUUUUCCAAUAGAGUUGAUACUAUGAACUUGAGGUUGUUUCCUCGGAAAGUGUACCAUAUGCUCAUUACCAUUAACAUGAAAAGUGACAUUGCCUUUAGUGCAAUCAAUAAUAGCCCCUGCAGUAUUCAAAAAGGGUCUUCCAAGAAUAAUAGACAUACUAUCGUCCUCGGGAAUAUCAAGAAUAACAAAGUCCGUUAAAAUAGUAAUGUUUGCAACUACAACAGGCACAUCCUCACAAAUACCGACAUGUAUAGCAGUUGAUUUAUCACCCAUUUGCACAGAUAUUUCAGUAGGUGUCAACUUAUUCAAAUCAAGUCUACGAUAUGAAGAGAGAUGCAUAACACUAACAUCGGCUCCAAGAUCACAUAAAGCAGUUUUAACAUAAUUUCUUUUAAUGGAGCAUGGUAUAGCGGGUACUCCUGGAUCUCUAAGUUUCUUUGGUAUUCCACCCUUAAAAGUAUAAUUAGCAAGCAUGGUGGAAAUUUCAGCUUCUGGUAUCUUUCUUUUAUUUGUAAUAAUAUCUUUCAUGUACUUAGCAUAAGGAUUAGUUUUGAGCAUAUCAGUUAAUCGCAUACGCAAAAAGAUAGGUCUAAUCAUUUCAGCAAAGCGCUCAAAAUCAUCAUCAUCCUUUUUCUUGGAUGGUUUGGGAGGAAAAGGCAUGGGUUUCUGAACCCAAGGCUCUCUUUCUUUACCAUGUUUCCUAGCAAAAAAGUCUUUCUUAUCAUAACGUUGAUUCUUUGAUUGUGGGUUAUCAAGAUCAACAACAGGUUCAAUUUCUAUAUCAUUAUCAUUACUAGGUUGAGCAUCAUCAUGGACAUUAUUAUUAACAUUAUCAUUAGUUUCAGGUUCAUUACCAGAUUGUGUUUCAGCAUCAGAAAUAGAAAUAUCAUUUGGAUUCUCAGGUGUUUCAACAAUAGGAUCACUAGAAGCAUGCAAAGUCUUAUCAUUUUUCUUUUUCUUCUUUUUAGAAGAACUAGGUGCAUCUAUAUUAUUUCUCAGGGAAUCUUGCUCAAUUCUCUUAGGAUGGCCUUCAGGAUACAAAGGUUCCUGAGUCAUUCUACCAGUUCUAGUAGCCACUCUAACAACAUAAUCAUUAUCUUUACUAUUCAAUUCAUUGAGAAAAUCAUUUUGAGCUUUAAGUACUUGUUCUACUUGAGUGGUAACCAUAGAAGCAUGUUUACUAAUAAGUUUAAGUUCACUUUUAACAUUGUAAACCUUGUAAAAUAAGAGAGAAUAGGCAUAAGUAUUGUGACAUAAUGUGUAAUAACAGUCCAUAAUGCAAUAAAUAUCGAUAUAAAAGCAUGAUGCAAAAUGGACGUAUCAACGGUCAUCUUGCCUGAAAUCCCGCUAGGAAGAAGAACGCGUCCAUGAAGUAGACGGACCAACGUAGCCGAAUGGAUCCUCACCAUCGCAACGUAACUGAAACUAUCGAGAAGGAGAACAACCGGAAAUAAGCGAACAAUAUGGUAAACACACAAGCAUAAACAUGACAUGGAAAAGAACACAUGCUACAUGCACGAUGAACAUGAAUGCAUAUGAAGAAUGCAACAGAUGGAGCUAAGGCUACUCGUACGAGGGAUAGGAUGCCGGGAAAGACAAAGGUGUUGACAAGAUAGAUAUGGGCAAACUCUUGGCAAACCAAGUAUGCCACUGGAUAGAUGGGAAGAUUCUAGUUGAAAACGGUAUAAAUAUCACCAAAAUCGGAUGCAUGGAUUGCAAAUGAUGAACAAAACAAAAUGCAAUGCAAAGCUGUCCAAAACAACAAAUGCCCACUUGGAUGCAUCACUUAAAUAUGCAAGAGAACUUAAACAUGGAAACAAAUGGCAUGGCAUUGAAAUACAUAACAUCCAUUACAAAACAUGAUCACUGAACUAUUUCUAAAACUUAAUGGAUCAUCACCAAAACAACAUGGCAAACUGACAACUGAUAACAGUUUAACAGACUUGGUGAAAACACAGAACAUGGCAGGAAACAGAUUCAGGAUGCAAUGUUUAGGUCUAGCAAACUACAUGCUACAGGAACAUAUUAAGGCAACCAAGAGCAUGGCAUGCUACUACAAUAUGCACUUAACAAAACUCCCUCACUGAACUUUGUCCAGAAACUCAUAGACAAGAUGAUACAACCAAUGCAAAAUAGCAAGUUAUGCUGACAGUUUCAGACUUAGCAAAAUAAACAUGGCAUGGCUGAAACAGAUUUAUGAUAGCAUGUUUGCAAGCUUGUUGCACUCAUUACAAGGCACUUCAUGGCAUGAAAUAAAUUCUAGCAGUAAGAUGGCAGAAUGAAGAACAUGUUCAUAUGCAAAACUUUCCCAUGGCAUAAAUGGUAUUAAAUGCACAAAAAUGACAAAAUGCUACAUGCUGCAAAUAUAACAUGUUCCCAAACUUGCUCAAAUGAUGAAAUGGAUGCCACAGAUGGCUUGGUGGGAUUUUUCUAGUGCAAAAUGAUAUAUAAUAUGCAUAUGAGAUGAUUUUGGCAACAACAUAGGAUGGCACAAUGCAAACACAUGGCAUAACAAGUGAAAUAAGCAUGGUGAAAGAAGCAAAGAUAUGACAAGGCACUCAACAUGAUCAUGGCAUAAACAUAUAGGAAUGAAAUAUGCAAAACAAUUAUGAUAAUGCAACAAACAUAAUAAAAAACACUGCAACAACUAAAAUAAAUGGAAGGCAUCUGGAGCAUCGGUCUCAGGGUGUUACAACUCUCCUCCACUAACAAGAGAUCUCGUCCCAAGAUCUUAGGAGCGAGACGGAAGUAAAAGAGGAUAAGGAGGAAUAAGACCGCAAAAGAGAAGGUGAAUAAGACCGAGAGCACUCGGGUAGAAAAAAGGAACGACGAUUAUGACGAGACUCAAAAGCUCAAGGAAUACGAUAGACUCUGAUACCAAUUUCACACCCAAUAUGCGAUACUAUCCUAAAGAGACUCGAGGGUCCCACCAAGGAUAGAACCGCAUAUUGACACGCUUUUGCAAAGUGGAUAUCAUUACAUCAAACUAUUACAUAAUAGAUGGUGAUACAUACAAAAGGCAUACAAAGCCACAAGAAUACAUCAAUGCAUCAUACAUAGAACACCAUCCGACUACGGAUGAAACACAAACAGAAGCUCAAACGACGUCCACCCUGCUAGCCCAGGCUACAGGGACAAUUUUAAGGGUAGCUUACAUAUGUGGCUGGUUAAACGUUACAUCGUGUACUCUCGCCCCCAUGUUGGGCUGCUGUAUACUAAAAGGUCCAUUAGCUAUUAUAGUCCAAGUAAAAUAUAAUCUAAUAAAUAGAUAAAGGAGCCAGCUUAGGGCCUAAUCCAAUCGUGCAUGCAGAAACCGUUGCGGCAUGCGGGUCAUUAUCUAACCACACCGAGCAUAUACAGCUAACACAGCUGCAAGUGGAUUGAUUGGUCAUUUUUUCUUCUUCAGAAAAAGGACCGAUCGCUGAUCGAUCUAUCUGCCCUAUUCCGUCACUCGCCGUCGGCUCGUCUACUUGGAGGUUGCGGACGCUGCAUUGCGUCCCCUAUCCCCCGCGCGGCCAGCAAGAUGGCGAUUUCCUCAAAUAUACAAUCCUACACACUCUUGAUUAAGGCUGUCGGUUAGUUUUUGAUUUCUAACUCAAUCUUGGAAUCCAUAAUUUAUUUUGAUGUGUUCUCUUAGAACUAUAGAACUAGAAAAUACAACUCUGAAAUGAUUCAGAUGCGUUUGUAAUUAUAAAGAGGAAGAGCUUUGUUGAGAAUAUUUUCUAGCCAAUUGAAACUAGGAACCAAUUAUGAAGAAAUUAUCGAGAGCCUUAAUCAUGAUUGUUGUAGUGCCAAAUACAGAUUAAUAGUUAUGAAAACUUUAUCUAAAUUAUAGAACCACAACUAUAUUUUGAGUAUUUAGACCUUAUUAUUAUAUAUAUAUACACUAUGCUUGAUGUACGUAUAUUGUCUCUUCUGUGACUGUGAUUGAUUCUUCUAGUUCAAGCCCCUGCCCCCCCUAUCGUCAUAUUCUGGCUCCGUCCCUGCCAGGCUGCCGACUAGGAACCUAUCCCAAGAUCGACGAAGAAGAAGAACUCCAAAACUAGCAAAACACCGAUCUCACGUCAUGAACAUCACAUUACAUGUACCUGCAACUAUUGUUGUAGUAAUCUGUGAGCCAUAAGGACUCAGCAAUCCCAUUACCAUGGGUAUCAAUACUAGCAAAGCUUAAUGGGUAUGGAAAGGAUAAGUGGUGAGGUUGCAGCGGCGGAAGCAAUGUAUGGUGGCUAACUUACGAGUACAAGAGUAAGAUGAGAAACUACGCAAACGGUCGCAAACUAGUAAUGAUCAAUAAGUGAUCCUGAACUACUUACGUUCAAACAUAACCCAACCGUGUUCUCCUCUCGAACUUCUCCGAAAAGAGACAGUCACGGUUACGCACGCGGUUGGUGUAUUUUAGUUGAGUUUACUUCAAGUCCUCUACAACCGGAUAUUAACAAAUUCCCAUCUGCCACAUAACCGCGGGCACGGCUCUCGCCAGUCUAAACCCUGCAGGGGUGUCCCUAGUUAGCCCAUGACAAGCUCACGAUCCACGGAGACAAUCCUCCAUCGCGGGACCCUCCCAUCAGACUCGGGAUCCCGGUGCACAAGACAUUUCAGCAAUGGUAAAACAAGUCCAGCAAGACCUCCCGACGUGCCGACACCCUGAUAGUAGCCGCGCGUGUCUCGCAUCAGGCCACAACGGAUGAGCUACGCGUACAGGUGCCAACAUACCCCAAGUUGCCAAGGGGCGGCCCCACACAGUGCUCUAGUUUGGGACCAACACCAUCGGUACUGGCCCCCGUGUAUGUAGAAAGAACCCUCGGGUUCAUGACUUCCUAUGCCAAUUAAUUAUUUAGUUCAAUAUUAUUAUGACAAAUGUUAAAACCAAUGUUGGGCCUUGCUGAAAGAGUUUUAUUCAAAGCGAACUGUCAAGAGGGCCCCAUAAACCCUCACCAUGUUAGGGACGCAAAAUUAAGGACAUAACACCGGUAUGACGGAAACUAGGGCGGCAAGAGUGGAACAAAACACCAGGCAAAAGGCCGAGCCUUCCAUCCUUUACCAAGUAUAUAGAUGCAUUAAUUAAAUACGAGAUAUUGUGAUAUCCCAUGAUAUCCAUGUCCCAACAUGGGACAACCUGCAACUAGCAACGCUAUAAGAGGGACUGAGCAAACCGGUAACAUAGCCAAACAACAGUUUGCUGGGAAGGGUGAAAAGGUUAGAGGCUAUCAUGGCAAUUUGGGAGGCUCGAUAAACAAGUGGUAGGUAGCGCGACAUAGCGAUAGCAUCGAGACAACUAGCAUAGCAAAUAUAGUAGUGAGAUUCAAGGUGACGGUCAUCUUGCCUGAAAUCCGGCUAGGAAGAAGAACGAGUCCAUGAAGUAGACGGACCAACGUAGUCGAACGGAUCCACACCAUCGCAACGUAACCGAAACUAUCGAGAAGGAGCACAACCGGAAAGAAGCGAACAACAUGGUAAACACACAAGCAUAAACAUGACAUGGAAAAGAACACAUGCUACAUGCACGAUGAACAUGAAUGCAUAUGAAGAAUGCAACAAACGGAGCUAAGGUUACUGGUACGAGGGAUAGGAUGCCGGGAAGGACAAAGGUGUUGACAUGAUAGAUAUGGGAAAACUCUUGGCAAACCAAGUAUGCCACUGGAUAGAUGGGAAGAUUCUAGUUCAAAACGAUAUAAAGAUCACCGGAAUCGGAUGCACAGAUUGCAAAUGAUGAACAAAACAAAAUGCAAUGCAAAGCUGUCCAAAACAUCAACAUGCCCACUUGGAUGCAUCACUUAAAUAUCCAACAGAACUUAAACAUGGAAACAAAUGGCAUGGCACUGAAAUACAUAACAUCCACUACAAAACAUGAUCACUGAACUAUUUCUAAAACUUAAUGGAUCAUCACCAAAACAACAUGACGAAGUGACAACUGAUAACAGUUUAACAGACUUGGUGAAAACACAGAACAUGGCAGGAAACAGAUUCAGGAUGCAAUGUUUAGGUCUAGCAAACUACAUGCUACAGGAACAUAUUAAGGCAAUCAAGAGCAUGGCAUGCUAGUACACUAUGCACUUAACAAAACUCCUUCACUGAACUUUGUCCAGAAACUCAUAGAUAAGAUGAUACAACCAAUGCAAAAUGGCAAGUUAUGCUGACAGUUUCAGACUUAGCAAAAUAAACAUGGCAUGGCAGAAACAGAUUUAUGAUAGCAUGUUUGCAAGCUUGUUGCACUCAUUACAAGGCACUUCAUGGCAUGCAAUAAAUUCUAGCAGUAAGAUGGCAUAAUGAAGAACAUGUUCAUAUGCAAAACUUCCUCAUGGCAUAAAUGGUAUUAAAUGCACAAAAAUGACAAAAUGCUACAUGCUGCAAAUAUAACAUGUUCACAAACUUACUCAAAUGAUGAAAUGGAUGCCACAAAUGGCUUGGUGGGAUUUUUCUAGUGCAAAAUGAUAUAUAAUAUGCAUAUGAGAUGAUUUUGGCAACAACAUAGGAUGGCACAAUGCAAACACAUGGCAUAACAAGUGAAAUAAGCAUGGUGAAAGAAGCAAAGAUAUGACAAGGCACUCAACAUGAUCAUGGCAUAAACAUAUAGAAAUGAAAUAUGCAAAACAAUUAUGAUAAUACAACAAACAUAAUAAAAACACGACAACAACUAAAAUAAAUGGAAGGCAUCCGGAGCAUCGGUCUCGGGAUGUUACAUAGGGCGAAAGCCUGUUUCGAGAUGGUGUCGCAUGUGUUCUACAAAGUGCAAAAUGGGUCGGUAACACUCACUUCGCAGCAUAAGGCAAACAGUUGCAGAAAUAACACUGUCUUCUCAGAAAGAAUUAUUAUUUACUCACACUGUUCCAAAAGUUAGUGUCGUGUUUUCUAGUUCAAAUUUGAACUAAAACCACACUUAUUUUUGGAACGGAGGGAGUACAAACAACUUAGAUUCGACAGGUUUUUCAAGUCAAAGAAAAAAGUAUCAUGAGCUUGGGCCCUGUUAUGUUGAGAAUGAACCUUGCAAAUAUAAAAUGUAGGUAACAUUUUCUGCCAAUAACAUCUAUUUAGCUUCCAGACCAGGAGUAACAAUACAGAAAUAUAACAGAGUACAUGUCUUAGGCUACACCAGCCAUGGAUCCAGGUUCAGCUGACGAAGUAACUACUUACGAAGCAAACAAAGCAUUUGAUGUAUCACAACAGUUACAACAGAAAAAUGUAACAAACACUUUUCAAAAGGUUCCAACUAAAUGAAUGAA
rnacentral:lncRNA from 1 species